rnacentral:lncRNA from 1 species
UUUUUUUUUUUUUUAGUUUCAUUGAAGAAGUUUCAUUGCAACAUCAUUCCCAUUUCGCCAAUGAAAUGACUUCCUUAUGACCCAAAAAAUAAUAAUUUAGAAAAAAGCAAAACUUUUUUUUCAAUUUCAACCACUAAAUUCCCAAUUCUCUCUUUCCUCCACUCAAUAAAAACCCCCUCUUCCUCCCUUCUUCCCCCAUUCUCUCUGUUUUUCAAAAAAAAUACUCUUCCCCAUGGCCACCACCAACGCCACCGCCGUUGUCCAUUCCUCUACCACAACCUUCGUCGAAGCUGACCCAUCAACAUUCCGAUCAAUCGUACAAAAGCUAACUGGAGCACCCCACCACCCACCGGCGGCGUAUCGGCUGCAGGAACGGCGGCGGAGUAGCAAGAAACUGGAGUUGGAGUUGAACACCGGAUACACCACGACCGGAGGAAUUGGAAACGGGAUGGUGUCGCCGGUGUCUACGUUGGAUUUUAUGGGGUGUGGGAGUCCGUGUGAAGAGGAAGAGAGAGCUAUAGCGGAAAAAGGAUAUUAUUUACAUCCGAGUCCGAUUAACACUCCGGGAGGAUCUGACCCGCCUCAUCUUUUGCCAUUGUUUCCUCUUUCUUCUCCUUCCAAUUGUAAUAACAGAAAUUAUUAUGUUUCUUCUUAAAACUCUUCUCUCUUCAGUCAUAUAUUGUUAUUUCAUUAUUACUAGUGAUUUGUGUAUGUGAGAAUCUAUACAAUUUCUGUUCCGGAAACUCAAACAAUAUUGAAUGAGAAAGCUAUUAGGAUUAUUGUCUUCUAGUAACAAUUCAAUAUGAAUUCACAGUACAAAGUUGACUUCCGACGUCUUGGAACGAAGUGCAGGCCGCACAGACAGUUUCAUUUUUUGUUUAUGCAUUUACAUCCUUGAUUAAGAGAGAAGGUUUCAACCACCUUCUCACUAAUCCUAAAAUAUACGAUUUCGUGGUAAUACAUCCUGUCUUUUUACCUAAGUAGUCCUCUGCAUGAUCAAUAUUUUAAUCUUGAUCAUACCUAACAAAAAAAAUCAAACUAGGAACCAAAAAACAAAUGGAAUAGUAGGUAUAAAGUGAAUUGCCUAAUGCUUCAAAUUAGUUCAAAUUCCUGCAUUUUCUGGCAUAUACUGUAUAUCUAAGAGAGGUCGUAUUUCUUUGAGCUAGAUGGACAAAGUAAAAAAGCAUAAAUUUCGCUAAAAUAGGUAGGAGACGGGUUGCACCAAAUCAUCCAGUAUUCAAAUUCAGGUUGGGAGGCUGUGUGGUUUGGUUUGUGUAUGAGAUAUAUUUUCAAAGUUUAAGUGAGGUAUCUAAGUAAAAUUAUAAAAUUUAGAAAUUUAGUACUUCAAAAUAGUGUAUAGUCAACUAUGUUUUUUAGAUGAUACUAAGUUUAAUGAUUCCAGUGGCAGUAGCCAUUGAUUUUAUUGGCGACAGGUGAUGGUCAGGCGGCGGCUCAGGAACCCAGCAUUGUAUUUGUACCAUACCAAGUACCUAUCUUUAUUAUCUAUCAAACCACUCCCAAUCCCAAUCUCUUAAACACAUAUUCAUUCUAAAGCUUCCACUAAAUCGUACUUAGUACCCAACUUACUUAAAAUAAAAAUAAAAUAAAAUACACUUCAAGGACAAACGCUUUCGACGGCUGUGAUUCAAUGGUCAGAUCAGAUGAUGAGAAAGUUUAACGGGUUUCAAGAGAUUUCCUUUAGUUUGAAACUAAUGGUGGAAGUGAAAAUGGAACAGAGAGAAAGUUCGAACUUAUUAAAUUUACUCUUUUAUUGAUCUAAGAAAAUUCAAUGAUAAUGGACAAAAAACAAGGAAAAAAAGAGCACUAUUGCAAAAGACUAUAAGCAAGCUCACAAGUGGGGUUGCAACUACUAAAUCAGCAGAAUCAAAAUUAAAAAGAUGAAACUUGCCUUUCAUAUUCGUUUGCCCAGAUGUACUGUUUUUUAUUCCCGCGCAAAAUUGCAUCCUUUGUUUCUCCAGAUUUGAACUCAGAAUGAGCAACUCCAGCCAUAGACAACCAUUUCUUUAGCGACUCUUGGACCAGUUUCUUUCUUUCUGCCCAAUAAUCUCAACGAACAGAAGCACAGAUUGAAUGCUGGUUGUACAGACCAGCCACAUUUGUGAACUGCUGUCUGUUUCUCCUGUUUUUAACCACUAUAAAUCCUUCACCAUCCCCGGCUUUAUUCUUAUUUACAUCGCUGUCCUUCUCGUUUGGGUUAUCGCCUGACUUCUGUAACUGUCCUUCAUUCCCAUAUAGAAUUUUGAUUAUGGCACUGUCGUUAGCUAUAGCAUCUGAUGAUUUUUCGGAAGGUUUGAACUUCUCUUUAGAUGAAGGCUCGUCAGCACCAGAAUCCAUGUUCUGAACUGAUUUCACAAUGAAGCUCAACAAAAUCUGCCUUGCAAGCUCUGACUUCUCACAGUCAGAGAUGUUUUUCUUUGUUUUACCUUCGAUUGUAGCAGUCAAUCCGUCAGCCAGUUUCUCGUUUUCAUCCAGACUUGUUUUCGGCGAAGGAUUCAAUUCCGUGUGGACUUUGCUAUUUGUAUCUCCGUGGUUUGUUUGCCAAGCUCUUUGAGGGACGAAUUCAGGGGCGUGUGGAUUCAUCAUUGUUGGAGCUCCAAAUCCACUUCUUCCCAUGACAGGAGCUUGGUAUUUCAAAAAACUGUGUUUCAUCCGAAAAGAGUUGUUGUUUCGGUAAUAGAGAGGUGAACGAGGUCCACAAGGGACUCUUGAAGUUGCUGGAGGAAGCAAAGGCUCUAAAGCACCUUGACUCGCUCUUACAUCAUAUAUGCUAGUGACUGCAGCUGUGUUUAAACCACUAGUCAUAGAAGUACUAGGAUUGAACGGUUCGGCUGCAGCAGAAAGCUUGCUAGCAUUCGUUUCUGCAGGCUUUUCCGAAGGAGAUGAACAGGAUAUCAUCUCUUCGCUAUCUUGGCUUUGAUUUUCCGACUCAGGAGCAGUAUUAUGAAUCGGUUCUGCUUCUUCCUUUUGAACCACUUCACCAGAAAUAUUGUUGGUUUCAUCAUUUUUUGACGUUUCUGAAUUAUUACAGCUCUGGGGUUCAGCUACUUUCUCUUCUAACUCAAUAACAUUCUCCGUAUCAACCAGUUGCCUUAGAACAGUACCAGGAGGGGCCAAAGCUACUUCUUUGUAAGAUAUGGAUCUUGAAGCCAUUUGAGAAACUGAAGCAGGAGACAGUGAGAUGACCUUGGAGGCUGUCGGUUUUGCCUGCAGCUUGAUAGAAUCAUCGCCAGCACUUGAUCUUUGUGGAAUUGAUUGCUUUAUCUGUGGAAAUCCACUUUGAAUGGUCUUAACAGCUACUGGCUUCUGCGCUGGAGAGUUUGUGUCCUGCUUGUAAUUACUUUGUCUGACAUUAGAAUAUUCAGGGUGGUGCACGUUGAGCUUCGGAAGAACCGGGCGUUUCCGACCAACCUUCCUUCCAACGACAUGCCCUGACCGCCCUUUUGAAUGAGCCUCUUGCCACCCAUCAUCUGAAUAAGUUUCUUCCAGGAUUUCACUUUUAACCACUGUCUUAAUCUCAGUGAUGUUUUCAACUACUUUCUUUUGCUCUACAUGUAAAAAAUUGCUGACUUUAACUUCCUUUACACUAUCAUGUGAUGACUUGGUAACUGGUCUUGGAGUAUCAAUGUGCAACUCAUCCUCAGUCAUUUCAUUUUGAUGCCCCGAAUGAGUUUUAUCACUUGCACUCACUACCUGGCAAAAUUAAAAUGUCAUGUGGCAUGAGAAUGAACACAAUGGCAUUCCUGUAAAGUAGAGAAAAAUCAUGUUACUUGUACACAAAACAUGCUUACCUUAGCGCGUCUAUGCUUCCUUUGUGUAUCAUUCCCUUUCGGAUCUUGGUCAGGACUAAUGUAAUCCAAGAGAUCUGAUACACUGCAACAAAAGGUCAAAAGUUUUGGUGUGGAGAAAUGUCAAAAGUUUUUUGGAAGAAAGUAAUAUGGGAAUACCAUAUCACUACCUAAGGUGGCCUUUGCUCGAAAUGAGUGCAUCAGGCUUCGGGGUUCCAUUACGUGCUGCUUCUUGCUGCUCCAAAGCCUUCGAUUCAAAAUAUUCCAGCCACGCAGCCGCAUCCUGUCCAAGAAUAGAUCAUGCUUAGCUACCAUUCAAAUUUGAAGUCUAGAAUAGUGUCAGACUCUCACAAAUACGAUUUAGUUCAAUACAGAUUGUGAAUUCUCCAACCUGAGUGCGAAGGUCUUCUUCUCCAAGUUUGAUUUUGAGUAUAUUGAGUGUUGUUUGUUCAUGUUGCACACUCAAAGAAUAUGCCUCCAUUAAAGAAAGGGCAAUGGCAAUGGCAUGGUAGCUUGCAGCAGUCUAAAAAGUGAAAAUGACCAUCCAUGAGAGAAGUAAUUAGCAUUGGCUAGGUUGAAUGAAUGUCGUACGUUCACUGACUGACUAAUCGAACGAGAAUGUCUGUACCUGUAUGUGAUCAGCUCCAAGUAACCUUUGGUUGCACUUAAGAGCUUCAUGCAAAUAUCUAAGAGCAACAUGAACAUUCCCCACACCUUCUUCCAUCAUUGCAACAUUGAUGUAUGUUGCAGCAGUGUUAGGGUGAGACAGUCCACAAGUGAAAUGGAGAAGGAACAACGCUCGGUUUACAUACCUAAAGAAACACCAAGUAUAAGAACCAUAAUAAAUUUUGUGUUUCGUAUAACAACAUGUUUUGGCACUUACUUGAGAGCUAAUUCAAUGUGUUGAAGACGAUAGUAGAAAACAGAAAGGUCUCCAUAGCUCUUCAUCGUGUCGGGAUGAUCAAGCCCAAGCUCCCUUUCAUUGAUAUCCAAAGCCUUCUGUUGAUAUAUUGUUGCCUACAAAAAAAACAAGAGAAAGCCAGCCAACACUUCUUAAACUCCAACCACUGUUUUAGGAGCUAAAAGCGAAAACCCAAAUUAAUUUUUGGACUAAAUAAGAUUAUUCGAAUUGAAUUACCUGAUUAAAGUCACCAGUGUGAUAGAGGACUACAGCAAGAAGACUAUAAGCACUUGCGGUGGUUCGAUGAUACGGACCGCAUACAGCAAUCAUUUUUGCCAAUGCCUUUACCAAAUAUAAGUUCAAUCACUAUUUACCAAAGCAGAGAAUAACAGACUUCCAUGCAAAUUCAAAAUUUUGCUACACAGGAAAUGCUGCUCAAUGGAGAUUCAUGUUUAAUAAGUAUAAAUUCAAACUUUGAGAAGUUUUGUAUGAUUUAACCCAAGUUUCUUAGAAGUAAAAUCUAUGAAUAAUCUUGUUGAUUAAAAUAGUUUAUCAAAAGGAAGUAAUAGAAUAGAUUAAAUUCUAAAGAAGUAUAAAAAUAAUUUUUUUAAAAGAAAAAAAAAGGUACCUUGGUUCCAUAAUUGACAGCGUCAUCAAGCUUGCCUUUAUCAAGAGCAACUUUAGAUGAUUCCAACAGAUUCCGACCAUCGGCCGACGUACAGCCCACAUGCUACACAACACUCACAAUCAACAAACAACAAAAAUCAGUCACGGAUUCACUAUCAACAAUCACAGAAUUCAAUGAUACAGAAUUACAGAUCAAUCAAUCGAUUCGAGAUUCUGACCUUACAAACAGGGACCACGCUCACCACGUCGUUUCUCCGGAACGGAUUAGGGCAUUCCAAAUCGAAAUCUCUCGGCGCCAAUUCCAGCCCUACCUUGUGACAGAUUCCUCGAAGAAUCGACAGCUUUCUCAAGUGUGGGAACUCGUUGCUCAAUCUCCACUUGAAUCUCUUGCUUAAGAAUGUACGAAGCCAUUGCAGUCUCAGAGCUCCGUCUUCGUUUACGUUGUUGUUGUUCUCGUCGUCUUCUGAUCCGUAGCUUCCGAGGAGGAAGUUCAGGGAGGAGGCUAUGGCAGCAGAUAGAUCUGCGGUGUUCUCUACGGCGGCGAUUACGGCUUUGAUUACGUGCUUGAAGGCUCGAAUUACCAUCUCGUGAAUGCAUAGUGCUUGUAUGUGUGGAAGCUUCUCCGCUAACUCCACCUAAAUACCGUAUUAAUCUCAAUGUUAUUAUACCUUUAGGAACGUCUUCUAAAGUGUUUGUGUUAAAACUAUAAAUUCUCACCACUCGACCCAAGGAGCACAUUCGAAGUCCUCUCAAGUGCAUGAAAUCGGUUAAUGUGCGGCCAUCAACAGGUGAAAGUUCAAGUGACCCAAAAUCUGUCACCUAAAAAUACAACACAUAGAAAUUAUAUCUUAGAAGAACAAUUCAUAAUAAAAUUUCUAUGAAAUACAAGAAGAAUGCAACAACUUUUACCAGCUUUGGCAAUGCAAUUUCAUCAUAGUACUUGUGUGCCAUCACCAUUAGCUCAUCUGCUGUCUGUUCAUUUCAAAGAUUACUCAAAAAACAAGUUUGAUUAUCUUGACAAACAUGGAAGAUAAAAGAGUCUGUAGCAAACCUUUAGAUGAAGACCAGUUCCACUUUCUUUAAGCCGAGACAAUGCUUGUUUGGAAAUUAGUUUCUCUAGAUCUUCCUCUCCGUUGGUUACGGAUUUCGUGCUCGGCCUGUCGAUCGUACAAAGCUUGUCUUCCUCCUCAUUCUCAACCGUGGUUUGCUUCUUUUCCCUCUUCUUCAAAAGCUUGAACUGCUUUCCUAAGCCUUUGACUGCUGGUUCAAUCUCCUUGACAUCUCCAGGGGAUUUGGACUUGGACUCUGGCUCAUUUUCCUGCUUUUGUAGAUGCUGCAGCCAACAUGAACCAAGCUCCCAUCUAAUUGAUUUCUUUGAUGUUGUUGCCUCUUCCUCUAGCUUUGACAAGCUCUCUUUGAUUACUUUUCGAACCAAAACUCGGGAUGAUUCAAGGUCAUCUGAGGUUGUUUGAGCCGACGAGCAUCCUUCGGGUGCAUUAGCACUGAUUUUGUGAAGCUGAAUCCUCAGACUGUAAUAAGAGUUUAGUAGAUUAAUAUUUGGAAAGUGAGCAUGAGUUAAGAAUCACAAUUGUUUUUCAUUAGCAGGGUGGAUUAGGACCUGUUGAUGUUAAGAGCAUUGGCCCCUCCAUCUGGUUGAUCAUCAACUAUGACAUCUUGAUUCUCUUCUCGUCCCAUCUUUACUUUACCCACGACCUUUACCGUUGCAGUGUACCCACAGUGCUUAACAAUGACAAGACUCAAGGAGGAAGUAUCCUACAAAAGUUUACUCAAAAUGUUUCAGUUUUUUUACAAUAGAACCAAAAACACAUGAUGGUCAAAUAUGGUUUGGUCACGUCAACUUGAGGUCUUACCUGAACAACUACAUUUUCAUCUGCAGUCAACCCCUUUAACAAGUUUCUUUGUGCAACUUCCUCACCAGAUACACCAUCUAAUCCAUAACCGUCAAGUUUCACCGUAGGCUUUGUACUUGCAUUGAUCGAAUCACGUCUUAUCACGAUAGACAAGUCUCCAAUUCGAUCCUCGUACACGAUGCCGGGCGAUUUCACUGUAACCUGUCCUGUUGAGUUGGAAUCUAUAAGACUAGAAAUUGUUGAAACAGCUUUUUGUAUUGCAAUGUCAACAAAUUGGCUGUGAAGUAAAAAUGCUUUCCGAUCUCGGACAAUUCUCUCCUCCUCAGUUUUGCAAGGAAGCUUUGCCAAUACCGCGAAAUCAGUAGCCCACGACCGUAGAUUAUGCUCAUUGUUUCGUCCUUGACCGCCGCCAUUGCCACCCCAGUUUUCAUCUUCUAUAGGUAAUGGUAGCAAGUCUGAUGGAAUCUCAAUAACAGAUGGAGGAACAAGCCAAGUAUUCAUCCGGAAUCCAUAUGGAAGGUUACCAAACUAAAUCCAAAAAGAUAAAAACUGAUAAGAAAACACUCAUAUAACCAUUUAGUUCAAACUUAAACAAAAUGGUAACUUUGGUAAAGAUGUAACUUGCCUUGUUAUGUUCAAGAAACGCCUUCAUCAAAGACUCGUAUGCCUGCAUUUUUUUUUCACAAUUUGUUGGUUUUAAAACCCGAAUCAAACCGUUGUCUUUUUCAGUUACUUUGUAUAUGAAACUGCAUUAUCGAAUCGAAUAGAGAUAAAUUCGAAGAACUCACAUUGGCAAAACCUCUGCUUAGUUGCUGAAGAAGGUCCACAAGAGAAUGGCUUUGUACAAACUGCUUUCCUGCCGUAUAAAAUCCCUUUGCUGAGGCAGUCACUUGUAUUAAUUUGCCAUUGCAUAUUUUAAUCUGCACAAUUAUUUGCAAAAGUUAAAUCGCAUCAAAAGGAAAGUUCAGUUCUUCAGCAAGAGCAUCUUCUUAACAAAUCACUCAAAAGAACAGCACCUGCAUUCCAAAGUAAUCUCCCUCGCGCUUUUCAUCUACUGCGCCUUUCAAGUUGCAUCUUUUCAAUUCUGGGAAGCAUACAGAGAACAAAAACUUUUUGUCAAUGGAAAAGCAACUUAUCUUUUGUCACAUUGAUCCCUGUUCCAUUUUUCGUCAGCAGUUGUGAGACUAGAAAACAAGGAAAACAACUAUUCUCUAGUUUAGUAAUUUCUCACUCACGUAUAAUAGGAGGGGAGAUGUGAGCCAGGGAGAAAAACUCAAAGAAGUCGGAGAGCUUCGGCGUCGGAUGAAUAGCAGCCAUUCCAAGGUUGUCGGAAACAACAGAGACAGAUGGCUCUGGCUGAGAAGACGGAGACCCACAUCGAACUUCCGACCCCCCGUCCACAGGAGAAGAGGAAUUCAAAUUGGCAUGAUUAUGAACUCUGCUAUUCUUCUUCGUCCGAGACUCCGGCGUCGAGGCGCGCCUCGGCUUGCAGAACCUAGUGGUGCAGGUCACAAUGUCCAGCAGCCUCCGAACAUGAGCCACAGCUUGAGCUUCAUUGGAGUAGUCCUCUAUAAAUACACACAAAUACCAAUCAGAUUAUGAACAAGUAAAAACUGAUCGAAAAACAGUUAAACUUCCAAUACUUUUUAGAACCCAAUUCUGUGCAGUGUUGUUAUCAUCCGAUGCAUAUUUUCUCAGAAACAAAGAGCAAAAAAUUCCACCAGGUAUAUAUAUUUUAUAUAUAAUUUGCAAAUUAUUAGAGAAAAUUGCUUUUCUUUUUUCCUCUUUCUUUGUACAUUUUGGCAUUUACUUUAAAGGCAGUAUUUACCAAAUUUAGGUUCGAAAAGACAGACACCUUUUUUAUACCAAGAAUCAAGUAAAGAUUCCAAAUAAACUUUUCCACUGUUCUUAAAUUCUUAUUCAUUCUCCUAAAUAAAAUGCCACUUCUUUAACAUCAAACCCACUUUUCUUGAUGACCAAAAAGGCAAAAAUGUCACAAUCUUGAUAUAAUUUAAUCUAAAGAGACAAAAUGAAUGAAAAGAAACAAUAAAGAUUGAAAUGGUGGCUGAUGAAUAAUGACGAUGAUGAUGAUGCAAGUUUAGCACUACCAUUACUUACCUUCAACCAUUUUUAACAAACAAGGUUUGAGAUUAGCAAUCUCCAUUUUGUCACUUAACUUCUGCCCCUUGACCUGUAAAGAAAAAAAAUAAUAAUAAAAAACCAUAGAGUAUAAGAAUAAAGAAAACAUACACAUUAACCAAUAAAUAAUAAAGUGAGAGAAAACCUCAUGGGAUAAAGAAUAAUUUGUUAGGUGACAUGUCUCUACAUUCUGAGCCAACAAUCUCCUCACAUCCAGAAUCUUAUCAGUGGUGAUACCCUGUAACAAAAAUCAAAAACCCCAACAAACCCCUCUUAAAAUAAACUUAAAAGAACAACAAAUUACAAAAAGAAAAGAAAAAAAAUGCCAGAAAUGACAAAACAAACCUUAAGAACAACUUGGGAUUCAUAAGGAGUAAGAACAGUAAUGUCAACAACACUGGGAAUCACUACACAUUGAGGAAGCAAAAUGAAGAAAAAUUAGGCAAAACCCAAAACUAAAAUUGGAAAAUAACAUUAUUUAGAAAAGGGGAUUAUCACUUAGAAACCCAACCUUUCUCUUCUUUCUUCUUCUUUUCAGAUUUUGCUUUGUUGGGCUUUCCUCUGUUAGACCUUGGAGCCAUAUCCUAGACUCCUUUUUUUCAGAUUGAAAGACCAAUAAAAAUAAAAAGUUUCAAGUGUAUUAAGAAAAUUCCUGAUGACCCAAAUGAACAAAAAUCAUGAGUAGUAAAUUCAGCUGAGAUUAAGGGGAAAAGAGAAAAGAGGUCGUGAGGGGAAAUGAGGAAAUGGGUAAUGAGAGAAACAAAGAAAGAUGGUAUAUCAUGAAAGUUUGAGUGAGUGAGUGAAUAGAGAAGUGAUUGAAAUUCAAAAAAAACAAAAAAAACAAAGAAAAAAAAAGAAAAAAAAGAAAGAAGAAGAAGAAGAAGAAGAAGAAGAAGAUAGGAUAAGGAAAAGGUAUUUUGGGUUUCACUCUCUUAUCUCUAGGAUUUUGAGAGCAAUACUAGCCUCUCCUUCUCGCUGAUGGCUUGAUUUCACUCAAAUUCUUUAAAAUUAUUUUAUAAAAAGAAAAUAAAGUUUCAUAGAGAGAGCGUUUGUGAUGCACAUGUGAUUGGAGGUUUUUGAAGAGGGAAAAGAAAGAAGAGACGACGGAGAGAAGAAAACAAAAAAGGUUGAAAGAAGAGGAUGAGAAAGAACGGUUGAGUGAUUGACACAUGGAAAUGGAGAAAGAUGAGCCGUUCAUCUUUUGUUUUAUAGGAUGUUUUGUAACAUCUAGAUUUUCUCACCAAUUGGGCGGAAGGAAUUAUGGACCGCUCAUUAAAAUGUUUCUUCCAAUUUUAGGAAUCACACACCCAAUCUCCUUCUCCAAUCUCAUUCUUCUUACUUCAAUUCAUUUACAUUUCCUUAAUUACACCUUACCCUUCCUUACUCUCACAUCAAUUCUUCUUUUCUCCAUUCAAAAAUUUAAAAAAAAAAAAAAAAACUUACAUGGUAUAACCAUAAUACGUAUUGUAUUACAUACCUAUUCGAUUCUAAAUUAAUGUCAUGCAAUGGUACGUUGUAAAAAAUAGGUGAAAAUUUAAUGGAUUUAGAAAAGUGAAAGUGGUUUAAUUUAAUAAAUGGAAGGUUUACAAAUUUUAAUUAUUAAUUGUUAGAAUGGGUUGUUUUUGUGUAAUGUGAUUAGUGAAAUAAUGUGAAAAGAUGUUUUGCAUGUUGGAGUGUACAUGUUGCGUUUUUAAUAUGGAAAACAAAGAUUGAUGAGUCAUUCAUUUUUACUUGUACAAGUAGGAAUCUAAUUACAUGAGAAUUUGAGAUCAAUAUUUGACAUAUCUAUUGAGUGAUUCACAUCAACGUCUCUUCCUUCUUUCUUCUUAUUAUUUUUUUUGGAAAAUGAUCUUGUGUUUGUAUUGUGUAUGUAGUAGUAGUAGGUGAAACCAAAGAGUAGUCGUUUCAGAUAAUGGGUAUCGGAUUAUAGAUAAGAUGUGUAUUACCAUUUUUGAAAAACUGAUAGUUUGAUUCUUAGAUAGACAAAAAAAUUAAAAUAGAAUCUUGUAACGGUACGUCGCAAACGAAAAUUAAGUAUUGAAGUCUUAAAAGAAAAAGAAAACAAAAUAAAAUUUAUGAUUUCUUUCCUAAAUUUCAUAGUAGAGUUGUCGCCACGUGUGAGCAUAAUAGAUUGAAAAACCAAGCUAACGAACUUUGGUUUGGGAAAUCGAGAGAAGUCGGUUUCGAAAAGCUUCAAAUUGAUCAUUUUCAUUGUAAUUAUUAAACCGACGCGACAGAUCAACCCUUACUCAUCGAUAUCAAGAUCACACUUUACUAAACUGAAUAUGGUCGAUCCGGGAUCGAUUUUGUCAAAAAAAAAAAUAAUAAUAACAACCAACUUUGAUCGAUCGAUGAUCAUCCCUAAAAAGAAAAUUCAAAAUUGACUUGAUUUUUAAGUUAAAAAUGGAAAGUAGAGAACAAAAGUAAAUAGAUUUCCCUAAACAAAUAGCAAAAAUAAUUAGUUAAUAUAAUAAUCCAAUUAUUUUCACAUGCAUAUAUUAAAUUUUAUAAAUAUUUUACUUGAUGUGUUAUUAACCUAUUUAAUUAUCGUCUUUAAUAUAAUUCAAUUCAACUUAAAAUACAUAUUCUUACAAAUUUCAUAACUAAAAAGAUAUAUUUAAGAAGGAUUAGAAAUCAAAUCUAAUUUUAUUUUAUGACCACCGUCCACCAUUCUUUGAUCAUACGACAAAGUAUAAAUCAAACUACUUGGAUUUUACUCAAGAGCGUGAUGGACUACUCUUUUAAGCUAAGCAUGUUUAAUUUUGAAGUUUACAUGAUCGAGCAACCAAAGAAGAAGGUGCACAUUGUUGGUAUAAAUAGUAACUUUUAAUUUUUUAAGUCUUUCUUAUUUUUAUCUCUAAUUCAAAUGUGAUAUUGAUUCAUUAACGUCAAUUCCUAAUAUCGGAGUGUUACAUGUACUUUGUAACACGUACCUCGUAGUUUAUUGUGCAGUUUUUCGAGAAUCUUCAUUAAAUUAAAAUUUUGAUUGUUAAAAUAAUGAUGGAUAAAUAGUACUAAGACUAAUACUACUAAAUGACCACAUGGAUCUAAGUGAUUAAAUAUGAAAAAUUGUCAUAAAAUUCACAUUAUGUUUGGUAGCUUAGCCAAGAAGAUCAAUGGGGAGUUUGGGAAUUAUUCCUACGAACAAUAAAUAUGGAAUCAAUUGAAAUUAUAGAAACUAUGAGUCAAACGAAGGGUAGGUUAUCACUAAAUGCAUUUUAUUUCUUGGAAGUGUAUAUUCUUUUAUUUGUUAGGUUGUUCAUAGGUUAAUUGAGUUCGGAUUGCUAAUUUUGUGUUUUUAAAUGUUCAACGUUAGUUUAUGUAUUUUUCAAGAGUUUUUAAAAUUUAUUACCCUUAAUUUUUCUAUAAAAUGUAAAUAUUUUGUCAAAUGUUUUACUUUUAACAAAAAAAAAUUUUAACUUUAUUACACUUCUCGAAAUUUCUAUCGAAAUUUUGGUAAAAUUGAGAUCACCUCGAUAUCUCCAUCGACAUCAACAUUUUAAACUACUUUCAAUUAAAAAAGAAAACUAUUUUGUUCUUUUUAUAUAUAUUUUUUUUUCUUUUCUACUCUUAACAACUAUGAUUGAUGGAAACCAAAAGCAUUACAUCCAUAUCCAAUAUUGAUGAACUAAAAUAUUUAUAGCAAAAAGGACUUAAAAUUUUUAGAUAAAAUUUGAAAUUAAGCUAGUAAAUAUUUUUAACAAUCAUAUCAUUUACUUACGAUAACUUUUCAAUAAAAAAAUGCAAUUUAUAUUUGCAAUUGUGUUAUAUACCAAACAUCUUAUAAAAUUAAGAUGCUUUUAGAAGACCCAUUAGCAAAUUAUCAUUGUUGAAAAUAAAAUAAAAUUGGUAUUAGAAUGAAUCUUCAUCUGACAUACAAAUUAGGUAUUAAUGUUGAACCAAACAUUUCAAAAUAUUCCACAAGAAAAGAAAAAAAAGUUCACGAGGAGGUAAAAAUUCCAAGAAGUAAAAUGAAACUUAUGAAACCAUUCAAUCCAGCCUUAAAAUUUUUGAAAUUUCAACCAUACCCUCAUUUUUCUACCAAAAUUCUCGCAUCGCUUUUAGUAUAUAAAAAGAAAUGAGUUUUGUAAUAGGUUCAAACCAAACAGGGAUUGGGAUUGGGAUUUUAUUGAAUGUGUAGAAGAAGAAAAAACAGAAAGAAAAGUGAUAGAAUAUGAAAUAGGGUAGAGGGUAGAGAGUAGAGGGGGGAAAGAGUACUUGAGAAAUAAAUGGUGUUUGGGGAAUUGGUAAGUUUAAAGAUACCCUAAAAUGGAAAUGAAAACAUGUGCAUUUUGGAGGAAAGAUAAGAAGUGGACUAACUUAGUUUAAUGAACAACUAAGAACCAUUGUUGGAAAUGGUGAUGAAGAAAAGUAUUGCAAUGCAAUUAUUGAUGGAUGGAAGAAAGAUGAUGGUCGGUAGUUGAUGGUCUAUGUUUUAUCCAUUCAGCUUCGUUUGAAUUGGGUAACAAUGCAUUUAUUCAGUUUAUCUUAUUACUGCCUAGUACCUACGUUUCAAACUAACGAGCUUAAACCAUUUUUAAAUUACUCUCGAACAAUAAGAGUUGUAACGGAGUUUGAAAAGACGGUCCUUUUUUUUCUUGGCUUGUUGGGGUGUGUAGUGUAAUUUGGGAAUUUGGGAAUUUGGGAGGAGAGGAAUGAUUGAAUGUUUCGAGGUACAAAAAGGGACCACGGCGAGGUUUGAUUCCUUUGGAGACCCUUUGUAACUAUUCCGUCCAUCACAUUUUACCUAGUUGCAACCUCUUCUUUUAGUUGGAGUCUUGUCGAGCCAAAAUACCUCAAUUCUACUUGAGGAAUAAGAAAAACAACGUAAUAAUUAAAGUUGGAAAUGGAAAACUCUCAAAUUUGAGAAAAAUCACCGGCCACAGAGUGGAAAAUUAUUACAAUCAUACACGAUAUUUUUCACUCCUCAUCUUCAAUUACAAAAUCACUAUCUUCAAAACUUUUGACUACUCACACCCUUUUUCACGCUUAAAUCAGAACAUACUAAAGAAAUUUUAGUAUUUAGUUUGAGUCGAUACAAAAAAGUUUAAAGUGUAUUAGAUUGAGACAUUUGUUCUUUUUCAAAACUUUGAACGUGAACAAAAUUCACUGCAACAACAAGUGAAUAAUGAACCCUAAACACUUUCGUGAAACGUGUUUGGCUGUGAUUCAAUUAUAAAAAUAAAAUCUAGUUUAUAGUUAUCACAUUAACACUAAACUUAUUUUCACAAGAAAAACAUGUUUAGUUUUGUGAUUUCAUUUUCUCUCUCCAAAAUAGUCUUUGAUUAUUAAAAAUGGUUUUGGUCCAAUUCAAACAAACAAAAAAAAGGUUGAUUGUUGUUGAUGCUACCGUCCACAAUUGUUUUCAUUAUGGCUGAAAAUUGUGUUUUUAAUAAGAAAAUCAUAUCAACCUUUUGUUUUUAUUUUCUUCUUUCCUAUUUCUUAUGAGAUGUGGCAUUGAAUUGUGUUUCAAACACUUGAUUUUGUAUUUAGAAUUUAAUCUGAGAAUUCAAGUAAGAAAAGUAAAAAUCAUGAUCAAGGAGUUGAGAGACAAUAAACAUAGAUUUCAUAAGCAAAACGAAAAAGAAAAUAUUUGGAUGUAAGAGUUAUAUGUUGGUGUUAAUUAAUACCAUAGACUAAAAUAACUCAAUCAAGUGUUUUGUUUUUGAAAAUUUUAUGAGCUAAAAUAAAAUAAUAACAAAAUUUGGAUUUCAUCUGGUAAUGAUUUUGGUUUUAGUAGUAUGUUUUUAAUGGUUUCCUACUAAAUUAGAAACAAGAAUUAAAUUAUGAAAACAAAACUACUUUAACCUUGAUUUUUGACAAACAGUAGCGAACAAAACAAAUAAAUCUAAUCUAGUUUAAAAAAUCAUACGGUAACGAAACCAAAAUUUAAAAAUCAAAAUAAAACAAAUAAAGAUUAAAAAAAACAGGAUUAAAACCUAGAUAAUUCACUAUGGUUGGAAGGAAUUAGAAUAUUCAACAAAGAAGAUGGCUUAGAAUAGAUGGAUGAGAAAAUCAAGGACAGUGGGGGGGUUGUAGAAAAGUACAGAGAUUAACUUAGCAGAGAGAGAAGUUAAUUGGACAAAUUAGAAAGGAAUUAAAGAAGUUGAUGUAUGCACCUAAGAUUCCCUUGAAAUGGACGCCCCUAUAGUGUAUUUUUCCUCCUAAUUAUAUCCUCCAGUUUCCUAGAUAUACGUGGAAGAAAUAUUCAUCUCUCAUGUAUGGGUGAUGAACCAUUGAUGUAAAUGCAUACUAAAUAACUAUGUUUAUAUAAAGCACAAUAAAAUUACCAGGAAUCUUGAGAUGGCAAUGCAAAUUCCCGUGUAAAGUUUCAGGAAAACGACCGCAGAGCCUCGAUGACGACCUUCUCGUGCCUGUUUAUCAUAAAAAAAAAAAACUUAAGACAAUAAAAAGAAGUCAACCAAGAGGUAAGAAACUUUUGAAACUUGAAAGUUACAUGCAAUAAUGCAAAUGAGAUAUAGUUUGUACCAGUCUUCUUGGGCCAUAUGGCCAGCUCCUUCAAGCAACUUGAGCUGGAUUGUUGUUGAGUUAUGAUUUUUUUGAAACUCUUUACCAAUGGACUGAGGUAGAUACUUGUCUGAAAAUGCCCCAAAGAUCAAGGCUUGAUUUGUCCCAUCCCAUCUGUGACCCAUAAUAGUUUUUGUUAUUUAUUAAUGAUGAGCUUUUCUUCUUUUUCAUGUGAGCCUAAUUUUUCAUCCUGACAUUAAAGCAGAAAAGAAGUCACCAGCAUACGCUGAACCAUUUUAUUACAGCCUGACAUUCAUGCAUUUCGAAGUGGUUUGGUUUCAGAAUGUGUUAAUUUUUUGGGUAAAUUUUUAGGCCAUCAUAACCAUUUGGUUUUUUUUUGGAAUUUCAAAGCUUAAAAACAGUAGCUACUUACUUUUUUUUUCUUUUACAAAUGAAAACUAAAUAGAAUUUGAUUAAGAAUUCAAACAGUUGUGAAAAAUGGGGAGAAAGCAAGUUUUAUUUUCAAAAAUCAAAAAUAAAAAACUAAAUAGUUACGAAUUCUUUUUUUCAGAACUGCCAAAAAGAAAGAAGUUUUUCAGAUCUUGACAAAUUACCAUUCAAUAUCUUAGUUCUAGGGUAAAGCCUCAUUUGUCACUCAGACUUUUAUAAUUGUCUAUUUUUCUUCUCCUAGAUGUAACAUAUUCUACUCUGGAGAAUUAUUUAUAAGGCCAUUUAUUUCAAUAUUUGACAUCAAUAUGGCACAAGAAAUAGACAAUAAAUCAACAUCAGCCCAAUGAAAACAUUUAGUUAAAUGCUACUUUUGGAAGAAUAUUAUCAAGAUACUAAGAACAGAUACUAUUUUAUGUUAAUUUCGGUUUCAACUUUUGUUCCUAACGAUGUAGUAUUAAAUUUUAAAGAUAAAAGAUUAAAAUGAAUUUUAUAUAAAGUUCAAUGACCUGAAAUGAGAUUUGGAAAUAAAAACGAACUUUUAUUAUGAAAAUUUUAUUGUGUGGUCUCGUUUUCAUUUGCGGUUGCCAACGUAUUAAUAAAAUGUUGAAUGAUAAAUGACGCGACAGUAACAAAUUAAUAACAUCCAAAAAUAGUUUAAUGUAAAAUAAGGAGGUAACAAGAGAAAAGCUAACCUCCCAGAAGCAAAGCCAGCAGUUAUCUUGACUAAAAAUACCAUUGAAAUUAGCUUCUCUUGCUGCUUCAAGAAAAGCUGAAAAGAAGGGGAAAGAAGAAAAUUAUGGGGUUAGUCUGUUUUCAGGUUUUAAGAUUUUGGAAUCUUGAUAAGAAGAAUGUUUAAUGCAGUUUAAAUCUUUAAACAUUACCUUAGCAAGACCCUGAACAUGAGAACUCCAUAGCUAUAAGAUUGUGUUGAAGCGCUCCAUAAAGGAAGACUAUAGUUCCCCGCCAGCUUUUGGAAGACCCCACAAGAUCAAAAGAAUUCUCAAUGCCUAUUAUUGAACGUAUUAACUUGGAAGUAGCAGAAACGACAUACCAGUCUCUCUAACAAACCAUCUGAAUUUCCCAUCAAGAUUCUCAAUGUUGUGGAAUUUGGCUGUAGUAGUGAAGUGUAUUGGUCAUUUGAAGUUAUGAAUUUGUGUUAAUACUGAAUGAAAUAAAUUUUGAACGCUUUCUUUUGUCAGGUGGAAUUGUGAAAAUUUUGUGUUUUUUUCUUGAAUACAAAUACUUGCGUCGAUUACUUGUGGAUUUAGAUAUUAGUAAACAGCUAGAAAGAGUUGAGUUUAGAGAGGGAGGCUAUUGAUUUAAGAAUUCAAGGCCAUCACCAGUAAUCUUUACACGAACAUAAACCAUGUUUGAAAUGGUGGAAUCUGGUUCUGUCCCUAACAAUUACUUCUCUAUUAUACACCUUUGAGACUAACUUUGCCAUAUUGUGACAAUCCAUGCACAUUCGAAGGUUCUUUGUGAUUCUAAUUGUGACCCCAGGCGGGGAAUUAAUGAGUCCAAAAGCAAUGGCCAAUUUCUCACUAUGACGAAAGACUGAGUUCUCUUUAUCCUCUUCUGCUAUGUCAAGGAACACUUCUGAGAUAUCAGGUGAAUAUCCUGCAAGUUUCAGGUCUUGGGUCAUUUUAUCCAACUUGGCAUCAAUAUUUUUAGUUUGAGGGUGUGAUCGGUCUCCAGCUACAAAUUCGUGAACCCUGCCAUUCAUCUCUAUCAAACUGCAACCGGGUGUUUUUUUUAUUCCUUUGUCCAUCAUCAUCUGUCUCAAUUCUCGCAGGUCAUUCCAUCUUUUGCAUGCUGCAUAUAUAUUACACAGGAGAACAUAGACAGCACCAUUGUCAGGCUCCAACUCAAGAAUCUGCUUCACAACCAUUUCAGCCAUAUCGGAUUCUCUAUAAACUCUACAACCAGCUAGAAGAGCUCCCCAGACAAUGGAAUUGGCUUUUAUUGGCAUGUUCUCGAUGACUUCAUAGGCUUCUUUUAGACGACCAGCUCUAGCAAGAAGAUCAACCAGACAACCAUAGUGUGCUAUAUUGGGUUCAAUACCGUGUUGGGAUGUCAUCCUAAGAAAAUACUUACGACCUUUGUCUACCAGGCCAGUGUGAGUGCAAGCAGAAAGAACACCAAUGUAAGUAAUCUCAUCUGGCAAAAUUGAAGCUUUUAGCAUGUUAGAAAACAUGUCAAGAGCUUUCUCACCAUGGCCAUUGACUGCAAGGCCAACUAUCAUGGCUGUCCAUGUAAACUUGUCUCUCUGGCUCAUCUCUCUGAAUAUACUUUCUGCUUUGUCAACAUCUCCACACUUAAAGUACAUGUCUAUCAAAGCAUUUCUAACAAAUAGGUCAUUCUUGAUCUUGUUCCGGUCGAUGUAAGUUCUUAUCCAUUCUCCUAACUCUAGGGCCCCUAAAUGUGCACAAGCAGUUAGAACGCUGACCAUAGUGAACUCAUCAGGCUUUACAUUGGUUGCUUGCAUAUUGCGGAACAGUUCCAAUGCUUCUUUGAAUCGGUUUGAACGGAUAUAUCCAUCGAUCAUGGCAGUCCAUGAAACAUAGUCUUUCUCUGGCAUCUUGUCGAAGUAGUUACGAGCAACAUCAAUUUCUCCCAAGUUGGUAAACCCAGAUACAAUUGUCGUCCAAGAAAUGAUAUCUCUGUUAUUCAUACUCCUGAAAAUCCCAAGGGCAGAAUCCAUUUCCCCACAGUCAGCAUACAUAUCAAUCAUAGCAUUUUCAAGAACCAAAUUGCUCUCAACCUUGCAGUUCUUCACAUAACUAUGAACCUUCUUCCCAGUUCUUAAAUCUUUCAAUUUGGAGCAAGCCGACAGCACUAAAACAAGGGUCACCGUGGUGGGCAGCACUUGUUUAUCCUCCAUAACAAGAAAAAGUCUUCUUGAUUCCUCAAACUUACCAACUUUAUUGUAAGCAGAAAUUAUCAUGUUCCAAGUAAUCACAUCAGCUUUGGGACAAACAUCGAAAACCCCACGAGCCGUAUCAAGUUGGCCACACAAAAGAUACAUUUGUACCAAAGCAGUGUGAACAAAGACAUUAUACUGAAGCCCAUGCUUUAAAACAUGGCCAUGAAGCUGUCUUCCAUAUUCCAAUGCAAUGUCUCUUGUAAAUCCUUUGAACAGGAACGGAAAGGUGUAACGAUCAGGCUUAACACCUCUCCUCAACAUCUCCAAAUACAAAGAAACUCCAAGCUGAGGAAAAUCCAACCGGGAGUAGCCCCUAAUCAUUGUGUUCCAGAUGAACAAAUUGGGUUCGGGAAUUUCAUCAAACAGGCGACGUGCAUAUUGAAAGUCACCAUAUUCAUGAGUACAACAAAAGGUCAUGACUCUGUUUUGCAGAACUGGGUUAGCAUUGAGACCUUUUUUAAUUGCUUGACAAUGGACUUGCUGAAGCUGGUCCAUGGAUUCGCAGGUCUCGAGAAGAGAGAUUAGAGGGUGGGUGGGUGGAGAGAACGACUUUAAAGCUGAGGAAGUAGCGGCAAUGGUGGUCAUUUGCUUGGGUUUUUUUACAUGACGAUGAUGCAACAGAGUCCUGAAACGCACCGGGACUGGCAUGAAUGUGUCGAAAACUUCCUCAAUUCAUUGACACCCAAAAUAAUUUUUCUUCCACAUUACAUCAAACACCUUAAGCCCAAAAAAAAUCAAACCAACUAUGGAAGAAGAACUCACCCAACUCACCCUCCGCCCAUUCCAUCUCUCCAAUGUAGAUGCCUUCAUGCUUUUGCUUUGGGCUGGGAACGAUCGAGUCAUGAAGUUUAGUAGAUGCAAUGUUUUUACGUCCAAUAAACAGGCAAUGUCGUCGGACGUCGGUCGGCCAAUUUGUGUAGAUGGGCACCCGGUUCGGUUCGUCUCGGUUUAUUCGCGGUCGGUGAAUUGCAACCGAGCCGUGGGGAAUGGCUGUUCACAAAGCGUGAGAUCGAACCAACAUUGUUUGAUAUGGUCCAAUGAGCUUGGGCUUGAAUUUGCCAAAAGAGUUUGAUUGAGUUUAAUUGAUUGAUUGUUUCGCAAAUAUUGAAUAAAAUUCUGUUAACUUGUGAUUUAUUAUGAGUUUAGGGCAUUUUUUGAAAUUAUUUUACUAAAAUCACUUAUCAUUUGCAAUAAUAACUUUUACAUCUAAAAUAGGUUGAUUAAUAGAUGUUUCAAAACAAUCAAUUUAAAUAUAAUUUGAUUGAUGAAGAUAAUUAUAAUUUUGAAUCAUCAUUCUUACAUAUUAUUAGUAUUGUUAUUUUUUAAUACAACCUUAAUUUCUAUUUAUGCUUUCUAAAACCAAACUGAGUCUUGAAAAUAAAAAAUAGAAUACAAACAUUGAUUUUGUAUUUAGAAUUUGGCUAGGGAUCAUGUGCUUUUUUCAUAAAUAUAAAAAUUAUAAUAAAAAUUGGAAGGAAAAAAAUAAUACUUUUAAACGAAGAUUUUAAAAAAUAGAAGAAUUGAAAAAGGAUUUACAGACAAAAUUUUAAUCCAAGUCUGAAAUAGAUAACAACAAAAUUUAUUUAUUUAUUUAUUUUUGCUAUAUGAUCAAAAUUUUCAUAUUUUCUUCUAUUUAGGUAAAUUUGUCUUUAAUUUUAGUUGUAUGUUUUUAAAUUUUCUAUUUGUUUUUUCUUUCUAAAUUAAAUAAUAUAAACUUUCACAUUCCUUGGGUGGCACUCGAAUCUUUGGUUAAAUUUUAAAAACAACAAUAAAUUUUUGUAAACCUAAUAGAUAACAAAACAAACCAAUCUAAAUGAGAGUAAUGUUCACAAUUUUAAUUUUCACAAAACCAAUGGAAGACUUAAAAAUAAAAUAAAUAAAGAUUCAAGAGUAAAAAAAUAUAAUAAGCGUGAAAUUUCACUAAACAAAAUAGGAUUCAACCCUAAAUAAUUCACUAUCAAUCAACUGGUGGAAGGGUUAGAAUAUCCAAAAAUAAAGAUCGGAUGAGAAAAUCAAAGAAUAGUCAUAGUUGUAGCUGUGGUGGAAUAGUAUUAGAGAUUAAUUUAGCACAGAGAUAAAGUAAUUGGACAAAUUAGAAAGGAAUUAUAGAAGUUAUAUUAAUUUAGGCACCUAAGAUUUCCUUGAAAUGGACGCCCUAUAAUAUAUUUUUCAUCCAAAUAUCCUCUAAUUUCCUAGGCAUACCACAGGAAGAAAUAUUCAUCGAGGAAUCCUUUCAUGUAUGGGUGAUGAACCAUUAAUAUAGAUACAUACAAAUCAACUACAUUUAUGCACAUUAAAAUUACCAAGAAUCUUGAGAUGGCAACGCAAAUUCUCCCGUAAAGUUUCAGAAAAACGACCGCAAAGCCUCAAUGACCUUCUCGGGCCUGUUUAUGAUAACCAAAGACUUAAAAUAAUUUAAAGAACCCCACUGGAGUAUAGUUCAAACAUCUAAACCUCAAUCAACCGGACUCGAAUGACCUAUCUCAUAUAUUGUGGAACUAAAAAGACAAAGCGGUAUAGAUAAAAUUUUACCAGUCCUCUUGGGGCAUAUGGCCAGCUCCUUCAAUUAACUUGAGUUGGAUUGUUGUUGAGUUCUGUUUUUGAAACUCUUCGGCAAUGGACUGAGGUAGAUACUUGUCUGAAAGGCCCCAAAGAACAAGACUUGGUUUGUCCCAUCUGUGAGCAACAGUAAUUUUUUGUUAUUUAUUAAUGAUGAGCUUUUUUCAUGUGGGCUUAAUUUCUUGUCUUGAUAUUAAAGCAGAAAAACUGACCUUCCAGAUGCAAAGCCAGCAGUUAUCCGACUUAAGAUAUCAUUGAAAUUAGCUUUUCUUGCUGCUUCAAGUAAAGCUGAAAAGAAGGGGAAAUUAGAAAAGUAUAGAGUUGUCCGUUUUCAGGAUUUGGGAUUGAUUACUAGAUUCAUUUCUCAUGGCCCAGGGAAUUGAUCUUCUGCAUGAGAGAUUAAUUUUAACUGGAUGUAUUGGAUAAAAGAGCAUAUUGCCAUGGAUAAGUUAAUUCAAAAAUUUUAUUUGAUAAAGGGUAAUUUAGAAUUAUUGUAUUAAUCCAGUUUAAAUGAUAAAGUUUGCUAGCUCAACUUGCAUCAAACAUGUAAUAUUAAAUGCAAGGCUGGUUUGAUCCCUAGAUCCCACGCAUGGUCUGAAAACAAAAUUCUUUCUAAUUGAUAAAAUUUGCUACUUACCAAAACCAGGUCCUCCACUAGACAAGUAUGGAAGUCUAUAAACAUCGGCCUUUUCCAGCUUUAAUACGUAUCUACAAGCAGAGAAAAUAGUCUGUCAGCGUCUGCGUAAUGUGGUUAAUAUUCUAAAAUCAAGACAUACUAUUAGAUGAAUUGCGUACAUACAGGAAAGUAAAUGUACACAUCAAUCGUUCAUCUAAAAAGGAAAACUACAUCAACUUGCCCAGAUAAGAUAUCUAUCUCAUAGUCCAAGAAUUUAAAAGAGAAGAAACCAAAAAUAUGACCUAAAUAUCUUCCAAAAAAUACAAAGCCAAAACGUUGAGGAUUUACUCCUUGCACAAUGAUCGUGGCUCACCCCACUAGUUGUUGGCAGUUUUUGGCUCACCCCACCAAUGUUGGGAGUCUUUGUUCACUCCAAGAGACAACUUAAGCGGUUAUUAAGUUUUUAAUUUGGGGACUUGAAAUUAAAACCUUUGGGACGGUAUCUUCAACAUCCCAAGCCCUUGGUAAAUAACAAAUAUCUUAUAGUAUCACUAGUUCCAACACAACAAACUGUAAAAUGUAAAUCAGUUAUUUAUGUGUUCAGAAGAGACUCUUGCAUCAAACUUACUGUGUCAAAAAAGAUAAUACAUGUAUUAGUUGUCGCUAAAUCUAUUACGCUCUUGGAUGAAUUCCUUGUCAUAGUCAUAACUCUUAGUUUCAGUCUAAUCUGUAUAUUGAUCUUUUCUGUGGAUUAAUGAAGAUUCUAAUGCUUUGUAGUUUUGAAUUACAUCACAGGGAAGAUAGGAAGGAUUAAUCGAAGAACAAUCCAGUGUCAAGAUGCUCUUAGAUACAUACGCGCUACCUGCUUCAAUAAAACGUUCAGCCAUAACUGCAUUCUGGCAUGUAAAUUCACCAAACAGGGGGAUCCUACUCACAGAGCAAACAAACUGAAACAUAUCAUUAACAAGAACUUGAAAAGAAUUAAAGAAAAGGAAAGGUAUUUCCAAGAUCAAAAGUGAACUGUUAGAUUGAUUCUUAAUAAAAAUUAAGAAAAUUACUCAAUUUAUAACAAAUUGACCGAUGCUUUGCUAGAAAAUAAGAACUAAAAGAGAAGCACAAAAUUAAUAUGGUUCAGUUAGUUAUUUCAUCGUAUGCCUAAAUGAAGAUUCUGAAACUCGUGGUGAAGAUUUAAGAAAUGGGUUUAACAUGAACAUUUGCAUAUUAUAUUUUCAAUGCAUUAGUUAGAAUCAUCGUACUGAACCUUAGCUGUUGAAACAACCCAGGAACAGGAGAAGAAACCGUUAAUGGAGUGUUUAGAAUGGAAAUCUUUGAUAUCCUGCUCUGAUUUUUCAAGGCCCAUGUUAAUCCAUAUGAUCCCACCAGAAAACCCUUCAAGAAAGAUUGUGUUAAGAUUAUUAAUACAGUAGGACAUGAAUAGAUGUGCAUUGUUGAGCAAUCAAUCUUCAUGACACAAGCAUGUCAGCCUGGCCAUGUGUCUAAUUUUAUAUGAAAAACUUUUUUCUAGAAAUUUCAAAUCAAACCUGAAUCACUAGAUUAAAGGGUGUGUUGAUACCGAGCAUAUCAAGUAGUUUGUCGAGUGCCUCGUGGUACUCUUUCUCUGUGUCAAUGCAAAUUUCACAUAUACCACAAAAGAAUAUAUCCAAGCAGCUAGUUACUAUAAAAUAAGUGAUUAAAAAUUCCAAAAACCUGUAUAAUUAAAGCCAUAUCCUGGUUGCGGUUUGUCACUGAAACCGAAUCCUAUCCAAUCAGGAGCAAAGCAGUGGAAUCCAAAAGCAGACAACUAGCCAAUACAACAAACGAAGUGAAUUUAAAAAGGUUUAAGUUUCAGAUAAAAGAAAUGCUAAGAUUAAAUAUUAAAUUAUCAUGAGAUCAAGAUUGAAAUUUAAGGGCACGUGGAUGGUCUAACUAUCCAAACUCAGUCCUGCCAAGAUUUCAGUUGCAAGAAAAAUGAGGUUGAAGAACACUACAAGUCUUUCUAUCACGACCCUUCAAUUGACAAGUGUAUGAGUUCCAUGGUUUUGAGAUUUUGGAAACUUGAUAACAAGAAAGUUCAAUGCAGUUUUAAACAUUAUUUUAGCAAGACCUCGGACAUAACAACUCGAUAGCUAUAAGAUUGUGUUGGAGCGCCAUGAAGGAAGACUAUAGUUCCCCGUCGGCUUUUGGCAGACCCUACAAUAUCAAAAAAUUCUCAAUGCUCAACACUGAACCGAAUAACUUGGAAGUAACUGAAAUGACGUACCAGUUUCUCUAACAAACCAUCUGAAUUUCCCAGCUUUUACGUAAGAGCCAUAUUCCUUUCCCUUGUCCUCUAUUCUCUAUUGAAAGAUAAAUAUGUUAGAUGCAUUAAAAUGUACAAUGUAAUCUAAUUUCAGCUGCAAUAAAAAUCCAUGAAGACUACACAACACUGCGGAAAGACGGAGAAAUAAACAAAUUCCAGACAUAAGACGAUAAUGGAUUCAUUUUUAUAGCCCAGCUAGUUCCAUUAAACUCCGUAAAGCAAUCGAUGGACUAAAAUAUAAGGUUAAAUUGUAGGUUUGUGUCCAUUUAUUCCCUACUUUCAAAAUAUUUCAUAGGUCCUUGAACUAUCAACUUUGUGUCCGAUAAGAUCUAGGUGUUUCAUAAGUCCCUAAACUUUCAAUUCUGUGUUUAAGGGAUCUAAUACAUCCGAAUUUUUUAAGAAGUAACUGAUCGGCUAGAUACAAAUCCAAAUUCUAUGUCGGAUGGAAUUCUAUGGUUGCAAUUUUGUAUGUGAUUGAUGAAUUUAAAAAGUUCAUAAAUAGGUCAAAAUUGAAAAUUAAGAAUCUAUUAAAUAUUUUUAAAGUUAGAACUACUUAACACACCACCCAGAGUCAAAGUUAAGAUACAUUUACAAACUUUGAGAACCAAGCAAAAGGCAACUAAAUUUCAAAACCUUCCAAGCUCCAAUACAAUGUAACGACAGCAACUGAAAAUUGGAGCUCAAAUCUCUCAUAUAAUAUGCUACUCAUUUUCAAUUGAUAAUCCACUUGAACACAAGAAAUAAAGAUAAUUAGGUCACACACGAGUUAAUUAUCACAAUUGACAACCACGACCAGAUCGGUUCCAUGCUAGCUUGAAUCAGUAAUUUUCCAAUAAACUCACCGCUCAAUUGACCAAUUGAUUGUCAGAACGGGAAUUCAAUUUUCCGAUGCGUUCAACCCGAUCACUGAUUUAAACUACGUUUUGCUGCCAUAGAAAAUGAAUUGUACUUACAUAGAGCAUCUGGCCGACAUUGCCAUCCUCAGCCGGGCUCUCGGGAAGUUGAAUCGCACUUCGGCUUGACGGAUUGUCAGUGACGAACCCAAACGGGUUGAACCCGGUUGAAUCAGCAUCGCCAUCGUUCGCUUCGUCUUUUCCCUUGGCACUGGCUAUGAUUCUUCCGGGGGAAGAUGGCGGUCUGAUUCUUGUGGUGGCGGCAGUGAAGUAACAGUAUGAUCUGGUGGAGGCGGAAAGGGAAGAGAGUGGAUAAGGUGACGAGCAGCUGAGGGGCUGAGAGAGCACGGCCCUGGCCAUUGCCUCCAUGACAGGUUUUGAGGCUGAGAACCAACGGUUUUAACGGACCUUUCCUUUUAAUACUUUUUUAUAUAUUUAAUAUCUGCAAAAUAUAUAUUUGUUAAAUUAUAAAUUUGAUGCAUUACUAUUAGCAUCCAAAAAUUCAAUCCAUAUACCUUGACAAGGCAAUAACUAAUAUCUAUUUAACUAUAUUUAAUUUGACAGUUUUAUUCUUAAAUUCAGAUAAAUAAAAUAUAAUUCAUAUAAUUUUAAAAUUACAAUGAUUAAAGCAUAAGGAUAAACAUGUGUAUAACCUUCAUUAUUGAUAAAAUAAUUUGAAAGUUGUGUUCAGAUGUGAAUUAUAAAUAUUACUCAAAUAGAUUCUAAAAAUAUAGUUAUUAUGAAGCAACGACCUAGUAAAAAUUAACAAAUCAAAAUAAAAACAAGUAACCUGCACGAUUGAAUGCUUACUUAACUAAUCCUUAUAUGCCAAGCACAUUCAUUUAUUGUGUCAACAAUCACAUUUAAAAAAAAUUAUAUUUGAAACUUUUUAUUCAUAAGUGAACAGACAAGAUACACCCACGUUUGCAGUUAUAUCAUCGUCUUUCUUGCAUUUAGGGAUAAAACUCCAUAAAAGAGCUGAUUGCAUACUUCAUUCUUUGUGUUUCUUUACACAUCACAUUUCCCACCACUUGUGCUUGUGACAGUGAAUGUCAACGAAAAAUUCAAUCUACCUCGAUUGAUUUUAAUAAAAUAUGAGUUUAGUAUUGGCUAUAAAGUAUGUGUUCAAAUUUGUAUUGUACUAAAAAAAACAUACCUAUUUAAUUGAGGUACGAGGUCAUGCAUUUCAUUGUUAUAAGGAGACUUUGGCUUUAUUAUAGAUUAAAAUUAUCAUUUUAAUGGAUAGGUAUAACAUUAAUUACUUCUUCAAACUCAACGUUGAUGCAUUGUGAAAAGACAAUCAUUUCUCCUCUUAAAAUGGUGUAAUAAUCAGAGACUUAGUGGUAUCAUUAUAUGUAGUUGCGGUUGCUUGAUCAAUUGACUUAGUUUAUAUGCAAGAUAUACGUAGCAAAAAAAGUAUGUAUAUAUAUAUAUAUGAAAUUGACGAUGGGGAAGAUAAAUUUAAUAUCACAUCAUUUGAUAAUAUUUGUAAUUUGCCCGUAAAUAAAUAAGGUUUGCACUUACAUCUUGACGGUUCAGAUUCUAAGAAACAACAACGGGCGUUAGAUCAACCGAGCUCAACGGAAUAACAGGAGAAAAUGGGCGUAGCACAUUAAAACCUUGAAAUAACGGAAUAAGGGGAAAGUUUCGAAGCUUCCACAGCGGUGGUUGAACUCGCCAAAGUUGGAAAUCCACUGUACAGAGAAGAAAGUAAAAAUAAAUUUGAGCAAUUCGGAUCCUUACCGGACCCGACCCGCCGUAGUUCUCAGGUCGACGGCGUUCAUCCUUCUCGGAUCACAGCUUCAGAAUCGUCCAGCAUCUAUCGGCAAUUGGCAACUACGCCCGAGAUCUCACCUUCUUCAUCAAUGUUCUGUAAUUCCCCUCAAUUCCCUCUCUUUUCUCUACUUUAACUCUUCUCCAGGGUUUAUUUUUCUGUUGUCAUUUUCUAUCCGGGAAUUACUUUGAACUCCCUUUCGCAUAUAAUUGCGUUCCGGGAAGGGGAAAGUUGACGAACGAGAUGAAUGGGGUUUGUUUCCGAGUUUAUAAUUUGGGUAAUUCGAGGAUUUGAGGUUUUGUGUUUUUGUUUGUUCUCUUAGAUGAAGGAUAAGAUUCAAGGUUGUUUUUGAGUUAUGAUUUCUGGAAUCUUUAGUGGUGGUAUUCGUUUAAAGUUAUGUGUUUGGGUUUAGGAAUUUUAGACACGGUGGGCAGGGAGGAAACCCCUAAAUCUUAUGUUUUGGGAACUUGAGAUACACAGAAACCGAUUUCUUGCCUGGGGAUUUCUUGUAGAUUCUUGUAUUGUUUGAAUCAUUUUGUCUAAAAUGUCUUUCUAAUUUGUAGAAAUGAGUUUCUCUUGUUUUCUUUAUGGCAUUGAAAUUGAAACCAGGUAGUUUGUGAGAUGGUGAAGACCCAGAAAUUGUGGAGGGUUGAUAAUCUAUUGCCUUAAUGAAUUGAUUUUGUGAAUAGAGUUAAUUGUUCAUUGCUGAUUAGAAAGCGGUUAUUUAAUGUGUAGGGGUUGAAUGAAUUAUGGAACCCUCUCUUACCAGUGAGCAAUCAUCUCAUGUGGAACACAGUGACAAUCGUAAAGAGGUAGAUGAAGAUGCUCCAAUUUCAGAGUUAGGUGGUCAUCAUGGAAGGAAGGAAUUUGUUGUACCCGCUGUUGGAAUGGAAUUUGAGUCUUACGAGGAUGCUUACAAUUACUAUAAUUGUUAUGCUAAGGAAGUUGGUUUUCGUGUUAGAGUGAAGAAUUCGUGGUUUAAGAGGAAUAGUAGGGAAAAGUAUGGUGCGGUACUCUGUUGCAGCAGCCAAGGUUUCAAAAGAAUUAAAGAUGUCAACCGAUUAAGAAAGGAUACGAGAACUGGUUGUCCUGCAAUGAUAAGGAUGAGGCUAAUGGAUUCACAAAGAUGGAGGGUUCUUGAAGUUUCAACAGAGCAUAACCAUUUAUUAGGUUCUAAGAUUUACAAAUCGAUGAAGAAGAUGAAUGGUGGUGCUAAAAGGAAAAUGCAAUUGAGCUCUGAUGCAGAUGAUCGAACUAUCAAAUUGUAUCGAGCACUUGUGAUUGAUGCUGGUGGCAGUGGGACCUCAGAUUCUAGUGUGAAAAAAAUUCGGAUUUUUCCUGACCAUCCAGAUCAUUUGAACCUUAAAAAAGGUGAUUCGCAAGCCAUUUAUAACUACCUAUGUCGCAUGCAGUUGACUAAUCCGAACUUCUAUUACUUGACGGAUCUCAAUGAUGAAGGGCGCCUACGUAAUAUGAUUUGGGUUGACGCACGAUCAAGAGCUGCAUGUGCUUUUUUUGGCGAUGUUGUCUGCUUUGACAAUUCAUAUUUGUCCAAUAAAUUUGAGAUUCCUCUUGUGGCAUUUGUUGGAAUAAAUCACCAUGGUCAGUCAGUGCUGCUUGGUUGUGGCCUCUUGGCUGGUGAGACAACAGAAUCUUAUACUUGGUUAUUUAGAGCUUGGCUGUCGUGUAUGUUGGGCCGCUCUCCUCAAACAAUUAUUACAGAUAGGUGCCAGCAUUUGCAAACUGCAAUUGCAGAGGUAUUCCCAAAGUCUCAACAUCGCUUCGGUCUGUCUUUUAUCAUGAAGAAAGUGCCUGAGAAGCUGGGAGGACUGCGGAAUUAUGAUGCCAUCAGAAAGGCUUUUAAUAAAGCAGUCUAUGAAACUCUGAAAGUGAUUGAAUUUGACUCUGCUUGGAGAUUCAUGAUCCAACGAUUUGGAAUUGGCGAUCAUGAAUGGCUUAGAUCUGUAUUUGAAGACCGAGGUCGGUGGGCUCCUGUUUAUUUGAAAGACACAUUUUUUGCUGGAAUGUCUUCCAUGCGCCGAGGGGAGAAGCUAAAUCCCUUCUUUGAUAAGUAUGUCCACAAACAAACCCCAUUGAAGGAAUUUCUUGACAAGUACGAACUGGCUUUACAAAAGAAGUACAAGGAAGAGACCUCUGCCGAUAUGGAAUCAAGAAACUCUUCCCCCACUUUAAAAACGAGAUGUUCUUUUGAGUUGCAGCUCUCCAAAGUGUUUACAAGAGAAAUAUUCACAAAAUUCCAGUUUGAAGUUGAAGAAAUGUAUUCAUGCUUCAGCACAACACAGUUACAAGUUGAUGGUCCGUUGGUCAUAUUCUUGGUGAAGGAACGUGUAGUGAGUGAUGGUAAUAGAAGGGAGAUUCGAGAAUACGAGGUUCUUUAUAACAGAACAGCAGGCGAGGUUCGUUGUAUAUGCAGUUGCUUCAACUUCUAUGGAUAUCUAUGUCGCCAUGCAUUGUGUGUACUUAAUUUCAACGGGGUCGAGGAGAUUCCUUCUAGGUACAUCUUAUCACGAUGGAAAAAGGAUUACAAGAGAUUGUAUGUUUCAGAUCAUGAAACCAAUCUUUCUGAUGACACUGAGCGUGUGCAAUGGUUCAAUCAGCUGUACAAAAGUGCCUUACAAGUUGUAGAAGAGGGUGCGAUUUCUCUUGAUCAUUACAAAGCUGCAUUGCAAGCUUUUGAGGAAUCAUUAAGUAAGGUUCAUGAAAACAGAAAAGAAGCAUGAAUAACUCUGCUCGAAGGCUGCAGCUUGACUGUGACAUGCUCAUCUAGAUAGAAAUAGUUUUUUCGUUAUACCAUUUGAUAGGAAAUUUUUACUGUGAAUUAGUGUAAAGUCUUCUUCACUUUAUUUUUAUUUUUCUUUUUCUUUUUGUGAAUCUGGUGCCUGUUUAUCUCUUCUCCAUGAAAUUGGAGGUAAUUAAAAGUAAGAAGAACGGGGGAGAUUUAAUUUAAAGAGUUAUAGGAUAAAGUAUUGGGAUUUUAUUUUUUGAUCAAAAGAGAAGAGGGGAGAAAAUUGGGAAGUUGUGUCAUUUAAGGGGAAAUUUUUGUUCCUGGGUAUUGACAGGGAAAAAUCUAAUUUUAAUGAUAUUUAUUUGAAGACAAUGAGAUCCAACCAAUAACAUCUCUCUCACCAAACUCCAAUUUCAUCUAUUCUUUGUGUUUUUUUUAUUAUUUAUAUAUAUAUAACUAAUGAAAAUGUAUUAUCAUGGAGUAAAAAUCAUAACAACAUAUUAAUGGUGCAUUUUAUAAAAAUAAAUUUUGUUGAUUAAUUUUUUAAUCUUGUUUUAUAAAUUGUUCAUCUUACAGAAUUAUUCAAAUCUACGUAUUCUCCAAUUUUUUAUUCAAACCAUAUAAAAUAAGAUUUAAAGUUUAUUAAAAAUACAUUAGAUUGAAUUUAGAUACAGGAAAAUUUGAAUUUAUUAAUCUUUCGUUAUUACUUGAAAAUAUUUAAUCAUAUGAAACCAUAGAGAUUAAAUCAUGACCUAGAGGGUUAAAAUUGUAAUUUCAAAUGAAAGAGAAAUAAAGAUUUAAGUGAGGCGCAAUUAUUUUUACAUUUUGGCGGAAUAUUUAAGAAAGAGGGAAAGGAGAGAAGUGAAAGCCCGGAAUUUCAGUCGCUUUGGCGCGAAUUUUGCAAAGCCCAUCUUCCUCAAGCUUGGAGAAGUUAACGACUGCCAUAGCUUCUCCUCUCAAGGUACGUUCUCUUCUUAGACUUCCUCUUUGGUUUCUACAUCAUACCUAUUCCUUCACUCAAUCACUUUAUUAUGAUUCAUGAUUGUUUUAGAAUGGACGAACUUCGAUUGUCCAAUAUUUUUUUAUAUCUGAAUUCGUAGGACUAUAAUGGUUGAUCUUACUUAAUUUUGGGAAUCGUCUCGUUUUCAUUUUCUUUCCAGCGCGUUUAAGAAGACGGAAUUACUAAUAGAUUUGAGAAAUGAAGUUUAAGGCAUUUCUGACGGAUAAUGGUGUAAAUCUCCUUGAGAAGAGGUUUCUACCUGCCCUAGAUAAGAUGGGGAAGAUAUGCCAUCUCUAUUUGACUAGAGAUUAUGUUAUCUUCUUGCAUAACCUUCUUAACGGUGAUGGAAUUCAAUCAAUUGCUCAGUUUCGUAAAGAAGCUUUGUUUGAUGAUUAUCGAAUUUCCAGCCAGAAUGAUGAUCGUAUUGCGUUUACUGUAGAUAUUUCCCUUCUCCACCGCGCAGUUCGUAGUAGUGUUAGUAUUUGUUCUGAGUUUGGUAAUGGUCCAACGGCAAAUCGUCUUCAAAUUAAGUUGGUGAAGAAGUUGCCUUUGAAUUGCACCCAACCUAUGCCUUUCCUUACAUUUGAGACUAAAGGGUAUAAGUCUGCUGUUAUUCAGGAUGUGCCGAUCUCGAAGCCCAUGUCGAGAGCUCAAGUUCUUGAACUUCAAACUGCUCUAGAUAUGGCACAAGAUUUGCCUCAGACGCUUGUGCAGGUUCCUGAUCUUAACCAGUUGCAGAACUUUGUGGAUCGGAUGAAGAAUGUUGGGGAUUUGUUGAAUGUCUCCAUAAGCAAGUAUGGAGAUUUACAUGUGCAGAUUUCGACAGGGUUGAUUACUCUUGGUGCUGAGUAUCGAAAAUUAUUCGUCAUAGGGGAACAAGCAAGAGCUCCAGCUGAAGAUCAAAAUCUAAGUGCUCAGACUAGAUCAACCAGGGCGAUAUUGAGGGGAGAUGCUCAAUCUGUACAGGUGAGUGUGAAGCACUUUGCUAAGAGUCUUCAGUAUCAUUUGGCCAAGCCAGAUUGCACUUUCUAUGGCAUUGCUCCACAGGGUGCUUGCUUGACCGUGAUAUUUCAGUUCUUCAUUCCUGGCUCUCGGCAAACUGAUAAAUCAAUCAGUCUACAUUGUCGGCUUCCUGUACUUGAUCCCGGAACAAGUUAAAUUGUGAUUGCCUUCUCGCAUGUUGGCUAUCAAUUUUAGAGCAACAGUCAAGUGGAAUUUGGCUGAAGUAUUGAAGUGUAUUGGUCAUGUUUUCAGGUGGAAUUGUGGAAAUAUGAGUUUUUUUUUCUUAUUUUGCUUCUUGAAUACAAAUGCUCAUGUCAAGUACCUGUGGAUUUAGAUCUCAGUAAACAGCUAGAAAUUUCUGGUCUUGGGUCAUUGUCUCUGGUUGAACAUCAAUCUUUUUGGUUUGAGGAUGAGAUCAGUCCCUAGGUAUGAAUUCGUGAACUGUGCCAUUCAUAUCUAUCAAACUGCAAACAGGUGUUUUGUCCAUCAUCAUAUGUCUCAGCUCUCUUAGGUCACUCCGAGUUUGGAAAAAAAAAAUUGCGGUGAACGUGGAUCGAACACGUGACCUUCAGAUCUUCAGUCUGACGCUCUCCCAACUGAGCUAUCCCCGCAUUUGAUAAUUACUAUUUAUAAGUUACAAUAAUUAUAGUUUAUUUUUAAAAAUAUGAAUUAUUUAGAUUAAAAACAUUUGCGGUGAGCGUGGAUCGAACACGCGACCUUCAGAUCUUCAGUCUGACGCUCUCCCAACUGAGCUAUCCCCGCAAUUUGAUUAUAAAAAUUGUCAUUAUAAUAAUUAUACUCUACAAAAUAUAAGAAAUUGAGGAGGAAAAAAAUGCUUUUUAAAAAGUUCAUUCCCACGGUUUGGCGAUCUAAACUUAGAUUUCUGAAAGAUUGAAUAAUUAAAUAUUCUUUAAAUUAUACAAUAAUGUGAAUGAAAUCUCCAAGUUGAGGCUCUCUCUGUUUUGUUUUCUAAUAGAAAGCUAUAAUUAAGUUGUUAUGUUUUAAAAGUUAGAUUUCAUCGUUAUGGUCUAUUUCAUGUAUAGUAUUUACGAAAACUUUAACACUUUUCACAUAGUUUCUUUUAGAUGGUAAAUUCUUAAGUGUUACUUUCUUCUGAAACCAACUAAAACAUUUUUUUUUCUUUUGCUUUGCACAACACCAAAACAACCUAGUACUACAAAAUAAUAAAAUGAGUGAUUGUGAGAACGAAUUAUGAUCUCUACAAAAUUUGUAAUUUUUGUUGUGAUUGUCAUUCGCUUUAAAACCACAACCAAACUUCUCUACAACUUCGUGGUGGUUAGACUAGACAAGAUACAAAAAGAAAUCACAAUGCAUCUUCAAAAUCACAUUAUGAGAUCUAAGCAAUUUGUCGUGGACGAGAACCUACAAUUGAAAAGUUGAAUGAUGCAUUUUAAAGUUAUUCAAUGUCAUGCAACAUAUAAUGUUUAUUUUCAUUAGUUUAUGGAAUUAUGUUAUCGUCCAUUUAUGAUUCGAUCGUAUGAAAAAAAAAGAACUAAAUAUGAAUUUCUAAUUUUUAAAUGAUAAAAGCUAAACCAUAUAACCACCUAGUAAGCCAACAAAAGGAAAAACAAAAUCAACUUUUAACUAAUUUUUUUUGCCAUUAGGUCCAUAGAUUCAAAGAUUCCCAUGUUCAUGAAUAAUUUGGCAUUCAUUAGUGCUGUAGAAAAAGAUGAAUGAAGUGUGAAAAAAAGGAAUAUAAUGUAGUUAACAAUGUGCGAUGAGAAAGCUCAUUGGAAAAAUCAAAGAACCUCAUUUAUAUGUGUAUAUAUAACGAUACAUUGUUAUCGAUUUGCCCAUUGUGGCAGCUGCCUUGUGCGUGUGCAUUCUAAACCUUGAUUGGGCCCAAACUUCAAAAACGAUCCAAAACCCACUUCCAGCAGUCAAAGCCUCCGAGUGCCGCAACGAUUCCGGAGGCAGCAUUGUAUGUGUUACCUGAAAAACUGGCGCGAAUUCGUUUCUCAGGCAAUCCUUUUCGCCGGAAUCCCAAAUUUCUAGAUUUCCUUUGGCCGCUGAACAAAUUCAUAGCAAAUGAAUCUUUACGCUCAAGACCUGUCACCGUUGGAUUUUAAUUUUGGGUUCUCCGAAACCUACGGUCAGCCCUUCUCUCGCCUUCGCGCUUCCUCCGCUAUUUCUUCAACUGCCUACCUCGAUGAAGACGACGACGUUUACCGUCCUGGCUGGGCUACAAGGAAUAAGCGCGAUAUGCCCAGCGACAUCCCCUCCAAUCGUCGGCAUGACGGUUCGUCGCCUCUUCCACUGGGAAUGGACUGGAGUCCUCCUCCUCAGAAAUGGGUAUUGGAUCUUUUUUUAUUAUUUUCAUGCUUUUGGGUGUUGCGUGUUCUUGUUGUAGCUUCGGUUUUGAAUUAUAAGUUUGUUUCUUAAUGCUGCUUCUCAUAUUUUUCGAUUUGGGUGUUAAGCUUUUUUGACGAUUUCAUAUUGAAUCUGUAGCUUUGGUGAAGUGAAUUGCAUUUUGGUAUAAUUGCGUUGUUGGUUAUGAUUAGCUUGGUGAUAGUUUCAAUAUGAUUGGAGCUGGUUAUCUUUUUUGUAGGCCAUAUAUAACAUUGUGGAUGAAGUGGUAAGGUAUUUAUUUAGUUUAGUUGUUUAUGAAUUUCAUACUGGGGUUCAUACAAAAGCCAAAUAUCUUUGACAUCCAACCUCACUGCUACUCGCUAUCUAGAACGAUGUUAUUGGGAUGUUGAUCGAUGCUGCUCUCCUUUCGUGCACUAUGUGAUUUGAGUUGCUUGUGGAAAGUGGGAUCUUUCUAAGAACGAUAUCGUCCAUGUUUUGUUAUAGUUAAUGGUUUGAGUUCGGUUUGAUAUGCCCUAAUAAGUGGUUUUGGGCUAGUUCUUCAAAUUGACUGUUACCCUUAUACAUUUUCAGAGAGGUAAGACGUAGUUGUACUUGUAAGUUGUAACCAUGGAAAAUGACGUUGUUGGCCUAGGGGAAUGUAACAACCACAUGACUUAAUGGAGUAUAUAGCUAUUUUCUUCUCUCUCUCUCUCUCAAACAUAGUUCCGACUUCUGUCGUCCCAGGAUGAAAUAAUUUGUUUAUAGUUGACAAUUGAAAUGGUAGUCUUCCAUGUUUUUGUGUUAUGAAUGAUGCUAUUUUCUAGUUUUGGUUGAAAAUAAACCUUAGAGUUUUCAACGAUAGUAGUACAGACUAAUUUAUGUUGGCCUCCUGCCAGCACUCUAUCAAAUUACUUUUGCGUUUAUUGCCCUUUUGUAUUUACUAAUUGGAAAGGAUUAUUUUGAGUUGUGAGCUCCUUCAUUUUUAGGUGUGUUUACGUAUCAUGUAUUUUUUGUGUAUCGUUGAGAUUUAUUGUUUUCUUAUAUAAAUAAAGGAUGGACCAGCUACAGCGUGGCCUCAUGAUCCGUCCACUGGAUGGAGCUAUUGUGUCACAGUUCCUUCUUGGACUACAAUUCCCAAAUCAGAUGGUUCAGAUCCUGUCGUGGUAAUUUCCAAGUUUCUGUUGUUUGUCUUCUGAGGGCAAAAACAAUAACCAUUGUUUGUGCAUGUGCAUUAAUGUGAUUUGUGAGUGCGUUAUUCUUCCUUUCCUCUCUAGGGGGAAGUCUUUCUUAGUUACUUUUACUUUGAUUUGACUAUUGCAACCUCAAUAUCCAUGUUUAUGCAUCUAGGUUUUUUCUUCUUUUGCCCUUACUAUUAUUAUUACUAUUACUAUCAUCUUUUUCAUGCUGGUUUUUUACAAGAUAGAUAUUUAUAUAAGUAAAUUGCUUGAAUAUGUUUAGGAAGCUUUUCUUCCAACAUUUUCUUUACGAAAAAAGUCAUGCUAACAAUACUGAGGUAUGCAACUUUUUAUUUAUAUUACAACUCACAUGACAAUUGUAUUUAAAAAUCAAAACAAAUUGCUCACUAUUUACUCCUUAUACUUGGCAUCAGAUUUCCUUCCAUAUUUUGUGGAUUUUAACUCGAACAUGGUGAUAUCUGCAGGGCUCUUGUUAUUAUAAGACUAUUCCUGUCUAUACUCAUAUUGUGUUCAACAUGGCCGUAGUGCUCAAUAUUUUGGAAAAACUUUAUGAUUUUUAUUUUAUGCUUUAACAAUCAAAAUUUACAGUUUUAUAUGGUUCAAGUUGGAUUGCAAUCUCCAGAAGGUAUCACCUCUACAAGAGGAAUAUCAAGAAGAUUUAAUGAGUUUCUAGAGCUAUUUUACGAGGUAACAGUUAUUAUCUUAUGCUUUUUUUAAACUUGUUAGUUGUUAGUGUUCCUCAUUAUGUAACAUUUAUUUUAAUUUUAGGCAUUACAUUGUAAUUUUUUUGCUUAUUUAUAAUCUAACACUUAAAGAUCUGUCUUUAAGGAUGCGUUGAAUUUAUCUGUGCUCUUUAUUAUCUUUUGUAGCUCAAAAGAGCAUUGCCUAAGAAACAAUUGCCUCCAGCUCCACCAAAAAAGGUUUUGAGAUUGAAAAACAGCACGUUUUAUGAUGAGGUAUUGAACAUUUUGUUUCACUUUUUAUUUAUUUAUUUAUUUUAUUUUUGAAGGUUACAACUGUCGAAUCAAGUUGAAGGAUGUACAACUUAUGACUGACAAUUGUGCAUGAUAAAUAUGAUGUAUCAAAUUAAGGAAUUGAAAACAAUCUAAAAUGCCUUUAAUUAUUUCAUCACAGCGGAAGUCUUCCUUGGAGGAAUGGAUGGAAAAGAUGAUGUCAGACAUCGACGUAUCACGAAGUUUUCCAGUGGCAAGUUUUCUUGAACUGGAAGCUGCUGUGAGAUCUUGUAGGUGUUCUAUGAAUGGACUAUAAAAAAAUGAAAAAAAAAAAAAAAGACAAGAAAGAAAAAUUUGAGCAACCAUAUAUAUGAUUUAAGCGAACAUAUUAGCAUGUUUGGCCGAUUAUGAUUUGUCUAUUAAUGUUGUGUUAAUCAAAACCCGAUUCUUUGCAUCUUAAUUUUUCAGUUUUCAGUGAUAACCACGAGAUCACAGAUGAGGUUUCUUCUGGUAAUAUCAUGGACCAGCCAAUUACACUAUCAAGCUCAACUGUGUCUAUUGCUCCUUCUUCUUCUGUUACCUCCAGUCCACGUGAUGAUACUUGUUAUGGGGAACCUGAACUUGGAGCUCCAAGAUAUGGAGAUGACGAGGGUGUAGAAUUGGGAAUGGAUGAACCUGCACUGGAAAAAGCUGGAACAGACAUGGAAAAUCUAGUAGUAAGAUCAAACGAAGAAAUGUCUGAGAGACAAUUCCUUGCACCAAAGGUGUGGGUGAUUUUGAUUGUGCGUCAUUUAUUUGCUUCAGUUUUAGAUACUUCAUGAUCUAUAUUGUGUACGAUCACGAUCAGAGCUUCAAAUUUUGGGAGUUCUAUUUUCUUUUCCCUUUUUUUCCUUCAAGGGAUUUUCAGUAUUAAAAGUCUCAUUUGGAUUGUUGAUUCACGAUAUUAGCCCAAUUCUUAUCCCCUUGGUUUUGUUUCAUCGCCUACAUUAAAGAAUUUUCAACUUUUUAAUAUUGCAUGUGCUUAGUGUUUUAUUUAGGUGGAGGAUACUUCCAAUCGUGAGUGGUUCUUUCUCUUUUUUUUGCCAUACGUUUCUUAUUUACUUGCUCUCAUCUGAUUGUCAUUUAGAUUUCAAAGCCUUGGUUUUUUUCCAGGAUGAACAAGUGCCCACAGAAUCAACAAUAACGUCACUUUUAGAGGAGAACAAAAUUUUGCUGCAAGAGUUGGAUGAUUCAAGAGAACAACUUGAGUACUUACAAAAACAAUAUGAAGAGUUUGUGAUGAAAUCCAAAGCAGAUGUCGAUUUGUUUGUCAAAGAAAUUAAAUCUCUUCGAGGUACACAGUCAGAUUUGAGGCAGGAAUGCAGCCAAAUGAUGAAAGAGAAAUCAGAAUUAGAGGUAGAUUUCUCCUUUCCCCAUGUGGGUUUCAUGCAGGUUCCUAGUGGCGUCCUCUUCAGUUUUUUCAAUAGAGUUAUACAACGUUCUUUUUUCGAAGAUUUGGAAACUUUUAGACUCUUUCUUUAAUUCUAUUUGUCUGUUGCUGGCAUUUUAAACUGUUUUUUGGGAGAUCUCUCAUGUUGUUCUUCGCAUGUGUCUUACCUAUCUUGCUAAUUCUUUAGCGUUCUAAAUUUUAUGAUUCUCACGGCUUAAGGCAAUUUUAAGUGAGAAAUUAUUUAAGCUUGGUUGCAAUUGUAAUGUAGAAAAGGGAAACUCACAUGUGGAUCAAGUUGACGAAAAACAUAACUGAUAUUUCCAAUCAAUGAGAGGAUGUUGCCAGAUGAAUUUUUUGAGAAAAGGAUUAGUCAUUUACAUUGCAAUAGAAGGCUGGAAGACGGUUCCUUCAUAGAUUUUCAUCAAGAUCAAACAAUGAAAUGAUAAACUUAUUGGUAGCUUUUGGGUGUUCAAUGUCAAUGAUGAGAUGAAAGUUGCUGUGGUGAUCUCUCAGGACGCUACACUGCAUUUAAUUGGAUGUGCCAUUUAAUAAUAGAGUGCAACACGUCCAUUUUUUAUUUAAUUUGUGCUUAUUUUGGUGGUGGUGUUUUGUUAUUUCUCUCUUUGUAUGUAAUGUUUAUUUGCCCUGUCCAAUAAUAUAUAGUCUUUCUUCUGUUUUUUUAGAGGAUACUUCAAACUGAAAGACAAAGAAUGGAGCAAGCUGAUAUUGCUAAUCAAAAGCUUCUGCAUGAUUGUGAAAUUCUUCACUACCGCCUUCAAGAUUCUAGUGUCGACUUUUUCAUUGAGCAGGAAAAUAAACUAAUUUUGGAAACUGCUUCAACAGCUGACGAUGCCAUAGAUCUGUUGGCAACAUCUGAUAAUCACGUCAAUCUUCUUUUAGCAGAGGUACUUGCGUUUGUUUCCAUUGAAAUGUAUUUGCAUAUUGAACUUCUUCACCCUGAUCAAUGGCACAAGUUUUGGUCCAUACAAACAGGCAAAGCUUCUGGCGCAUGAUGCAAACGACAGCAAUAACCCUGCUGGAUCAGCCACACCAAAUGGAGCAGCUGACCAAGUAUUAAGUAACAUACUAGCAAAUAUGCUUCUCGAAAAUGCCCGAUUAAGGAUGCAGGUGAACUCCGUCAUCCGCUGUGCUCUAAAUGCAAAUGGGACCAGUGAGAAAGAUGAAGAUGAAUCUCUCAAGGAAGAACUGUUCUAAGCAAGUUUUUAGAGGAAGAGAUUCCUGAAUGCACAUAUACAAUGACCUUAUACUGUAGUGGCAAGAAAUGGGAGAGCUGUAGAUUUGAAAUAAAUGCAACAGAUGUUGCCCACUAAUUUGCAACUCCUAACAAAUUUGGUUGUGGGAGGUAUAGAAAUGAUGUAUCAAUUUAAUAUUUAACGAAGUGCCUAAUUGCUUAGCUUAGCCAAGCCAAUCUUUGGGCAUUUGAAGACUUUGCUCUUGGUAAGAGCUCAAACAAAAUUUGGGUGGCUAAAUUUAGUGUUGAUUAAAUGAAAUUUCACUGAUAUUCAUGAUCUGUCUCUCCUUGCUUCAUUGAUAUAUUAUCUUCUCAGUAAACUCCUGGGCCUAAUGCAUAAUUGCUUUUAACCAUCUGCAUACAGAGAAAAAGUAAAAGCUAGCUCCCGUGGAUAAAGGGAAAUUUCUACUAACAUGUUGGCAUUAGAAGGAAAUUUUGAAAGAGUUCUAUUACCAUAACAUCAACUACUUCUCUGUGUACUAUUGAAACUAUUCUUUCUCUAACCUGGAGAUUUUAAAUUUCUAUUUACACUUUGAAGAUGCUCGUGAUUAUCGAUGGAAGAGAUGAAUCGUUAUUUUGAUUGUGUUACAGAAAAGUCAACGAGAGUAACAAAGCUAUCAACAAAAUAUUAGUAAUAUAUAUAAAAAAAAAAACUGUAAAUUAAGCUAAUGGGUUGAAAUGUUUAGCCACCGGAUUAAAUAUGAAUUUUCUAUAUUCCAACAAAUAUGAAGCUAUUAUACUGUCAAAUAUUCUGCCUAUACAGUCAUUUUCAAAUUUUCAAAGUCACUCAAUUUUGCAAAACCAUAUCAUAUUGAGUUCAAAUAAAAUUUCAUAGCUAUAUAAAUAAAAUAAGAUGUAAUGUUUUUUGUUUUUAAUGUUAUGAUUAUUUUUUCAAAGUGAUAGUAAGAAAUCAAUUAGAUUAAAAUAAUUUUAUAAAACAAAUUGCGGGGAUAGCUCAGUUGGGAGAGCGUCAGACUGAAGAUCUGAAGGUCGCGUGUUCGAUCCACGCUCACCGCAUAAAUUUUUUAAACUUCUUUUUUACCUUUAGUACCAUUUUAAAUGGGCUGGGCUUGCUUAAAACUGCCCAUGAACGCUAGGCCCAAUCUAGGAACCGACAACCGCAAUGGUCGGUUCGUCAUUUACCAAGAUCCGAUAACCCGACUCGCUCCAUUUUAGUCUCAGCUCUUUCAUCUCCCUCACCCAUUAGUCUCGCUUCUACUGAGCGGGCAAGGGAGCUUAACCCCUCAAAGCCCUAGAAAGUGCCAUUGAAGAAGCUCCACUAGCUUCUUCUUCUCUUAUCAGCGAGCUGUAUUUUCGUCUUGUAUAGACCUUUCAUCUCUGGAACCGAUCGGAAGUUCGGAGUUUCUUGGUCUCAGUUUGUAGAUUAGAUUUAUCUUGGCGUCUCAAUAUGUGGAACAAUGGACAGAUUGCGCCGCCGGGUACUGGUGGCUCUUCUAUUCCACCACCACCUGCCGCACAGCCUUCGUACACGGUGUUGCCUUCUCCUGCUGAGGCCGAGGCCAAACUCGAGGAGAAAGCUAGGAAAUGGCAGCAACUGAAUUCGAAGCGGUACAGUGAUAAAAGGAAGUUUGGGUUUGUUGAGACCCAGAAGGAGGAUAUGCCCCGUGAGCAUGUUAGGAAGAUUAUUAGGUGAGUUAUGUUUGUAUAAACUGUUUUGAAGAUUUUAAUUAUUUUCUUCUUUCUUUCGACGUGAUAACUGGCGUAUUUACAUUUCUUGUUGUUUUUUUUUCUUCUUGACGUUUUCUUGGGCGAGCUGAUGAAAUAUUCAAAUCAACUUAGCUUUGAUGAAAGUGUUGUGAAUAUUAGUAAGGCGGUUUUGUUAGUCUUUUAGUCUCGUAAUUGAGUUGAUUCCUUGUGUAUCUACUAUUCCAACGUAGAAUUUCUUGUUUAUUGUAUGGUAUUGUAAUCUCACUUCAUCGUCAAGAUUUUUCACAUUUUCCACACAACAAGUAACUUAUUGGAAGUUCAUAGAAAUCUUCGAAUUUCUUGAAAUUUAAAGAAAUUCCAGUGUUAUUCUGUAUGCGUUAACUGAUUCGAGGGAUGAACUCUGAUGCCUCUUGAUGUGAUACUUCCGUUUCCUUUUUUGCUUCAAGGAGUUGGUUGCGUUUUACCCUUUUGUACAUAUUACUAGAAAAGGGAAAAUUGAAGUCUUGAAUUCACCAUUCUGCUUGUUAGGUUAGUUUGACGAACUAUUGAAGAAUUCAGGCCUCAUGGUGCCCAACCUCCAUACGAGGAUCAUAUGUGAUAUAUCAUCUCUAUUUUCGAAAUGAAACUAUUUGGUGUAUGACAUACAGUAAAUGAAAUCUCAGUUUCUUUAGGUUUCUGUUGUAAUCCUUCUCCGCAGAGAAGAAAAACCUUGUUUGAUGCGGGGGUAGUGGUAUUGUUAGGGAAAUUUAAGUUGGAAAGGAAUCAAAAAAUCUCUAAUGUCUUGCAAGGUUGAAGUUUCUUGGGUGAUUAGUGGAAUGCACUUAUUUUUGUUGUUUUUUUUGGGUCUCCUAGGGGAUUAACUUUUUUAUGUAUAUGAUUUACUUCAGUAAUAAAGUUCCUUUAUUUCGUUUCUCUAAAAAUUAAAUAAAAUAAGCAAAGCUUCUGUCUGUCAUUGGUCAUCAUGGAAUAAUUUGUCUGUAGAUAUGGUUUGGUUGUACGUUGGGUUCUCAUAUUGUAUCUAAAUUUUAACUUCUCUUUGGCAGAGAUCAUGGGGAUAUGUCCUCGAAAAAAUAUCGCCAUGAUAAACGUGUUUAUCUUGGUGCCCUAAAGUUCGUUCCACAUGCAGUUUACAAGCUGCUUGAAAACAUGCCAAUGCCCUGGGAGCAGGUAUCCUUUUCCUUCACAAUUUGUGAUUGUCUUGAAACUAUUUUUCUUCUUAUUUUUUUGGUUGCUAAACUUAAUAAAUCGCAUUUACAGGUUCGUGAUGUAAAGGUUCUUUAUCAUAUUACUGGAGCAAUCACAUUUGUUAAUGAAAUACCAUGGGUGGUUGAACCUAUAUAUUUGGCUCAGGUAUUUUUUUCUCCUUUUUCCCAGAUUAUUACUGCAUUGUAAAAUGUUGUAUGUGAUCUUUUUGGAUCACAAUUAGGGUGAUAAUUAUCAUGUUGUGCUAGUAGCUACACUGUUAGUGAUUGACUGCUUGACUUUUGUUUUUCAUUCUAGUGGGGAACCAUGUGGAUUAUGAUGAGAAGAGAGAAGAGAGAUCGUCGGCAUUUCAAGAGGAUGCGUUUUCCACCAUUUGAUGACGAGGAGCCUCCACUAGAUUAUGCCGAUAAUUUGCUGGAUGUUGAUCCUUUGGAACCAAUUCAGUUAGAGUUGGAUGAAGAGGAGGAUUCUGCAGUUUACACUUGGUUCUAUGACCAUAAGCCUCUUGUGAAAACAAAGCUCAUUAAUGGUCCAAGUUACCGGAAAUGGCAUCUUUCCCUUCCAAUCAUGGCAACUCUUCAUCGGCUAGCUGGACAGUUACUCUCUGAUUUAAUCGAUCGCAACUAUUUCUACUUGUUUGAUAUGGAGUCUUUUUUUACAGCGAAAGCAUUAAACAUGUGCAUACCAGGUAUCCCUUUUUGUUAUCAUUUUUCUUUUGCUACUAUGUUUAUACAGUUAUGAAAUCGCACCAACACCAACACCCACACAAUGUAUGUUAAAGAAGACUGUCUUGAUCACUUACAUGUUUUGAGCUGUUGAAUUAACUGUUAAUUGUUGCAUUGGAUAAUAUCACUUAAAUGUUUGGAGCUGUUGGGUGAACUCUUGACUAUUUUGUUGUACAGUAUCACAUUAUUCAUUGAAGUUCCUAUGAAUUCUAUAACUCAAAAUUUCCUUUUUACAGCCCUUGCAACUUGCAAGUAGAUGGGAUGUAGUAAUUGCUUUAGAAAAUGUUGUAAUGUGUACCAUGCAGUGCCAAAUUCGUUUGUCUUAGUAUCUUCUUGCGAGUUCAAAGCCAUGCCAGUUUUAGGGGUUCUUGGAACUGCAUACAUAUAUGUGCUAAAAUUAUUACUAGGUUUUUAUAAUUUAUGUAAUCUACCGUGCUUAUUUAGGUGGCCCGAAGUUUGAGCCAUUGUAUCGUGACAUGGAGAAGGGGGAUGAAGACUGGAAUGAGUUCAAUGACAUCAACAAGCUCAUAAUACGGUCACCUCUUAGAACGGAGUAUCGGAUAGCAUUUCCUCACCUUUAUAACAACAGGCCUAGAAAAGUGAAGCUUGGUCUAUAUCACACUCCUAUGGUCAUGUAUAUAAAGACUGAAGAUCCUGACUUACCGGCAUUUUACUAUGAUCCUUUGAUACAUCCGAUAACCAGCACCAAUAAAGAUCGUCGUGAUAAGAGAACUUAUGAUGAUGAAGAUGAUGAUGAUUUUGAGUUGCCAGAGGGGGUUGAACCUUUUUUGAAGGACACUCAACUUUAUACAGACACCACAGCUGCUGGCAUCUCUCUUCUGUUUGCUCCACGCCCUUUUAACAUGAGAUCUGGUAGAACACGUCGGGCUGAAGAUAUUCCUCUGGUUUCGGAGUGGUACAAGGAACACUGGUAAGAGCGUCUCCUUUUUUUUUUGUAAAUUUCAGUUAACUUGGUUUAGUCAUUUCAAAUUUCUGAUUUCUUCUGAUUACUUUAUGUGCAGUCCUCCGUCAUAUCCUGUCAAGGUCAGGGUUAGCUAUCAGAAGUUGUUGAAAUGCUUUGUGUUGAAUGAGCUGCAUCAUAGGCCACCCAAAGCUCAGAAGAAGAAGCAUUUAUUCCGAUCACUUCAAGCCACCAAAUUUUUCCAGACAACUGAACUUGAUUGGGUUGAAGCAGGUCUGCAAGUUUGUAAGCAGGGAUACAACAUGCUGAACUUAUUGAUUCAUAGAAAAAAUUUGAACUAUCUUCACCUUGAUUAUAACUUCAAUCUGAAGCCAGUGAAAACUCUGACCACCAAAGAACGUAAGAAAUCACGUUUUGGAAAUGCUUUUCACCUCUGUCGUGAAAUAUUGCGAUUGACAAAGCUCGUUGUUGAUGCCAAUGUUCAGUUCCGCUUGGGCAAUGUUGAUGCAUUUCAAUUGGCUGAUGGUUUACAGUAUAUAUUUUCACAUGUUGGGCAGCUCACUGGAAUGUACAGGUACAAGUACAGACUUAUGCGUCAAAUUAGAAUGUGUAAAGAUUUGAAGCACUUGAUAUACUAUCGCUUCAAUACUGGUCCAGUGGGAAAAGGGCCUGGAUGUGGAUUUUGGGCACCAAUGUGGAGAGUCUGGUUAUUUUUCCUUCGUGGUAUAGUCCCUCUUCUUGAACGGUGGCUAGGAAAUUUACUUGCUCGCCAAUUUGAAGGAAGACAUUCAAAAGGAGUGGCGAAGACUGUCACUAAACAGCGUGUUGAAAGUCAUUUUGAUUUGGAACUUCGAGCAGCAGUUAUGCAUGAUGUUCUUGAUGCCAUGCCUGGUACAAAGUUCUAAUUCAUAUCUUUGUCUCUUAAGCAUCUGUUGCUCUGUUAAUUUCUUAGUAUUCAACUUGCUAUUUUCCAUCCCUUUACUGUACAUAUAAUGUUUCUGCAGAGGGCAUUAAGCAAAAUAAAGCUCGAACUAUCCUCCAGCACCUAAGUGAGGCAUGGCGAUGUUGGAAAGCAAAUAUUCCUUGGAAGGUACUCAACUGCUUUUGGACUUUGUUUUUCGUUCCUUUCCCAUGUUUCCACCAUCUAUUUGUUCAUUGAACUUUGGGGUUUUCUUCAGGUUCCUGGUUUGCCAGUUCCUAUUGAAAAUAUGAUUCUUCGCUAUGUCAAGUCAAAAGCUGAUUGGUGGACAAAUGUUGCUCAUUACAAUCGUGAACGUAUAAGAAGAGGUGCUACGGUUGAUAAGACAGUUUGUAGGAAGAAUCUUGGGAGACUUACACGUCUUUGGCUAAAGGCUGAACAGGUUUGUUCUCUUUUUAUUUGUCCUCAUUUUGUUAUUUAUUUGUUUUAUUGAUUAGAGUAAUAUUUUUGCUGUGUAAACACUUGCUUGACCCUAGCAUUGCCCUUCUAAGAUAUUACAAUUACCAUUUACUCAAUGAACCUGUACAAGUACAAACUGCUCAACAAACGUUGUUCUUAGUUUCUUUCUCAUCUUGCAGGAGCGACAGCAUAAUUAUUUGAAAGAUGGUCCAUAUGUCACACCUGAAGAAGCAGUUGCCAUUUACUCCACGACUGUGCAUUGGUUGGAGUCAAGAAAGUUCUCUCCUAUUCCUUUCCCUCCAUUGUCAUACAAGCAUGAUACAAAAUUACUGAUCCUUGCUUUAGAGAGGUUAAAGGAAUCAUACAGUGUGGCUGUGAGGUUAAAUCAACUCCAGCGAGAGGAAUUAGGUCUCAUUGAACAAGCUUAUGAUAACCCACAUGAAGCACUAUCUCGUAUUAAGCGUCACUUGCUCACACAACGUGCCUUCAAAGAGGCGAGUCUUCAUUUCUUCUUUUAUUUGCAUUAUUGAUAAUUAUGAACAUCUGUCUCCUAUCCUUCAACAUUUGCUGACAUGGUACUGUUGCAGGUUGGCAUAGAGUUUAUGGAUCUGUACAGUUAUCUCAUACCAGUUUAUGAGAUUGAACCUCUUGAGAAGAUUACAGAUGCAUAUCUUGACCAGUAUCUAUGGUACGAAGGUGACAAGCGGCAUUUGUUUCCCAAUUGGAUAAAGCCUGCAGAUUCAGAACCUCCACCUCUUUUGGUCUAUAAGUGGUGUCAGGGUAUUAACAAUCUUCAAGGUAUAUGGGACACAAGUGAUGGGCAAUGUGUUGUGAUGCUUCAGACCAAGUUUGAAAAGUUCUUUGAGAAGAUAGAUUUAACAAUGUUAAAUAGGUGAGCGUCCUUUUAAGUUCCUGAGUUGCUGACUGAAUGAGUUCAAAGGAAGUUUCAUUUUUUUGAACCAUAAACUCAUCCUGUUUUCUUGAAUAUGUGCAGGCUUCUUCGUUUGGUUCUCGACCAUAAUAUUGCUGAUUAUGUUACUGCAAAGAAUAACGUUGUCCUGUCUUACAAAGACAUGAGCCACACAAAUUCAUAUGGUUUGAUACGUGGUCUUCAAUUUGCUUCGUUUGUUGUUCAGUAUUAUGGACUUGUGCUUGAUCUAUUGCUUCUCGGAUUGACCCGAGCCAGUGAAAUCGCUGGUCCACCACAGAUGCCAAAUGAAUUCAUUACUUAUUGGGACACAGAGGUGGAGACGAAGCAUCCAAUUCGGUUAUAUUCUCGUUAUAUAGACAAAGUACAUAUCUUAUUCCGCUUUUCUCAUGAGGAAGCACGAGACCUUAUACAGAGAUAUCUCACUGAACACCCUGAUCCAAACAAUGAAAAUAUGGUUGGGUAUAAUAACAAGAAGUGCUGGCCAAGAGAUGCAAGAAUGAGGCUCAUGAAACAUGAUGGUACAAUCCAUGUCUUCACUUUAUGAUCAUUAUUAAUAAAAACCAUUAUCUUCCACUGCAUCUCUCUCUGAUUGGCUCAUACACACGCUCAUAUUUAUUUAGUCAAUUAGAUAAUGAAUUUCCCCUUUUUUCUCAGUCAACCUUGGAAGAAGUGUUUUUUGGGAUAUGAAGAACCGGCUUCCUCGAAGUAUAACAACUUUAGAAUGGGAAAACAGCUUUGUGUCUGUUUAUAGCAAGGACAAUCCUAACCUGCUUUUCAGCAUGUAGGCAUCUCUUAUACCCUCUUUGCAUUUUUAUUCUCUGUGUUUCAACUUUUUCUUUUUACCGUUCCCUAAAUAUUUUAUCGAGUAAUCUAAGAUUAAUAACUGUUAAAUUUCGAGAAUUUCAAAAUGUAUCUUGUCUCUGUUUCAUUGACGUUCUCUAUUAACUGAUAUUUUGCUAUAUGAUGGUAGGUGUGGGUUUGAAGUACGAAUACUUCCCAAGAUUAGAAUGACUCAGGAAGCAUUCAGCAACACAAAGGAUGGAGUUUGGAAUCUUCAGAAUGAACAGACAAAAGAAAGAACUGCUGUAGCCUUCUUAAGGGUUGAUGACGAACACAUGAAGGUGUUUGAAAAUCGUGUCAGGCAAAUUCUUAUGUCUUCAGGGUCCACAACAUUUACGAAAAUUGUCAACAAAUGGAAUACUGCUCUGAUUGGUACAGCUUUGACCAUUGUUUUUUUUAUUUUUUUGGUUGGGAGGUGAUGUUAACAUGCUCAUUGGUUUGGUUAAUCAAUUUAGUAUAUAAUUGACUUCAUUGUUUCUCUUUUAUCUGUUUUUGUGAAAGGUCUCAUGACUUACUUUCGUGAGGCAACUGUUCACACACAAGAACUGCUAGAUUUGCUGGUCAAAUGCGAAAAUAAAAUUCAAACUCGUAUUAAGAUUGGGCUGAAUUCAAAGAUGCCUAGCAGGUAAAAUAAUUUGCUAAUUGUAGUUUUGUUUUAUAUUGAUGACAAAAAUGAGCAAUUUUACAACUUUGUUAUUCUUUCAGGUUUCCUCCAGUUAUUUUCUAUACUCCCAAGGAAAUUGGAGGUCUUGGCAUGCUAUCCAUGGGUCACAUAUUGAUCCCACAAAGUGAUCUUCGGUACAGUCAGCAGACAGAUGUUGGUGUAACCCAUUUUAGGAGUGGAAUGAGCCACGAAGAGGAUCAGCUUAUUCCUAACCUUUAUCGAUAUAUACAGGUGAUAUUCAUUUUUGAUCCAGUGAUACGCUGUGUAUAUAAGAAUGUGCCUCAUAUUUUGCUUACAUUUAGUGAACUUGUCAAUUUUUGUACAGCCUUGGGAAAGUGAGUUCAUAGAUUCACAGCGGGUAUGGGCUGAAUAUGCUCUGAAGAGGCAAGAAGCUCAGGCUCAAAAUAGGCGAUUGACACUUGAAGAUUUGGAAGUAAUUUCUAGUUUCUCUUUGUUUUCCAUUAUGUUCCUUUUUUUCUUUUUUUAGGUUUAUUCAUUUUGGGGUUUAGCAUUAGAUUCUAACUGAAUAAAAAGAACUCACAUUAUAGAUAUGAAGGCCAAUAAGCAUUCUAAGUUUUAUGUUAAUGAUGGUGUUAUAUAGGAUUCCUGGGACAGGGGAAUACCACGAAUCAAUACUUUAUUUCAAAAGGAUCGCCACACUUUAGCAUAUGACAAAGGAUGGAGGGUCCGCACAGAUUUUAAACAAUACCAGGUCUUGAAACAAAAUCCUUUCUGGUGGACGCACCAAAGACAUGAUGGGAAAUUGUGGAACCUGAACAACUAUAGGACAGAUGUCAUUCAAGCACUUGGAGGUGUUGAGGGUAUUCUUGAGCACACCUUAUUCAAAGGAACAUAGUAAGUUCUAUUCUUGAUUUGGAGUAAAUGUGUAAAUGCUUAUUUUGUUCUUUGGAUUCUUUCAUUAACUUAGCAUAAAUUUGCAUCACUCUGAUACCAUUUAUUAGACUUGAUGUAAAAGAUUGAUGAAAGAUAUUAAUGGGGUGUGUGGAUUUCAGCUUCCCAACUUGGGAGGGUCUCUUCUGGGAGAAGGCAUCUGGAUUUGAGGAGUCCAUGAAGUACAAAAAGCUGACCAAUGCACAGAGGUCAGGUCUGAACCAGAUUCCUAACCGUAGGUUUACUCUUUGGUGGUCACCUACCAUAAACAGGGCAAAUGUUUAUGUGGGAUUUCAAGUGCAGUUGGAUCUAACUGGAAUCUUCAUGCAUGGAAAGAUCCCAACUUUGAAAAUUUCCCUCAUUCAGAUUUUCCGAGCUCAUUUGUGGCAGAAGAUCCAUGAGAGCGUUGUCAUGGAUCUCUGUCAGGUUCUGGAUCAGGAGUUAGAUGCUUUGGAAAUUGAAACUGUGCAGAAAGAAACAAUUCACCCGAGGAAAAGUUACAAAAUGAACAGUUCUUGUGCUGAUAUUCUACUCUUUGCUGCCCAUAGAUGGCCAAUGUCGAAGCCUAGUCUUGUGGCUGAGUCCAAGGAUGUUUUUGAUCAAAAACCAAGUAACAAGUACUGGAUUGAUGUGCAGCUUCGUUGGGGGGAUUAUGAUUCUCAUGAUAUUGAGCGUUACACUCGAGCCAAGUUCAUGGACUACACUACGGAUAAUAUGUCUAUCUAUCCGUCACCCACUGGUAAAAUUUUGUUUUUUGCUUCUUUCUUUGUGUUUAUGUUUAAUUUUUGCUGUAUAAAUUAAGAAAUCAUUGAUUAUUUUCAGGUGUAAUGAUUGGGAUUGAUCUUGCAUAUAACUUACAUUCUGCAUUUGGAAACUGGUUUCCUGGAUCAAAACCACUAUUGGCCCAAGCAAUGAACAAGAUCAUGAAGGUAUGGUAUUGAUCUUGUUUAUUCAUAUGUAGGCUUCUUGAUCCUUUGGAGGGGUUUUCUCAACCCUCUGCCCUUAGGCUGUCCUUUUUUUCUUUCUCUUUUGAUGAAUAUACAUCCCUGUUUCUUAUUCGAGGGGUUUCUGGUUGCGUCUUGUUGACUUGUAAAGUUGUAAGAACGUUUAUCACUAAUUAUUUGGUCUUGUACAGUCAAAUCCAGCCUUGUAUGUUCUGAGGGAGCGUAUACGGAAAGGUCUGCAGUUAUAUUCUUCUGAGCCUACAGAACCUUAUUUAUCAUCACAAAACUACGGAGAGAUAUUCAGCAAUCAAAUAAUAUGGUUUGUUGAUGAUACUAAUGUGUAUCGUGUCACAAUUCACAAGACAUUUGAAGGAAAUCUUACAACCAAACCCAUCAAUGGUGCCAUCUUUAUUUUCAACCCAAGGACUGGGCAACUAUUUUUGAAGGUUUGUUUUCUUCAGUGGGAACUUCUCUCUAUUUGAUUUCAGUUAUUUUUCUUAACUUAUUUCUUGGAUUUAACAGGUUAUCCAUACAAGUGUGUGGGCUGGACAGAAGCGUCUUGGUCAGUUGGCCAAGUGGAAAACAGCAGAAGAAGUUGCUGCUCUUGUACGAUCUUUACCAGUUGAAGAACAGCCAAAACAAAUUAUUGUGACUCGUAAAGGAAUGCUUGAUCCAUUGGAGGUUCACUUGCUUGAUUUUCCCAAUAUAGUUAUCAAGGGAAGUGAACUGCAACUCCCAUUCCAAGCAUGUUUGAAGAUUGAAAAAUUUGGUGACUUGAUUUUGAAGGCUACUGAGCCCCAGAUGGUUCUCUUCAAUAUCUAUGAUGAUUGGUUGAAGAGUAUUUCAUCGUAUACUGCAUUUUCCCGUCUAAUUCUGAUCUUGCGUGCCCUUCAUGUGAAUAAUGAAAAAGCUAAAAUGUUGCUAAAGCCAGACAAAACAAUUAUUACAGAACCCCACCACAUCUGGCCUUCUCUCACAGAUGACCAAUGGAUGAAGGUAAUUUCAUUUUUACAUCCCUCAUCUGUUAUAUUUAUUUCUACCCAUUUCAUUCUUAAUCUUUCAAAUUAUUUAAUGAAUGGAUCUUAUGCUUUUACAAUUAUCAGACAUGCAAAGUUUUCAUUGUUUCAUCAUUUUUUUAUGUGAUGUAUAGGUUGAGGUUGCGUUAAGAGAUCUUAUUUUGUCGGAUUAUGCAAAGAAGAACAAUGUGAACACAUCGGCUCUAACACAAUCUGAGAUUCGUGAUAUCAUUCUUGGAGCCGAAAUCACUCCACCCUCCCAACAAAGACAGCAGAUAGCUGAGAUUGAGAAACAGGUGCUUCAUUUAACAUGAUUUGUUCUUUCUUUUGCAGUUUUAUACUUCUUGAUGCUCAUUGUUUUGUUUCAUCCAAAACUUUUCUUUCAGGCCAAAGAAGCAAGUCAACUAACAGCAGUCACCACAAGGACUACAAAUGUGCAUGGUGAUGAGCUCAUCGUCACAACGACGAGUCCAUAUGAGCAGGCUGCAUUUGGAUCCAAAACUGAUUGGCGUGUGAGAGCAAUAUCAGCCACUAAUCUCUAUCUUCGUGUGAAUCACAUUUACGUAAAUUCAGAAGAUAUAAAGGUGAGGACUGGCAUUUUACUUUCUUCUCUCUUUUUUAAAGAGAUUGUGUUAGGGCGCUACUGACUGACUUUUCAAUCCCAAUGGUUAUACAGGAAACUGGAUACACUUACAUCAUGCCAAAGAAUAUCUUGAAGAAAUUCAUCUGCAUUGCAGAUCUACGAACUCAGAUAGCUGGAUAUUUGUAUGGAAUAAGUCCCCCAGAUAAUCCCCAGGUUAAAGAAAUACGCUGUAUUGUAAUGCCACCCCAGUGGGGGACACAUCAGCAAGUUAAUCUUCCUACAGCUCUUCCUGAGCACGACUUUUUGAAUGAUUUGGAGCCAUUGGGAUGGAUGCACACGCAGCCAAAUGAGCUUCCUCAGUUAUCACCACAGGUCCAUUCAUCUUUUCCAUUUUCAACUCGUCAUAUUUUAUGCUAAAUAGCCAUCUUAUGACUAAGCUUGUUAUCUUUAUGUUAAAUAUAGCCAUCUUAUAUCCAUUAUAAACAAGCUUUUUUAUUUUUUAUUUUUUAUUUUUUAUUUUAAAGUAAUUUGUGUUCUCGUUCUAUUUCUUGCAGGAUCUCACAAAUCAUGCUAAGGUCUUAGAGAACAACAAACAAUGGGAUGGUGAAAAAUGUAUCAUUUUGACCUGUAGUUUUACUCCCGGUUCCUGCUCACUAACUGCGUAUAAGUUAACCCCAUCGGGUUACGAGUGGGGACGUGUAAACAAGGACACUGGAAGCAAUCCACACGGGUACCUCCCAACUCAUUAUGAGAAGGUGCAGAUGCUCCUCAGUGAUCGCUUCUUUGGCUUCUACAUGGUAAAGUCUCUUUCCCCUCUUAGAAUUCUUUUGGAUAAUUUACUUUUCCUUACUGAUACUCGAAUCUCCAUUCCCAUUUUUUCUUAGAUCCCUGAUAAUGGUCCCUGGAACUACAACUUCAUGGGGGUAAAGCAUACAGCAGGCAUGAAGUACGGAGUAAAACUUGGAACGCCACGUGAGUACUAUCAUGAAGACCACCGACCUACCCAUUUCCUAGAAUUCAGUAACUUAGAGGAAGGUGAAACCGCUGAAGGAGAUCGUGAGGAUACUUUCACUUGAAAAUUUGGUGGCAUCAUUUAUAUAAUCACUGAACUCAUUUAUGAAGCAGAGUUACUUUUUUGUUUUCUUUUUGAAGUUUUGAGUGUACACAUGAAACAAAUCCGUGUGUAUGUAUGUGGUAACAAGUUCAGGAUAGAAACUCUUGUGUACUAAUACGACUCUGUAAUAGAUGUAACCUGUAGCCUAAGCAGAGGAUAUAAAAUCCUAGAGGUUGUAAAUUCUAGUUUUGUAAAUUCUUAUUGAUUAUUUUAGCUUUUGAUAAACAUGAUUUCUCUUUUGCUCCCUCCCUUCCGUACAGAAAAAAGAAAAAAGAAGAAAGAAAACUGUGGUUUAUUAAUAAAGAACUAAUACGAGAGCUAACCCAUUUUUGUUUCUAUCCUAUUUCUUAAGAUAGGAAUGAAAUCUAUGAGCAACACGUUAUCAAUAAAUGUGUAAACAACAAUAUCAUUAUCAGAGGGGAGCAUUAAGUAAUACAAAUAUAGAUACAUUAAUAAGAUUUGGCGUUAAUGCAAAUUGAUGAUUUAUAUAUAGUAUAUAUAUUUAUCCAUUAAAAUCCUAACAGUAAACAACUUUCAAUUUGAAUUUUACGUAUUAAUGAAGUUUUUCUUUACAAAUAUACAUAGAUGUAGGGUUACUUUUUAGUUUUUUCAUCUACCAAUAGAAGAUGCAAAAUUGCUUUCUGCUUGAUGGGAUGGACUACAAUCAGCUUGGCUAAAAAUGAUGUCCAUACCGCCCAACAACACUUCUUACAUUUGCAGAAAUGCCUUUGCAGUGCCUCAUACAACGUGAAUUCGAUGAACGAUGAGGUGCAAGAGAACAGAGAGAAGGUAGAUUAGUCCUCAGUAUCUGUAUCAAUUGGACAAGAUCCAUCAUCUACAUUGGCAAGUGGGUUGAAUAAGUGCGAACUAGGAUCUGUGCAGCCUAGUACAAGAUUAAGAUCACAACGGUCACCCUGCAAUUGUUAUUUAUAGUCCAUUCUUGUUAGAUGUAGCCUAGACGAUGAAUUUAGCACGAUAAAGAAGUUUCUAUAUUAAAGUUUUUCCUUACCCCUUCCACAGUAAGAUUGCCAAUCAUUGCACAUCUUGUUACAACAACGCUUGUAUCUGGAAAUAUCGCUCUGUCACACGCACCUUCUUUACUCAACUCUUCAGCUAGACCCUACCAUGUGACAUGAUAAUCGGAUUCUGCUUAUUACACUAUACUAAACAAAGAAUGAAAAUGGUGGUGAAUAUUGAUUUAUCAUUUGAAAUGUUUAAUAUCAUAUUGUUACCUGAUUGAAAAAGUCGAUUGGUUUGUUUUGCCAAGCCUUGGGAACUUGAAACUGCAGUCUGUAAGGACCAUCCCAAUCGGUACCGUUUGUGAAUGAGAAGAUCAAGUUUAUAGCUGAGGAAUGCCAGGAAAGAAAAUGAGGUAAGGAGUGAAACAGUGAAGAUAAAGAAGCAUAAAAUUCUCGUAACGCAACCGACCGUGCUUCGGAAUGCAUAUUUGGAUGGUGUAUAUUGGUCCAUCAGCUUUGCCUCGAUCUUUCCUAAGCAUAGCCCUUGGCUCCCCACCACACAUUAUUGGCUGAUUAAACCCUCCUGCAGCAUAAUGUUCAAAUAAACAUUUAAGUAUCAGCUCAAAUUGCAGCUUGGGGAAGUCAAUUCAAGUCCUUUCAGCGGGCUAUAUAACUCAAAAGAAAGCUCAUAACAGUUCAAAAUUAAUCCAAGUAUCUGAUUUUUCCCUAUUGUUUACUGGUGACAUUUCUACAACAAUGAAUCUGAUGGUUUUACAUCUAAAAACUGAUGAAGGCAUGAACAUGAACUACCAGAAUACAAGACUGCAUAUCAGGUAUUACCAUUAAAAGCAAUCCCAAAAUCGUCGUUUGGAGCCAGGUUGGUAGCAGCUGGAUUAUAAAAAAGCUUGAGCUUCUCCCCCUAUCAAAUUAUGCAACCCAAUGAAGCAGUCUCAGAUUAUAACCACAAACACAUAUGCAACAAAUCAUAACAUGUGGUAUUAUGCUUACUGCGGUAGGGGGUAGACCGUUCACAGUUUUCCAGUAAACCGGAGCCUUUCCAAGUUCAAACAAAGUCCAAGAUGGAAGUUUGAUCCUGACGAAGAGUUUGCAAAGGAAUCACAACUUCAAUUAAUUGGUUCUCAGAAGAUUGCAAUAAACAAAGGGAAAAAUUUAGGCUACCAAAACUCAACAGUGAAAUGUUAAUGAUUUAGUCAUACUCUGUCAUUUCCUCUGCUGGAGAUGCUUCAACAGCCACAGCAGCAUUCACCUUCCUCACAGUCCUAAAUCUGACAUCUUUAUUGUUCGGAAGGCAUUUCGAAAACGACGAACCAGAGAUACCAGAACCUGCAUCAUAAAUACCAAAGGAACUGAUGUAAAAUGAUUGUACCGUCAGUCUCGAGCUUUCUUCCUUUCCUUUAGUUGAUGCUGAUUAAAAUCCUUCUUAAACUUAAAAACACUACGUUCUUCAUUCUUCCAUUCAAGUCUCACUGAAUCCCAGCCAUUUGAUAAUGAUUUCAUUUUAGUUUUUUGUUUCAACAUUUAUGUGUAAAUUUCUUACUAUAAUUUUUACAUUUCUUGAGAAAACAUCUAAAUUCUUAGUUGAACUUGAAAAACUAAAACAAAACUACUAUUACGAUUUUUGGUUUUAAUAUAAUAAUUGUGCUUGUUUCCUUUCAUUUUCUUAUAUCGUUUUCAAAUUUUGGUUUAGUUUUUGAAAAUAUCGGUAGAAAGCGAAUAACAAAGUAGUGUUUAUAAGUUAAAAUAGGAAAGUAAAAAACCAAAUUGUUAUGAGAUGGAGCCGAAACUUAUUGCUUUAGUUUGGAUUCAUCUACAAGAGAUCUACAAUUAACUAUAUGUUAAAUAUUUUCAAAAGAUUAAACAAUCAAACUUUAGAGUUUGGUUUUUAAAAAAAGAAAAAAGGAAAAGAAAGAAACUUUAGAGUUUGGGUUCAAUCAUGGUUUGAAAAAUAGUACCAUGGCAAGAAAAUGGUUCGAAACUACAAAAUCAUUGUACUGUCAUUUCCUCUUCAAUUAAUAUCAACAACAUUCAUUAAUACCCCAUUUCCUUUAGAUCGCUUAUUCGAAGUCUAAACAUAGGAUUGCAUAAUUCAUAGGAGUAGCAAGAACAUGAAUCGGAUUCCUCCAAUCAUGAAUCUAAACCAAGAAAGUUGGGGUUCUAAUUCCCCAUUACUCAAGAGUCCAUUGAGUUAAUUAAAAUAAGCAAAAGCAAGAAGAGAAAAUAGUAGAUUAAGAAUAAAGUAAAAUCACCUAAAGUUCGAGUAGAUUGUGGGCAUGAUUCUCCUCUGCGUUGGGUUGUAAUGGGGAGAGAAGUUGGAAAGGAAGAUGCAAAGAUGGGUGCGUUGGUUGCCGCCAUUAAUGACAGCUUCAAAGCUCCGAUUCAGAGAGAGAUGAAGCUCAGUGAGUCGUUUGAGGCCACAAUUUGAAGUGGAUAAAAAGAUGAAGAUUGAAAGAGUUUGAUUUUCUGUUUAUAUAUAUAUAAACAAUAAGGAAUGAAGAAGAAAUAAUUGAAUUAGAAACACAUAAAAAGAAAGAAUGAAAGAAAGAGAUGAAAUAUCUAAACCCAAUUUGGAUUAGUAACGAUUGCUUCCUAAAUAUCUUUUAAUUUCACUUUCGAAAUCUUUGAUUUUUUUUUUGGGUAUGAAAAUGGACACCAUUCGUCCGUCAACUUUCAACUCUUUAAUCACAAUUCUUCCACUUUCUUCCUAAAAUAUCUUCCUCUCCUCUUGUAUUCAUCUCAAUCUCCCCCACAUAUAUGAUUUUCUGUUUCCUCUUAUGAUAAUAUUGAUAAUAAUAAUUGUAUUCUUAACGUAAAUUUGAUUUCUCAUCUAACCAUUGUUGCACUAAAAAAAAAGUUUAAAAGGGUAACAUCGAAGCAAAUAUUAAAAUGAUGCCAAUUAGUAGAAUUCUCGAGGACAUUAAUAUUUUAUAUAUAUUUUUAAAAAGUUCAAAUAUUUAUUAUUUUAGUAGUAUUGGAAUAAUUCAUCGUCUUAUUAGGUUGAGAGUAUAACAUACUUCGUGUACACUACAAUGACCCUUUUAUAAAAACCUCUUAAGAACACUACAAUGAACCUUCACAAAUUGCUCAUAAGUAUAGUUAAGCCAAAAAUUAUCGUUUUCUCUUGUAGUUACAUCCAACUUCUUAAGUACCACUAAGUCCUUUAAUGAACAAUAAGUAAUAGUUUCACUAUAACUAAACUCAUCUUAGAUCAUGAGAGGUUGUGGCAACACAUUGUUCAAGCCCUAAAAUCAGCAUUUAAAAGAGCAAUUUUUCUACUUUAUCUAUAGAGAUGGAGUGAAUUUCUUCUUGUAUAGUUGUGUUCUUAGAUCCCCAAUCAGACGAAUUUCCAAAAUAGUAGACAUAUUGAGUCGACAAUAUAGGCCACUCUCACCCAUGCAAGUCAAAGGAUCGUCAUUCAGGUCAAGUCACCUAUGAUCAUCUAGGUGAAAUGUGGUCUCAACUAGUAACAGUGUUAAUAAGAGAAAUUAUUCAUUUUAUGGUCUGGUCUUAUACAAACUCUUUAUAUAGAAUACUCUUACUCUAAUGUCUCUUGCAUGAAUGAUUAGGAUCAAAUAAUUUGUAGCAUUUUGGAAAAUAUAUGUAAAAUAUAAUUACAAACUACACGACCACGAGGUUUAGGACAUCAAUCUAAUAGUAUACAUCAAACAUGUUCCAUUAGUUAUUUUUCGAGGCUUAACCUAACAAUGGUCGAGCAUGUUGAUUUGAGUUUGACUCGAGCUAACACUCUUUAUUAGGCCCAAAAUUAGAACCGUGGUGCUUUUUUUUUUUUUUUUUUGCCCAAAUCCUGUUAUUUUCAUGACCUUCUUUAAAAAAAUCAGCAAUAAGAAUUUGUAUAGUACCAAUUUUGAUUUUGAAAAUUAAAAGUAUGCAUCACAAUUGAUAAAAAGAAAAUUUAAACAAUUUCAAAAUUGAUCUUCAUCCCUCUACCAAUUAAAGUUAGCAUCAAAGUGGAAACAUUUGACCACCCAAAUUAUUUUUCAUUUUUCCAAAGUCAACAAUUUCUUGGCCUCCAAAGUCUACAAAACUUUACAGUCAUAUUGCAUUUGCCACCACAAAUAUCAACCAAAAAACUUUAAUUAGAUCCUUUCUCUUCUUCUAUUCAUGUUUGACAAAAUAUAAUCAAUAACCUUUCUAUUUUUACGCUUUAAAAUUAUAUAAACAAAAACAAUAUUUUAACAUUUAAAAAACAUGUAUAGAACUUUUAUAUAAGAUAAGUUAGGUUCAUGUUGCUAAAUUAAUAUCGUUUAGGAAUAAAUAUAAUUCUCCCUUUUUGGUAUGAGAAGAAAAAGGAAAAAGAAGUAAUAAUGUAAUUAGUUGAGCUAACUCUUUUUUAUGUCCUCCUCCUCCUUGAGGGCCAUAACAAAACUUAUUCAUCAAACCUAUGAAUUAUGAUGUAUUACAAUCAAUCAUUCUUAAUCAAAUAAUUCCGUUUAUGGACCCUAACAACGGACGCUGCUUACACUCUCAUCAUCAUCACCACCAUAAUCGGCAAUAACUAUAUUUAUUUACUUCCUUCUCCGAUUCUCUUCUAUUAUUCUUAUAUUACGAUUAUUUAUAGAUUCUGUUUGUUGAUUUGUCAUCAUCCUCACAAAUGAGAAUGAGAAACCCACCGCUCAAUUUAUAAAUUCCUCCAUCCAUCUUCUACACUAGUCUUCUCCUUCACAUUCUCUGUUCUUCAUUUCCACAAAGUUAAUAUUGGACAAGAAGAUGAAACAAUUACCCGUCAUCGUGGAGGAAGCUUUUGUGUAUGAUGAAGACAAGCAUCUCACUGUCAUGAAAACUUCUCUCUUCUUUGCAGGCGAUGGCUAUACUGUCUACGAUUGCAAAGGCGAGCUCCUUUUCAGAGUUGAUUCUUACGGUCCAGAUGCGCGUGACAAGGAUGAAAUCGUUCUCAUGGACGCCCAAGGCAAGUGUUUACUCACUGUUCGUCGGAAGGUAAUGCUAAUAAUAUGCUUCUCUCUUAUAUCUUCUUCAUUCUUCGUUCUCUUUACUCGAUUUCAAUCUGUGCUUGAUUUUCGAAACUUUUGCUCUGUUCUGGAUCUGAUUACCGUUCAGAUCACUCUGGUUGUUUUUCUUGUCUUGAUUGCUCCGAUUUCACUCUGCCCCGUCGCUCCGUGUUAAAAUUUUACUCGCGCUAGGCUUUUAAAUUUACUGAACUGUUGAAUCGAUUUGACUUGGAAAUGCGAUUCUGGGUUUCCUUUUCUUCAAUAGAGUGCGAUUCACUGAAUCGUGUUCAAUCGGAUGAUUUGGCUUGGUUAAUCGUGAUGAAUAUUCAGAAACAUUUGUGAAUCUGUGAUUCUGUUUUGGUUGUAUGUUUUCGACACCGUAGUUCAAUUUAAACAAUACUAGAAAAAUCGAUGAAUAACCGGAAGAAGGGGAAAAAGAAAAAAGAACGAACAGAGGCCACCGGAAGGAUUAUUUGAAGUUAUUAGUGAUUAGUUUUUGCUAUUUGUUUUCAAACCCAUGUUAGAAAAAAACAUUACUAGAAAAAUCGAUGAAUAACUGGAAGAAAAAAAAAACGAUGAACAGAAGACGGAUUCAGUUUUUGCUGUUUGUUUUAGACUCCAUAGUUAAACAUAAACAGUGGUAGAGAAAUGGAAGAGUAUAUAACUGUGAGAAAUGACGGAACAGAGGCCGAGUCUACAUCACCGGUGGGAAGGAUUCUUAGGGGAGAGAACAGAAGGACAGAAGCCAAUCUUCAACGUGAGACGUUCAUCAAUAAUCGGACGGUCAAGCAUGACGGUGGAAGUGUUGAAGGAUUCCGGCGAUGAGUACCACAUCGAAGGGUGUUUCGGUAAUCGGCAUUGCACGAUCUUCGAUGCAGCGAAGGAAGCAGUGGCUGAGAUUAAACGCAAAGUAGAUGCUACUACAAACGUGGUGCUUGGGAAAGACGUCUUCUCUCUCAUAAUCAAGCCGGGAUUCGAUGGUGCCUUCGCCAUGGGUUUAGUGCUGGUUCUUGAUCAGAUCAACGGUGACUCUUUCGAUGAUGAGGAUACUGAAAUGGAUCCCACGGCUGAUGAUUAGUCUCUUUCUUUUAGAAAUAAUUUUGUCCGUUAAAAGGGAAGCCCGUAGGGGCCAAUGCAUAUCAUAUGGUUUCUUUCCUUUUUCUUCUUAGUAUAUAUAUAUAUUGUAUCGUAUAUCGUUAUUGCUUUAUAGAGACGUACGGGUAAUGAUUAGUAAAAUACUAUGACUAAUUUAGUUUAAAUUUAUUAAUUUCGUAACUUUUUAAAAACUAAAUUUAGUGUCUAAACUUUAUUUUCACACUAACAAAUUUUAAAAAAUUACAUCACAUAACCCUAAAAUGUCUCAAAGCACAAAAGUGAGUCUUAUUAGCAUCAUGAACAGAUUCAUUAAGGGACUAGUGAGAGCACAUGUCUCGAAUUAACAUAUAUAUAUUAAAUAAUGUUUCAUUUAAAACAAAGUCGGGUUAAGAUGUACUAGUUGUAUCCUAUCUCAUAAUUACUCACAACUAUUUUUAUAAAAUAGAUUUUAUUCCAAAUAUAAUAAAAUUUAUUUCAAACAUCAAUCAUUUCCCUUCAUCAAAUAUUAAUUUUUUUCUCAAAUAUUAAUUUUCUUUUCAAAUGUCAAUCAAUUUAUUUAUGCAAAGACUCCAAAUGUCAAUAAUGUUGUAAAAAAAAAAUUUAAAUAAAAGAAAAAAAACCAAAUUAAGAUAAAGCUUUAGUUUAUUUUCUAGUCGUUUAUUAUCUAACAAAUACUUUUAAAAAAUGCAAUAAAGUGAGUGAUUUAAACUUCUCUCACGACAAUAUUUCAAAGAUAUAUUGUUCUUUUUAUAUAUAUAUAUAAUUUUUAAAUUUACAUUUUGCAUUACAAAAAAUCAUGUGAAAAUUGAUAGUUUUUUCUCUAUUGAUACAAAAUGCGGUAUCAAUAUAUUUUUCUAACAUUUUUAGUAUGUUUAUUAUAUAGUGUUAGGUGCUCCAAUUAUAAAACAUUUUAAUUAGCAACUAAUUGACGUUAAUACGAAUGUCUGUAGAAAACUUAUAAAUGUGUUUGAAUAGCAAUAUUAGACAAAGGCAAACAUUUAAAACUAUACAAAUAGAAAAAUAAUAACUGCAAUUAUUUUUAGUAUAUAAAAGGUCUUAAAAGUGCAAAAAAAGAAAAGAAAAAAAAAGAAAUCUUAUAAGUUUGAAACAUUUCUAAAGUAAAAAUGUUUGUUAUUUGACAUUGACGUUUGCUUAAUAUUAUUUAUUAUACUUUAAAAUAUUUCUUAUACAUUUAAACAAAUUUUUUAAAAAAAAUUAGAAGAUGACUAUAGUAAUAGUAUGGUCAUUUAUGAUUGAAUUAUUAGAUUACUAACUUAGAAGAAACAAUACAACAAAAAAUGAAAAUUAUGAUUGAUUGAAUUAUUGCCCAACCUAACUCCAUUACCUUUUUAAAAUCUUGGGUUUACUUGUAAACCAUUAAAUAAAAGUAUGGGUGUUUUGUUUUCACCCAUACGUAUAAUCAAAUUCCCACUUUAUUUUAUGACCCCACUCGUUUUCUAAACGUCACACCUAUAUCUAUCGACUUUGGUUGAAUAGGAAAACAUAUCAUCUACAAUGCCCACUCAUAUAUUAUUGUCUAAACUUUCAUUUUGUAUGAAUUUGUGACCACAUGAUCUACUUAAUUACAUCAAUUAUUUUGUUUGAAUUAACCGUCUCACUUCUUAUUUCAAUUUUAAUAAAUACCAAUAUGGUUUGCUUACAAUUUAGAUUCACAACUUAAUUAUAGAUUACUAUAAUUAGGGAAGAUAAUACAUAAUUAAGAAAACUUAAUACCAAUAGUGUCUCCUUGUAUGUAUGUUUUAUAUAUAUGAUAUGAUAUCAAUAUCAUUACUUAGUAACACAUUUUAGUUAUUUUUAUUAACAUUUUCUUAUAAAAUUGUUUAACAAAAAAGUUGAAGGUAGGCAUAUCUUUUUCGUUUGUCCAUUCAUUUGUGGCCACAACCAAAAAGUUCUUUUGUUGAAUUGUAGAUAAGAUUAUUUUUUUUUUUCAUUCUUAAAUUAUAUGAAGAAUUAUAAAUUAUUUUAAAAUUUAGUAACUAAGUUAAAACAAAACUUCAAUUUCAAAAUAAAAUUGUAACGUAUUUCAAAACGUAGAAUGAAGAUGAAACUCGACAUCUCUUGUUCUUUGUGUAUACAUAAGUGCUAGUUAAGCUAAACUCUUUUAAUCAAAUGAAAACUAAGUGGACCUAAAGAUCAAAUAGAGAUAUUUCUUCCCAUUUUAUUUAGGACAUAUUUAGUAGGUGUUUUUCAAAUGAAAAAUUGUAUUCGAGAACAAAAACAUUUAGAAAAAAUGAGUUUAUAGUAUAUAUAUAUAUAUUUUUUGCAUAUUGUAAAUAUGACUAAAUUAGUGAUAUCAGACAACCAUCAAAGGUAGAUAGGUCAUAUUAUCAUAAAUUUUGUUGCUAUUUUUGUGAACGUCCAUUUUUAAAAUUUGAAUGGAAAAUAGGUACAAACUACGAAGUCGAGAAACAUUAAAUAAUUAUAAUUCAACAUAUAUAUAAAUAUAUAGGAGUAAAUGUAAAAAUUUAUUGGAGACAAAAACUAGAAUUGAAAAAAAAAAUGGAAGAGAAGACACAAAUGAAAUCCAAUCUCACCUAAGUACUAAAUAUCUCUCAAACUCUCACAUGCAAUUAAUUAAGAAAACUCCAUAACAUAUAUAUCUAAAAGAAGGCCAUAACAAGAAGGGCGGAGAAAGUGAGAUAAAGGGUUGCCAUAAGUGCGUUGGAGGAUGAAGGAGACGGUGGUGGCAUCACCGAUGAAGGAGGCGAUGAUGAAGGAGGCGAUGAUGAAGGUGGUGGCAUCGAAACAGUGGCAUUGGCAGCAACGACAUUGAUGGAUAACUUUUGACCAUUUGAACAAUGUGUUCCAACGGUGCAAACAAAGUAAUGCAUGCCGAGUUCGUCGAGUCUCUCUAUCACUGGAGAUGUCCUCUCGACAUCGUUAUCAGAAUUGACAAAAUUACAUGCAUCAAACGACUGUUUUGUUUCCAUUUCAUGUACGUUGUGGGCAUUGGCUGGAAAGUUAAAUUCUGUCGAGAAGAAAGAAAAAAGAAAAGUGUUAAAAUCUUAUCUUAGUUCCCUUAACUAUGUUGUCUUUUUUUUUUCUUUUCAAAUCGAGCUUGCUCAAUUGACAUGUGAGUAUGUUAGUAGCCACAAACUGAGUCAUUCAAAUUUUCUAAUUUUCAAUUACUCUCGAAUUAGUUAAAAUUUUAUUAAAAAUCUAAAAUGACUCUUAGAUUAUUUAUAUUUAUUCUUAAUAUAUAAAUUGUAUACAUAAAAACUCUUUAAUUAGUUUUACUUCAAAAGUCUACGUAGUUAAAUUAUGAUCAAUUUUAGUGCACGUUAUUAUUGGUGUGUGAAUAUAAAUUAAUUUGAAAGAAUUAAAAGAAAAUUAAAACUAAAAUGACUCUAUUUUUUUUUUUUUAUUUAUGAAAUUUCACUUCAUAAAUUAUUUUUAAUUAAUUAAUAAACGCAAAAAGAAUUAAAUUUUAAUAAUAUUAAAAAUAGAAGUGCUUCUCUAUGUGACUAAACAAAACAAAAUUGGAGCAUUUUGAAAAUGUAAGAAUUAAAUUGAAAUCAAAUAGCUGAGGUAAAUAACCAAAUAAAAAUCAAAUAGUACUAAAAGAAAAGGGUAAUUUUUCCACUUUUUUAAAAGGGUAAUUGUAACGAAUGGUCAUUUGAGAAAUAAGAAUUAAGGAUAUAGCAACAUUUAAAACAUAAUUGCAAAUAUAGCAAAACUUUCACUGAUAGAUUUGUAUCACUGAUAAACUCGUACGAUCUAUCGAUGAUAGACUAAUUUUUACAACAUGGUCUAUCAGUGAUAGACUCUAUGAUUGAUAAAGUUUGACAAAUUUUACUAUAUUUACAAUUUUUUUAAAAUGUAGCUAUAUACUUAAUUAUUUUAAAUUUAAUUGCUAAAAAUUUGCAACUAUCAUUUCUUUUAAUUUGGCACCUUAAGUAUGAAUGAACUCAAAUGAAACUUAUGCACGAGGGUUAAAAAAGAAGUUUUUCAAGAAAUUUAUUUUUGUUUAAAUUUAUUUUUCUAAAAAUGGUUUAAAAUAAAUUUAAAAAUCUAUUUUGAAUAAUUUUUCAAAUGUUUAGUUUUUUUUUCAAAGAACUUAUUUUUUAAAUUAAAUUUGAGAAUGUAAUUUGAUGGUGUCACUUUUUUUUUUCAAACGGGAUAUAAGAUUUAAAAUAUAGUUAACAAUACAAAGUUAUAGACAAAUCAAAUUAGUAAAUAAAACCAUUUUAUUAUUUAGUGAGGUUUUAAUGUUAGUUUUUGUGUUUGACGAACUUUUCUAAAAUACAAUAGAAAAAAUGGAUUUAGCAUCGAAGUCAAGAAAAGAAAGGUGUAAAUAUGGACAGAAAUUUAACAGUAUGGGAGACAGAAAAAGAAAAAAGAAAACUUACGGAGAGAAUCGCCAACGCGGAAGGUCUUUCCAGCAGCCCAUUGAGAAUAGAAAUUGGGGCUCGAUGGAACACUCCAACCGGUGUUGUCGCCGACGAUAUGAACCGUCGACUGAGCGGUGGCAGGGUGAAGAAAAACCACUGCAAUCAAACCCAAAACAAAGGCAACUGAUCCGGCGGCCAUGGAUGAGGAUGUUGUAAAAAAUAUAAAGAAUAAUAUAGAGGGGUGUGGGAAAUGAAAUUGAGGAAGUAUGAGUUUGUUAAAUGGGAAUUUAUAGAGAGAGGGAGUUAAAAGGGGGUAUGUAUAAUAAUGGAAAUAAAGUAGAUAAAUAUUGGGAAAAUGGGGAGGAAGAAAGGGAAGGCAGUGAACAGUGAUGGAAGAAGGGAAGAGGAAAGUGGUGAUGAUGUUGUUGUUGUUUGUGAAUAGUCAAAGGAGACUGCGUCCAAGUUGGGAUGGGUCUUUGGAAGGGUUGGAGAAUAAUAAGUUUGUGGAAGAAAAUUCAAAUGCCCCAAUUAAUGGUUUGUCUCCUUCUCUACUUCAUCUCUCUUAGCUUAAACAUUUCAAACCCUCCUCUUUCUUUUUUCUUCUUCUUUUUCCCAUUUGUCACCAACGACGUAUUCUGAAGUCUAUUGGGAAGACGUAUUUUCCAUCAUUUUAUGCUACGCCUCACACAUGUGUUUUAGAUUUAUGUCUAUUGUAUUCAUAUAAAUUUAAUUUUUUUUAUAUGUUUAAUAUGUCUUUGAAAUGUUAAAUCUAAGUAUUAAAAUUAAAUUUAAUUGAAAUUAUUUUUAUGACAAAAUUGUCGAAAGUAUUUAUAAAUAUAGAAAAAUAUCAUAUACAUUACUACUCUCUAUAUCUAUCAUCACAUAAACAAGCAUAGGCUAUAAUAUAAUAUUUUGUUCUAUUAAUAAAUAUUUUAGUUCAUUUUGAUAUAUUUAAAAAUAUCCCAAAAUGUAUUACCUAGUAUCCAAUAAUUUUAUAAAUGUAUUUUUUAUAAAAAUGAAAUAAUGCACUUUUUUAUAUAUAAAGAGGCACUUGUAAAAAUAGCAACAAAAAAAAAAAAUGAUAAUAGGAUCCACGUCACUACAUAUAUUUUUUAAAUUGUAAAAGUAAAAUUUAAAAGUCGAUUACCUCCUAAUAGUUAUGUGAUAAAACUAUUUUUUUAUAAAUUUUUUUGUAAUAUAAUGCAAUUUACUUUCUUUAAAAUAAUUAAUGUACAUAUUAGUAGCAGAAAUCAAAAUUUUAACAAACUUAUACCUCACCUAACAUAUGAUUUAAUUUUCUCUAUCCUUAUUGUGUUAAAAAAAUGUCCGAUUAAUCACAAAGUUAGAAAAAGUAAAUAUGUUUGAAACUAUGAGAUAACUCAAUUUUAAAUAAUCAAAUGUAGCUCAUGAAAGAAAAGUCAAAAGUUAUAGAUUUGACUGGGACACGUGUCGUUGUUUCCCUUACUAUAUCCGUCCACGUUGGGUAUUCUCUAUUUUUUUCAGCUCUCACUCAUGUUUUUUCUUUUCACCAGUUUUUAUGUAGUUUGCUUUUACACUUGAAAUGCUUUUAGAAGGUCAAAUUACCAUUAAUUUAAGAUGAUUAUUAAACACGAUCAACUAACAAACACAUCAUUGAUCAAUUUGUACUCUACAGUCUACACCCCAUGAAGUUGAAAAAUAUCAAAAUACAAUAUAUAUAUAUCAUAAACGCUUACUAAAAUGUAACAAAUAUAUAAAACCUCCCCAAAAAUUUCCAUCUAAAACAACAAGCUCAUAAUAAUGGCGGACAAAGUGACGUAAAGGGUUGUCAUCAAUGCGGUGGAGGAUGAAGGUGUUAGAGCCGAUGGAGAUAAUCCACCGCGGAUAGGCGGUGAACUUGCAGGAGUUGGAGCACAUGCAUCAUUGUGAGGAUGAGGAGUGUUUGAAGAAGGUGGCAUUGUACCGCCGCUAGCGGAGACGGUGACGGAUAACUUUUGGCCUCCCAAACAGUGUGUGCCAACAGUACAAAUGAAGUAAUGCAUACCGGCAGCGUCGAGCUUCACUGUAGCAGGACCUGUAGUAAUGACAUUGCCGAUGGCAUUGUUUGAAUUGCACGCAUCGAAGGACUCUUUUGUUACUUUAAGAACAUCGUGCAUGUUUGUUCUGAAGUUAAAUGCUGAAAGGAAAAAAAAAAAAAACAAGAAAUGUGUUACACUUUUUUAUGUUAAAGUAGGGUCGAGGAUAUAUGUAAUAUAUAUCUAAAUCAAAUGGGUUUACAUACGAUAUGAUUUUCAUAGGUAUUUUCAAAAUUCAAAAAGUAGAAUAAAAAGAAAAGGAUUAUCAAAUUGAAAAAUUGACUAAGAUAUUUUAAACAAUGGAAGGGAAAGUUAAAGACUAACUAAACUUCAAUUAAAGAAAAAAGGAUGAUAGGAUCGGAGAGAAGAUCAGUACUUAGAGAAUCGCCAACAGAGAAGUUGUUUCUUGAAGCCCAGUCGGAAUAGAAAGCAGCUCCGCCUUGGGGAACUGUCCAACCGUCAGAGUCUCCGACGACAUGUAUCGUCUGAGCAGUGGCAUGAUGAACAAAAACCACAGCAAUUAAACCCAAAACAAUACCAACUUCUCCACUCAUAUUUCUUUUAAAAAAUAAUCACAAUGAACAAAAAUCUCACACUCUAAAAUGAAAGCUAUACAAUAGUUUGCUUAAUAACUCUCUUUUACUAGUUGUGUGUGUUUAACGAAAAUGGGAUGUAAAUUUAUAGAGAAAUAAGUGUAGAAAAUUAAUAGUUUUGCUCAACCUAAAUAAUGGUCAAACAAAUUGGGUAAACCAUAUCAAAACGGGUGCAACUUUUUCCACUACUUGAUUAAUAACGAAGAUGAGAGGAUAGGGCAUGAAUCAAUCUAGUUGAAAUAUAUACAAUAGUAUAUGUUUUCAUGAUUCUUCACAAAUUGAAAAAAAUAGGUAUGUCAUGUAUGUAUUUUUUUAAAAAAUUACUUUUAAGUGAACGAUUUAAAUUAAUAAGAGUGUAACUUAGAUAGACAAAUUAUUUUUUGUAAAAGUAGAAAAAAACUAAACCGAACUUUGUUAAAGGUUAAAGUUUACUCUAUCUCGAUUUGCUUGAUCAACCUGAAAGGUCAGGUGAGGUUUUGUCCAUCUGAAAUCCAAUUCAAAUGAAAUAAUUAAAACUAGUUUUAAAGAAAAACCGACCCGAUCCUAUCCACCUUAUGUCAAGUUUUUUAAAUGAAAGAUGGUGACCAAAGUUGGAAAGAAAGAAAGGAAUGGGAAUUAUGGAAAAAUGGUUAAAAUGCGUACAAGUUGGUGUUGACUCCAAAAGUGGAAGGUUCCUCAAUCCUCAUGGAGACUUUGGGAGAGACUACUAAUUCAUUGUGAUUUAAUUUUCUAACUCUUUUUUUCCAAGUCUCCCCUCAAUGUAUUUAUUUUUCUUCUUUUCACAAUUCUCCAAGUCCAGCCGAGAAAAUUGAAUUGUUAACUUCUUUUUAUAGCACAAACAUUAGACAUUCGUUAUUUUAUUUGAACGGUAACGAAACUAAAAAAUAUUUACGGUAUGUAUAAUAAAAUAAAAAAACAUACAACACAAUCAUUUUUUUUGUAAUUUUCAUAUAUGAUUUUUCAAUUCAUAUUUUCUUUGCGAUUUAUUAAUCACUGAUCAUCUUGAUGCAAUUUAUAAACUUUGAGAUCAAAUAACUAAAGAUAGAAGUCUUUCAUCCUAAGGUAUCACGAGACAAUGUAUAUGUUUGAGAUCGAAUAAACGCAAAAGUUUUUUCAUCCCAUGCCAUCUUAGUGCCACUAAGAUCCGAGAUUCAAUAACUAUUGGAAGAAUUCUUUCAUCGUGGGACAUGGUAUGUUGGAGAUUGUAUAUCAUAUUGCGCACAUGUGACAGAUUUAUCACAUGUUAACUCGAAUAAUUUUGGUAUUUUAUGUUGUAGAUGCUUUUUCCGUUUUCAAAAUUGUUAUAUAUAGUGUCUAAGUAUUUUUUCCGUUUGUUAUAUUUUUUAGAAAAAUCUUUAAAAAAUUAUAGAUAUGUGGGAGACACUUUUUUUUUAGACAAAUAAAUUUAGGUGAAAAUAUUAUUUCGUUCCUCCUACUAAUCUAAGUCUAUUUUAUUUUAGUACCUAAAAUUUUCAUUAUUAGCAUCCGUAUUUUUAAUAUAUUUUAAAUUAGUUUUUUAAACUAUUUUUCCAAAAUUAAUUGAAUAGUAAUAAUAGAGUUCAUCAAACAACAAAAAAAUGAAAUUAUAAAAAAGAAUAACAAAUUAAACAAACUAUUUACAAAAUAUAACAAAAUUUUAUAUUCUAUCACUAAUAGAUAUUGAUAGACAUUUAUAUGAUUUUAUUAAUGACGUUGAUUGCCCGUGAUACAUUGGCAUAAUUCAAAAUAUUGCUAUAUGUUGUAAAUAUUUUAUUUUAUUUUUUUAUAUUUACAAACGUUCAUAGUUUAGGAAAAUUGUCAAAAAUAAAACAUUUGAUAAAAUAUUUACGGUUUAUAUAAAAGUAAGUGUAAUUAAUUUUGUAUUUUAGUGAUUUUGUUGCAUGAAGUGUAUAUGUUUUAUCAAUAUUUCUAUUUUUGAAAAAGCCUUAUUUUUAUUUAUUAUUCUUUAAAAAAUCAAAAAAGAAAAAAAAAUAGUGGGAAGAAAGUGGGAGUGAGUUGGAAGAAAAGUAGGGGAAAUUUGUAGAGACACAUAAAGUUUAGAGGGAAAAUUUUGGAAUGAUGCCUAUAGUUUUUGUAGGCCAAAUUUCAAGAAACCUGUUGGAACUAAAUUAAUCUUAGAUGAAUUUACAUUAUUGCAUUUGCAUGAAUAGUUAGAGAUACAACGAUUAAAGGUAUGUUUAAUGAAGAAUCAUAUGUAUUCGCAUUCGUUAUUGAUGUCUUCUUAUUAUAAAUACGUAUAAGUUUCUCAUUUGCAUACGUGUAAAGUUUACGGUAGAUCGUAGUAUCUAUCUCAUUUAGUAAAAUAAUAAAACGAAAAUGAUGCCAAGGAAUUCAUUAUAUGGCAAUUUCAAAAGUAAUUCCCAAACAUGCAAUCAUUAAUCUAAGAAGCAAGUAAAACAAGGUCCAAUGCAAAUCCACACUAUCUAUAAAACAAGAGUUCAUAACACGAAGGCAUACAAAGUAACAUAAAGGGUUGCCAUCAGUAAGGUAGAGGAGGAAGGCGUUAAAGCGGAUGAGGAUCCAUCACAAAUAGGUGGUGAGGAAGACAAUGAAUUAGCAGGAGUUGAAGAGCAUGCAUCGCCAUGGGAAGCAGGAGGAGUUCUUGUAGGCGGUGGCUGAGCAGCGUUUGAAGAAGGUGACAUUGCAUUAUCGGUUGGAGGGACUACGGUAACUGUGACGUUGACAGCUAACUUUUGACCUUCAAAACAGUGAUUGCCAACGGUACAAAUGAAGUAAUGCAUGCCGGCAGUGUCGAGCUUCAAUGUUGUAGGACCUGUAGUGAUGACAUAAUGGGUGGUAUUGUGUCCAUCGCAUACCUCGAACGCCUCUUUUGGUACUUUUUGCACACUGUGCAUGUUCGUCCCAAAGUUAAACGCUGCCAAAAUAAAUAACUAAGAAACUAAAAACUAAAAUCAAAUCAAAUGGACUAGAUUUUAUUUUCUUGAGUUUAACAACACCAUUUGAAUCAAUGAAGGACCAUAUAUACUGAACUCAAGUAAUAUAUAUAGCUAAAAGAACUAAGUUCAACCAAUGUUAGUAAGUUCUUCCAACUUCAUUUAUACUAAACGAGGGAAUCCCUAGUUUGACCGUGGAUAGGAUCAAAUGGAGGAAUUUUUUUUAUAAGGAAUGUUCGCAAAAAUAGCUAAAUAAUUUAUGAUAAUAGAGUUAAUGUCACUACAUUUUGUAAAUUGUAAAAGUAGCAAAUUUAUAAAAAAUAAAUAGUCCUUCGAUAGACAUUUGAUAUGUAACGCCCUAGACCUAGGAUUCGGACUAGGAUUUAAAAUUCGGAUCACUGACAUUUCUCCACGACCACGAUCGGGACAGACGGGUUGCUUAGCCCAUUUAUUAUUACUUUUGGCCCAUGGUGCAUUUACCCAUAUUUUGUACACAUGUUCAAGAAGAAAGCCCAAAUUCCAGUAUUUGGCUUUUUGACACCAUCUCCAAAAUAGGUUAUCUUCAACUUCAAGGUUCGACUUCUCGAGCAGCCGAAUCCUUCUUCUUCUUGCUUUCCUUUUCUUACUUUUCUUUUGGAAUACUUCUUCUUCUUCUUCACUUUGUUUUUUCUCUUUAAUUACUUCUUCUUGCUUGCUUCUUUCUUUUUUUUUUUUUUUUUCUAAUAGUUCUUCGAGUUUCAAAUCUCGUUCCUGAGGAGAUCUGUUUCCCCGAUGGAAAUCCCCUCCACCGUCCCCGCUUCAAAUGGGGAGGGCGUGGGCGAGGAUGGGGGUAAAUAACCCUCACGGAGACAGGACGGGAGCACUCCCUCGCCCCGCCCUCUCCUCUUGCCAACCCCAUGAUUGAACAUUCGAUUUGAAAAUUGUUAAAGCAUCUACAUUAUGACUUUAAUGACAUAAAUGUGUAAUUUUCUCUUCUUUUUUUUUUUUUUUUCUGAGAAAAACAUAAAUCUGUAUCUUAGACCUCUUUCAAAUUGCGAUCAAUAACUCCGAAGACUAAAAAUUGAAAUUAAAGGAGAGAAGAUUGAUAUAUACUUAGAUAAUCGCCAAUAGCGAAGUUGAAUUUAGAAGCCCACUCGGAAUAGAAAGCAGCGCCGUUCAUCGGAACCGUCCAACCGGUGGAGUCUCCGACAACACGAACCGUCUGAGCGGUGGCUUGGUGAACAAAAACCACCGCAAUUAAACCCAAAACUAAACCAAUAAUUCCUCCACCCAUUUUUUCUAAUAAAUAAAAACCAAAUUUUGUUGAAAGAAAGAUGGUAUAUACAUUUAUAAGGGUUAAUGGGUGGGAAAGGAGGGUUGAGCCGACACCAAUAUCUGUGAAUUAAUUCUUGACUACAUCCAACUUUGUGUUAAAAUUCUAACCAAAAAAAGAUAUAUUAUAUAACCUGAUUGUGAUGUAUCCUACCCUUUUUGACUUGACAUUUCCAAUUCUUUCGUGUCUUCGUCUCUCAAUAAAUAUAUAUAUAUAAAUCAAAGUUCACACUUACUGAUAUAUUAAAAUUUUGUGUCAAACUAAAUAGAACAAAUAUAACGAUCAACAGCCCCAUCUUUACUUAUAAAUAAAUAUAUGAAAAAGGAGAAAAGAGUGUGUCAUGUACAAUACAUUCCUCAUUUAGAACAACAAGUUCAUAACAAUGGCGGACAAAGUGACAUAAAUAGUUGCCAUCACUGCAGUGGAGGAGGAAGGUGCUGGAGCUGCAGGAGUUUCACCGCUUUUAGGUACGGACGAGGACGGAGAAUUUGCAGUUGUCGAUGGCUCCUCAGAAGUGCUUGGGGAAGGUGACACUGCACCACCAGGGGUGGUAGAGGAGGAUGAGACGGUGACAGCUAACUUUUGACCUCCCAAACAGUGUUUACCAACGGUACAAAUGAAGUAGUGCACGCCAGCAGUGUCCAGUUUCACAGUCGCAGGGCCGGUCGUGAGGGCACUGCCGAUGGCUUUAUCAGAGUUGCAUGCUUCGAAGGAUUCUUUUGGUACUUGAAGUACAUCAUGUGCUCCGGUCAGGAACUUAAAUGCUGUAAAAAAUAAACAUAACUUUAAAACUUAGGAGGUGUUUAAAGCACACUAUUAGUUACAUAGAAUAUGGGAUUAUGAUAGUUUCUGUUGUAACGUAGAAUAAAUGUACACGAGAAAGAGAGAAAGAGAUGUAACAAAUAAAGAUUUAACAUAUUAAUUAAUAUUCCAGUUCAAAGUGGGCAAUAUUCUACCACUUGAUUUUGCUGUAAUAAAGUAAUGGAUAUUUCAACCUCAGCAAAUUUAUAAUCCAAGGAAUUAAGCAGAUAACUUAAUUAAGGACAUGUAUAUAUGUUCGUACGUACUACAGAUUGAUGUACCUAGCUAGCUACAAAAUCAUGCAUGUCUGCUAUGAAUUUAGCUUAAUUAAUUUCCACAUUCUUACAAAGAGAAUCGCCAACAGCAAAAGUGUUUUUAUCAGCCCAUUCAGAAUAGAAAGUCUCGGUCGAUGGAAUCGUCCAACCCGUGGUUUCACCUACGACGUGCACCUUCUGGGCAGCGGCAUGGUGAACAAAAACAACAGCAAUGAAACCCAAAACAAAACCAACUCGUCCGGCCAUUAUUUGUCGUCUAAAUUUCUUUUUCUUCUCUCCUUUUUCAAUAAUUUGGGGAUGUUGUGUUUGUAAAAUGAGAAUGGGAUGUAAAUUUAUAGUGAUGACAGAAUGUUGGGGAAUGUAAAAUUAGAAUAAUUGGUGGCCAUAGAAACUAGAAAGGCCGCAAAAAGAGCUGAUUAAAUGGUCAAAGUUAAAAGAGAGGUUUUGUUUUUUUCAAGGGUAAUUAAGUUGGUUUUAAUUUCACUUCCAACUCAUAAACUUUGGAGGAGAGAUUUGGUUUUAUUUGAUGGAGAAUUUUGAAAAGUAAAAAUAGAGUUAUAUCUUUGUAGAAAUGGAAUUAAUUAAUUUAAAUAAUUGUUUCAAAUAUGUUUCAAAUUAUAUUGAUAAAUCAUAAAGCUUGUAAAUUGUAAUUAUAGUGUAAAUAACAGUUGACAGUAAAUUGUAAUUAAUCUAUUGAUGAACAUGUUUUAUGUUCAAUUUUUCAAUAAUUAUUAUUUUCUAACCUUAUAUAAUUUUUAAUACAUGACAUAGUAUAUAUUUUAGUUUUAAGAAAAUGAAUUGAGUUUAAUACAUAAAUGUUUUUAUCUUUAUCCAAGGGAUUUUUCUUAUACAUGGAGAAAAAUAACUUCUAAAAAUUAGGCUCAUUUCCUAUGUUUUUAUUUACUUCACUGAAAAUGAGAAAAAAAUACGAGAUCAAUCCAUAAAAUGUGAAAAUAAUAAAUUUGACAAAAUAUUCUCGAUAAACACUUAUAUUUUGCUACAACUUAUAGAUAUUUUAAUAUUUGAAAAUGUACUUCAUAUUGAUACAUUAUUGAUAUACACUUGAUUUGAUACACUUCCUACAUUUAUUAAAUAUGUUAGUGUUAAAUUGUAAACAUGAGCUGCUAUUUCAUUUAUUUGAUAUAACUUUUUGCUUUUAAGAUAAAGAAAAAAAAGAGAAAUUGAAACUAUAUGAAAAUAAUUUACAACAAAUUCUAUAGGUAAGUAAAUAAUUUAAUUUAUUUUGCUAUUUUAAAAAUAUAUGAAAACAUAAUUAAAAGAAAAUUGUUUACCAACUUUUGAAUAAACGAACACAAAAUUGGUAAAUAUUUUUGAGAAACAUUGUGUGCUAAAUUCAAUAUGUAUAUCACAAAUCGAAUUCACCUUAAAGAAAAUUAAGUAGUAAGUAGGAGGGUCAAACAAAAUCUUAGUAAAGAAAUAUUUGUUAGAAGAUGGUAGAAUAUGAAAUUUCCCUCACCCAUCAUCUUAAAUUUUGGAUAUUGUUUUAAGGAGAGGUUGGAUUUAAUCUCCAAACUCCAAAUUUUUUGUCAUAUUAAAUAACGAUUACCAUCAUUCUGGAAAAUUCUUGUAAUUGGUUUGUCAUCAUUAACUGCUAUAUGAUCAUCAACUAAUUUUUCUUCUUUUACAUUUUGAUCACAUUUUUCCAAAUAGCUUAACAACUAUUAGUAUUAAAUAUUUGGCUAUCAAUCUCAAUGUAUUAGUUUAAAGUUGUGGGUUUAGUUGAAAAGGGAUUAUGAGUUCAUUCAACCUUAAAAGUGGGAGAGGGAGAACAAAACCUUCCAAAAUUUUCGAAAUGUAUUAAAAAGAAAAAAGAAAAGAAAAGGAAAGAAAGAUUGGGAAAAAAUACAGAACCGAAGGAAUCUGAUCACAGUCUGUCAUUCUCAACAAACUUUCGAAAACAAACUAAAUAGAAGAAAUUAUCAACAGCCCCACCUUCAUUUAUAAAUAAAUAUGAAAAAGGAAAAACAAAGGUGCCAUGUAAAAUCCUCAUUUAGAACAACAAGUUCAUAACAAUGGCGGACAAAGUGACAUAAAUAGUGGCCAUCACUGCAGUAGAGGAAGAAGGUGCUGGAGCUUUAGCAGAUUCAGCGUCUUUGGGUACUGAUGAGGACGGUGAAUCUGCAGAAGAUUCACUGCUGUUAGGCGCUGACGAGGACGGAGAAUUUGCAGGAGACUCAUCGCCCUCAGGCACUGACGAGGACGGAGAAUCUGCAGGAGCUAGAGUUUUCGAUGGCUCCUCAGUAGAGUUUGAAGGAGGAGAAGCUGCAUCACCAGGAGUGGCGGAGCCGCCCACGGUGACGGAUAACUUUUGACCUCCUAAACAGUGUUUACCAACGGAACAAAUGAAGUAAUGCUCGCCAGCGGUGUCGAGUUUCACGGUUGCAGGGCCGGUCGUGAGGGGACUGCCGAUACCUUUAUCGGUGCUGCAUGCUUCGAAGGAUUCUUUCGAUACUUUAAGUACAUCAUGUGAUCCAGUCGGGAAUUUAAAUGCUAUAGAAAACAAAACGUAAAAGUUUAGAACUUAGAGAAUGCUUGUAGCACACCCAGUUAGUUUUUAUAAUAAUGUGUUUAGGUGCAUAUCACCAUUAAGUUAAUUUUCAAAAUCCUUACAGAGAGAAUCGCCAACAGCAAAAGUGUUUUUUUCAGCCCAUCCUGAGUAGAAAGUAGUAUCUGGUGGGAUCGUCCAACCGGUAGCGUCACCGACGACGUGCACCUUCUGGGCGGCAGCAUGGUGAACAAAAACAAGAGCAAUGAAACUCAAAACAAAACCAAUUCCUCCAGCCAUUAUUACUUUUUUUUGUUGUCUAAAUUUUAUUUUUCUCCUUUUUCACAAAAUGGGGCAGAUGUCGUUGUGUUUGAGAAAUGAAAACUGUGGAAUGUAAAUUUAUAGAGAGUUAAGGUAAUUAAAGUUUUGGGUAUUGAAGAACAGAAACUUGGGUGGCCAUUAGAAGGGCCGCAAAAAAAGCCGAUCUAAUGGUCAAAGUUUGUAUAAACUCUAUAAGUAGAAAUAAUUAGUUCCAAAUGAUAAGCUUUGGAAGAGAUCAGACUAAACGAACCAAUUAUGGAGGGCCACUCAAAUUAAAAUUUGAGAGUCUUUGGUUUAAAGUUUAUUGGAUUUUCGUGAAUAAUAGAUGUCUCUAAAGAUAACAAUAUCUAAAAAUAGUAGAUGUGUUUAUGUAAGAUGAAGUGUUUAGUUCUUCAUAUCAGCCCCAGCACUGCGUAGGGCGUUCUUCCAAACCCAACAACCACCCAUUGUUUCCUUUAGUUUCGUAUUCGUUUCCCUUUCUUGCUCUUUGUACUAACUUGCAUUUGUUUAAUGAAAAUGGAAUCCAAAUUACGAGUGAAUAAAUAAGUUUAAAUUUUGUCAUUCAUCUUGUCAAUCCAAUUGUUGUAUGAACUUCAAGCUAUUGAAAUCAAAGAAAUGUAAAAAAAAUCCAACAAUUAUCCAAACUGAAAUGAAAAAUCUAAUUAAAAGAAAUUGAAAAUCCUAGAACAAUUAAAAAGAAAUAAACAAUAUAUAUAUCCAAUCCAAUUUUAUCAUACUUUAAAUUUUGUGUGCCAUCGCACAUAGUUUUGGUUUCUGUGAUUUCCAAAUCUUCAUUGUCUGUUUACUUUUAAAAUCUAUAAUUAUUAAGAAAACUAUGAGUAUAAGUGAGAAAUUAGUAAUGAAAAGAAAAUGGGUUAUUUAAUUUAAAUUAGACAAUCGCGGUUAAAGUUAUCUAAUUCCCCAUUUAUUGACUAAUUCUCUCCUCCAUUGAAUGCAAUCUACAUUGGAUUCAACUCCGACAGAAACAACUUUAUAUGACUUUAGUAUAUAUGUUUACGGUAGUACAAUGCUAGUACGUAUAUAAAAUAUCGGUUGACUCAAAAGUUUAAAAUACAAUUUGAGAUGAAAAUAAUGAUAGGAAAAAGAUAUAAUAAUUUAAUCUGUCUUUAUUUUUUAGAAUUUUGCUCAAUCAUACAAAGUGUUAGCCAGUUUUUGGAGGCAUCCAUGGGACAUAGAUCAUUUUGUAAUUUAACCAUUGUAGAUUUUAGUUUUACAUUUUUAUUUAUAAGAUAUGAGAUUUAAGUUGUGAGUACAAUAUGGUCAACAUGAAUGAUUGAAUGAUUUUAUUAAAUUUGAUGUUAUCUCAAACAAAUAUAUAUAUAUAUAGACAUUGAUAGACACAUCACAUAAAUACAUAAAUUGAAUAGAAAAAUAAUAAUGAAGAUAAAGUUAAAGAUUAUCCUUACAAUAAUGUACGCGGCAAAUAGAUCUUUUAUUCUUCUUUCUUUUAGACCAAACUUUUAAUGAAGAAAAAUUGUGUGGCUCACCUAAACUCACAACUCCAAUAAUAUAAAUUUGGAAAAGGAAAGGAAGAAAGAUAAUAUCAAAAUGGAGGAAAUUAAAAACAAUGUGAAUUUAUUUAUAUAAGUAAUGUAUAAAAAUAAUGAAAUGACAAAGUAGAACAUGAAGAACACAAAUAAUUAUAACAACAAAAAGGAAAAGGAAAACAUGAUUUAUCUAACAAAACGUAUUAAUUAGAAGAAGCUAAGAGCAAGGCCAAAGACUGUGGCGGAGACAGCGGCGGCGAUGGUGUUAGCAGAGGACUUGGGUUGUCCGGCACCGGUACCAAAGGGUGAACCGCCAGCGGUUGGUCCGGAGGUUGGAGGGGUUGAAACGGAUGUAACAGGACCAGUGGAUCUGGUCGCCACUACAUUGAUGGCUAAUUUUUGGCCCAGUUGACAAUCUUGAUUCUCAGUACUAAUGUAGUAAUGUUCGCCGGGAGUAGUUAGAACAACUGUUGCAGGCCCAGAUUCAAUGGUCUCUCCGAUCUCGUUGUCAUCGCUACAGAUGUCGAAGGAUGCUUUCGGUACUCUCUCAACGUCGUGUACUUCGGUUGUGAAGUUGAACACUGAAAUAAUUAAACACAACCUUAGUCUAGUCGUCUCCAACUUUAAUUUUAACACUAAAAUAUAAUAUUACGUACUACAACCUACGCUUACAAUCAAAUAAUACAUUUUCUAUUGUAUGUUGAAUCAUCUGUUGUUUUCAAGAUAUUACCAAAAUGUAAUGUCACUCUUAACACAAAUAUAAUAUAUCUUGAAUUUUAUAUUUUAUUAUGAAUUAAGUAAGAACAGAGAAUCACUCACCAAUAGAAUCACCGACGGCGAAUGUCUUGCCGGUAGUCCAGUUGACGUAGAAAGCGGCGCCGCCUGGUGGAGUGGUCCAGCCUACGGAGUCUCCGACGAUAUGGGUCACGGGGGCAGGGCGUGGGGUAGAUGGUGGAGGAUUUGAAGAAGGUGGAGCCAUUGUUCCGGGGGCGGCUGUGACAUUGAUCGCUAACUUCUGACCUUGCUGGCAGUGCCCAUCCUCAUUGCUUAUGAAGUAAUACUCGCCGGGAGUUAACAGCGGGAUGGUUGCUGGCCCGUGGUCGAUAUCCUCACCGAUCUCACCGUCAUCGUUACAUAAAUCGAACGAUUGUUUCGAUACUCUGACUACAUCAUCGUCGGGGGUUGCGAAAUUGAACACUGCAGAAACAAAAUCACUAUCAAUUCUCAAUUCUCAAUUCUCAAUUCUCAAUUUAAUGUUUUACAAGUGUGAAUUCAUUAUUCUUACCUAGACUAUCGCCAGCAAGGAAGCUUUUUCCGGCAGCCCAGUUGGAGUAGAACACGGCGCCGCCCUUAGGAAUCCCCCACCCAGCGGUGUCACCGACAACAUGGGUCACCGGAGCUCGUUUUGGGGCUGGGGUUUGUGGAGGAACGUUGGAAGAGGGCGGCGACCGAGGUCCAGGGGCGGCAGUGACAUUAAUGGCUAAUUUUUGACCUUGUUGGCAGUGCCUAUCCUCAGAGCUGAUGAAAAAGUACUCGCCCGGAGUUAAUAAAGAAAUGGUUGCCGGCCCUGUUUCAAUGGAGUCUCCAAUUUCAUUGUCGUCACUGCACAUAUCAAACCCCAUUUUCGUAACUCUCGCCACUUCAUCCUUAUCCGUCGUGAAAUUGAAAACUACAACAACAACAACAACAACAAAAUCACUAAUUUGAUUAGUUCUUCCAAAAAAAAAAAAAAAAAAAAAACGGAGGAGUUUGGAAGAGUUCGUAGAAACAGAGCAUUCAAAAAUGGAUUUAAUUACUCACCGAGAGAAUCACCGACAUAGAAAAUUUUAUCGGCAGCCCAGGUUUUAUAGAAAACCUCGCCGUUUGCAGGUACUGUCCAGCCAACGGAGUCACCGACGGUAUAAACAGUCUGAGCGGCGGAGUAUUGAAGAAAUAAAAAGAGUGCAAAAGGUAGAACAAAAGCGAAUCUAGCGGCCAUGUUUUCUUGUUUAUGUGUAAGCGGAAAUGAGUGAUGAAAUGUUGAGAAGAAAUUGUGUUUGUAUUUAUAAUGAAAUGAAUUGAAAAGUAAAAGAGAAGAAGAUAAGGGAUGAUUUCAUAUCAGUGUACGGUGUGGUCAGGAAGACAACGAGAAGCUACGGCCGCCAAUGUGGCAACGCCGGUCAAACUUCGGAUAUUUACUUUGAAGAAAAAGAAAAGGUGAGAGAGGUUUAGAAUGAUCAACGUUUGAUGGCUGCCAAAUGAAAGAAAGGAAAAAAACAAAAAAGAAAAGUAGAAAGAUUUUUAAAGCAUAGAAAUUAGGAUUUAAGAUGUGGAUUUAGUCUUGUCUAUAUUAAUUUUAUUUGACAAUGAAGUCACAUGGAAGACUUGUUUGUGGAGAGAGUUAAAGUAUGACCUUUUCAAUUACUUUUAACAUCUGCUUUCAUUUACUCUUUCAAAGGGUAGGUUCUUUUCUUUUUUUAGCUCUAAAAUACACUACAAUUAAGAGUGGAUUAUUGGAAUGUGGAAAGUGUUUUUAAGCCCUAAGAGACACGUCAAGAUGUGGUUUAUUUUAAUAGUAUGAAGUUACGUAUCUUGUUUUUCUCAUUUUUGUUCACAUCUAUAAUAACUAAAUUGUUGAUGAGAAAGCACAUUUAUCAUAACACAUCUUAUUGUCAAUUAAGAAAGAAAAGGACAGCAAUGACUAAUGUUUUCAUGAAACGUAGUAAUAAAAUGAACCAACUUUAUUGAAUAGUUUUAUGGGUUCAUCAUCAAGUUUCUUCACCUUAGCUUCCAAGAAAUUUCUCAUGUAGACUUCCCUAUUUUCCCACUUAAAAGUUUUGAUUUUCUUCUACAACUUUCCCCAUUUUUUCUUUCUUUGGAACUAUGUUGUUCUUAGACUUCCCAUGUUCAAAUCCUUGAAAUUUUGGCUGUUUUAGAUGACUACAAGUUUCAAACCUCAUCAAACAAACUUUCACUUAACAACUCUAGACUUGAUGUUUUUAGAUACCGUACACGUUAAAUAUAUAAUAUAAUAUUUUAUAAAUUGUUUUUCAACCAAUCCACCGUUUUCUUGGUCUUAAUAGCAUAAAAUUGUUCACUUUGAACUUAGGUUAUUUUUACUUAUUUAAAUUUUUUUAGAUUUUUUAGGAUAAUUAGUGGCAGAGAGAUUUGAACCACAAACUUCUUGGUUACUAACGCAUUCAUAUAUCAAUUGAACUAUGCUUGAUUUGACAUUUGCAAUUCAUUGUGAUAUAAAAAGUAUAGCUCGAUUAAAUACAAUUGUUGGUGAACUAACAUUUUCCAACGGUAACAAAUGUCGGUCAUGUUAAGUUAACACCUGUAUGAUUUUUGUUAAAUUUAAAUUUGAUAUCGAUCUAUGUAUAAAUGGUCAUAUAUCUAUAUUAAUAGGAUAAAAUCAAUAAUAGAUGCCUAUGAUACUAAUAUUAAUCUAGAUAUGGAUUAUAUUGAUAUACAUUUUUUUGUCGUUUUGAAUCAGGUAGUACCAUCUUUUAUUGUCUGUAUGAGGUAAAUAUCACAGAUAACAAAUGAUAUUGAUAGUAAUAGUGAUCUAAAUAUGAAGAAGGCAAAUGAACAUAUAGAAAACAAUAAAACUGGUUUUUAAUCAUAGCUAGAGUGCAUUUAACAAUCAUACAUGUUUCAAUUCAUUACUAGUGUGGAAAACAUAGAUGAAAACCUAAUUCUCUUUUGUGAGACCCAUCACGAUUGACACAUGAUUUGGAUACAUUAUGAUUCGACCAAAUUUCGUUACACCUAUGCAAACAUGGCUUUAAAUCCAAACAUGAUUUCUAAUAGAAUCCAGCUAAAAAAAACUCAAGGUCUUUUUGACCUGCCAUUGUAAAGCAAAAUAAAGGAACAUACAAGGAGUUCAAACUCAAACAAAAAGAAAAGGACAAAGGAAAAAUAAAAUCUAACAACCUCCAAAUACCCCACAAGUCACAACAGGGUAAAGCAUGUCAACAGAUAUUCCCUUUUAUCCCGAAGGAGGACCAGAAACAUAAUUUCCAUCAGUAGCUAUACGCCAACAAGCUUCAACAAUUUCAUAUAUUGAUAAAGAUAUUGUUCUUAAUCUUGUAUAAAACCGAACCUGAAGCAUCAUCGACGUAUAGAUCAUAAUACUUGAAAUGAGUUCAUAUUACAAUCCUAUAAUAUACAGCUGACUGUGGUCCUGAAAGAAAAAUCAACCAAGCAGCCACCAUGCUAGGGGUCCAUUCAAGGAAUCCACUAACUUGUAAUACCAAGUCAGCAGCAGCUAUCCCCAUCUUGUCCAAGUAAAUGUUUGGCAUAAAGGGCAAGGCUACAAAACUUCAAACAUUGAGAAAUCAAGCGAGGCAGAGUAAUGGAAACUUCUUCUACUUCAUUUAUUAUAAUCCAGUGAUACAAAUGCCUGACGUCAGAGAUGGUAAAUUUAACCUACUUAUGACAUAAAGGAAAUACAAGAACUACAGGUGAUCAAGUUUCACUAACAACAACAGUCAGUUGGCUUGGGUUCUACCAGCCAAAAAGAAAACAAAAAAAAAAAAAAAAGGAAAACUACAUCUCAUCUACCAUCAGAAUAGUUAACUUUUUUUUUCCAACCAAGUCUAGCCUUAACAACAUUAAAAUUACAGUCAUUGCAGCAAUUUCAAAGUUACAAAAGGAGAACCAGCCAACUUACAAAAGGGUGGUGGCAAGUCCAUUUGGCUGUGCAAGUUGUGAUGACGACCGGGGAAGUGGGGGAGGGGGUAUUGGAGAAAUAUAACUUAUUUUACUUACUGAUUGCAGUCACCUCGCUCAAGUUUUUGUUCCCUCUGUUCUCACCCUGCAUGUGAUGUUUUCCAUCGUGCUUUUGUGUGUCUUCAUUUUCCGUGAUUGUUCCCUCAGAUGCUGGUGGUCUUUCGGUUCCACUGCAAUUCCCUUGUUCAGCAACCCCAUUUUCCUUACUAGUACCAAGAGUUGGCUUUUCCUGUUUCAUACAGCACGAAUCAAUAGGUUUCUCUGCUUCAGUUUCUGGCCCAUUUUCUUCUUUGUCUUGACCAACCUCCAAAGUCACUUUUUCACCAGCUGUGACAACCUCUUGAUUUGGAACAUUCUCACGACUUUGAUCUUCUCCUUUUUUGCCAUCCUCGGUAUCUAACUGGCCGUUCUUGGUUUCGGUGGCAUCUUUCUGUUCAGUUUCUUUUGAUUCUACAUCUUCCUUAUUGGCCUCUUCAUCCUUGGUAGUUUCAAUUUCUCUGUCUUUUGUUUCAUCUACUUUUUUAGGCUCUUCAUCCUUGGAAGUUUCAGUUUCUUUUUCUUCUUUCUCAUCUUCAUUUUUAGGCUCUUCACCCUUGGCAGUUUCAAGUUCUUUUUGUGUUGUUUCAUCUUCUUUGUUAGGUUCUUCAUCCUUGGAGUUCUCAUUAUCUUUUUCAAUUUCAGUAUUGUCCUUCUCAGACAUUUCAGCAUCUUUAAUUUCACUUUCCUUUUCACCCUCGGAUUUCUCUGUUUCAUUCUGUUCCUUCUUUUUUGAACCUGGAGAUUUUCUUGCUCGUUUCUUUGGGGGCUCUUCCUGUGGGGGAGUUGCCUUGGCCUUCUCACUAAUCCUAGUAGAUCUCCUGGGUGUCUCACCUGUACUCCAAUCAAAAUCCGAUACUGCAACAUCUCCAGGGUGCGAUUUUAAGUACUGCUCGAGCUGUUUUCUGUUACUGAUCUCCUCACCAGUAGGUGCUAUAAAUACGAUAUCAUUCUUCCUUGGUGCACCUCCCUUCUUUGGUGAAAACUGGAAUAGAAUAAAACAUGAUAUGUCACAAUUAUCAUCUUAAAAGCCAAAGAAUAAAAGCGUAAAGAAGGUGGAAAAAAAAGACACAUCUAAUCCUUUUAUAUUGAAAAUACUGGAGAAACAAACGUAUUGUAAGAAAGGUUUUAAAAGACAGGGCAUGGUUGGUUUUUGUAUAUCAUUCAAAGAUUAUUAGUUCAAAACAGUAUCUGGGAUAUAACCGCAUAAUAAGUGCUAUGAAAAACUAUGAAAGAAAACAAAAAAUCAUUUUAGAAUAUGGACCUCAUGCUAUGAUUCAUCUACUGGCUAAAGCUUAAGUUUGAAACUAUCAAUUCCUCAUCUUCAUUCUUUAUUUCAUAAUCAGACUUCUUUCUCGAUGUACACCAGAACCUUGUACCUGAAAUCACGGCUUGAAACAUGAUUGUCAUCACUCCUCCCCUAGGACGCAAAGGAUAGACAGAGAACCAAAGAUACGGACAGAAAACACUCCAAUGCAUCUUGGGAGUAUUAUACCAAAGUAGUUAGUUACAAACUCAAGGUUACAGAAUUUUGUACACAAUUUGCCUCCUUCUCCUGGUCCUAACUAGCUCUGCCAAUCUCUUAAUGUGAGGUUACAUACACAUGCUCCAUUUAAUGGCCAUUUCUAAACAAAAUGCAUUUCAUUGGGAAACUAGAAAAUCAUUCAGACUCAAAAAACAUGACCCUCGUCAAGUUCUUUAAACAGUAAGUUACUUUAGAUAUAGAAUAAUAGAUUAAAAGAGACAGGGAGGGAUGUUUUUGGCAAAUACCAGCUGGUGAAAGAAACAACCCUUAUUCUCAGCCAAAGGAACAUAGUUUUUAGGUCAAAGGAGAAAAACACCCAAAUACUUAAUUUCCCUUCUCAUCUGUUAAAAUAGCUCCUUAGUUUCUAGGCUAAUACUGGAGUUUCUGAGUUUAUUAUUAGAUUGUUAUUACACAUUUGUCAAUCCAUUAAGUUAGUUUUUGUUUUUGGUUGUAGAAAUUUAGCUUAUCGUACUUCCUCCUAUAAAAUGUUUUGUUUUGACAUCUACCUUCAAAGGAUACUUGUAAAAUCCAAGACAAAUUUUGAAAAAUCCAAAAAAUAAAAAUAAAAAAUAACAACGAUUGUCUUUGUUUUUUGAAUUUGGGUGACAAUUCAGAUGUUUCUUUAAAAACAAGAUUUCUGAAAAGAAAACUGAAAAUUUAAACCAUGUUCGUUUUUUAGUUUUUCAUUUUCGAAUAUUAAGCACAUAAACACUCCUCUCACUUUCACUUUACUAAUGUUUUUAAAAAUGUUAAAAACUAAAAAAGAAAAAGUAGUUUUUAAAAACUUGUUUUGUUUUCUAAAUUUGCCAGAAAUUAUUGUACUAAAUAGAGAUGCAAACCAUAUUAAAAUUUUGAGAGAAUAAAAUCAAUUUAUCAAAAACCAAAAAUAAAAAACGAAAUAAAUACCAAACGGGGAUGUAAUUGUUUUGGGCAUUAGGUUUCUGUCUUUAAAGGAUUAUACCCUAUAAACUGAUGUACAGGGAAGUCACUAAUUUUAUAGUGAGAAAGCUUUCUUAUCAUCUAAAUUGCUCUAAAACUUGUCAAGCUAUCAAAAUAGCAGAGUAGUUCCUCAAACCAUAAAAAGUAUCAGAAAGGCAUAAACUAUCACCACAAGAAUUUCUCAGCUAAAUACUUCCUAAAUAAUAAAAGCCUUAAUUAAAAAAAAGAAAACCCUUCAAAGGCAAAGGGGGAUUACAUUAACAAACCCUAGAACUAAAACUCAGCAACAACCACACCCCAGAGUAAAAUUAACCAGAAAAAAAGGUGAUACAAUGGGGAAAAACAUAGAAUCAAGCAAAAAUCAGAGACACCCAGAAACAGAAUCAAGCAAAAAAAAAAAACAAAAACAAAAGGGAAACAAGUGACAAGAAUCAGAAAGCUUUUUUUUAAAAAAAAAAAAAGAAUAGAAUAGAAAGUGAGGAAACCAGUUUCUUCCAAGAAGGUGGAGCUGGAAGCUGAAAAGAAACUUCAUCUUUAGAUCCUUCAAGUGGGUUUUCCUUGUUUUGCAGAGCCACUUCGUUUUCCAUGUUUUUUUUCAGUUUGUGAAGAGAGAGUAGUAGAGUGGUCGAAGAAACCGUUCGUGUUCCAAUAUGCUUUGCCUUGGAGAGUCAAAAUGCUUCUAUUGACUCUCUUUAUAUCUAGAGAGAGAGAGAGAGAGAGAGAGAGAGAUUUCAGUUUUUAUUCUUGUAGUUUGGAUUAAGACGCAUUUAGAUAAAUGAAAGAGGUAUAGAAAGUUGAGGAAGUUUUAGUCAUUCAUGGGGCUGAGCUCCACCAACGAGUGAUCCCUACCGGUCCCUAAAUAUGCUCUCAUUCUAUCUUCCCAAUAUGUCUAUACAAUCUAUUUUGGGAAAUUCUCAUUAUUUUUUGUUUUCUUUCUUAGUUUCUUUUAAAUAAAAAGUAUUAGUUACUAUAUUUUAAUUUCUUAAAAAUUUAAAAACAUUCCCUUUAGAAAAAUAAAUUUAACAAAUACUCCUUUUAUUACUAAGUUUGUUUCCACCUUUGUUCGAGUGGUUUCUAAAAUAAUAUUAUUUUUUUAAAGGAGAAUUGUAUUCUAUCGAUAAUAAACCUUUGAUUUAUGACCGACUAUCAAGCCAUAUAUAAAUUAUUGUUUUAAAAAAUGGUUACUAAACAUUGCCUUAUAUUUUAAAAUAUUUAUAAACUAUAAUAAAAUUUUGAAUUCUAUCGAUAAUAAAAACUUAUAACAUUCUAUCAUUGUCUAUCAAUAUCACUGUUAGAAGUAUAUCAAUGUUUAUUAUUGAUAGAAUUUGAAAUUUUGAUAUAUAUUUGUAAAUAUUUUAUCAAAAUUGCUAUUUUUUUUACCAUUUUCCUUUUAAAAAUUAUCAUUUUGAUCAUUGUUAUGUUAUUUUUGUUCGUGUCUGAUUUGGUUUAAAUUAUAAAGUGAUUAAUUUUGUCAAAAAACUUUUUUUUGAAAAAAAUGGUAGUGUUUGACAAAUUAAAAUAAUGCAUUUAUAAAAAUUUAAUUUAUAAAAUAAUCUACUUGGGAGAAAUCUUUAAAAAUAAAAUUCACAUAUAAAUACUUAUAAAGAAAAGUCUAACCAAACAUUAAGUUUUCAAAUUGUAAACUCAUUUUCAGAAAAAUGUUUAAAAGAAAACAUAUUAAUGAAAAACAUUUAUUUUAAUUCAAUCCAAAUGGAUUCUUGAUUAACUUACGACACCGAGGUUAUGUUGCUUAUGUUAUAAGUAAAAAAGAAGAGACUUUGUUCUUUUUAUCUUUUCAAAAGGUAGAGACUAAAUUUGAUAUUCUAAAAUGUAAAGGACAAAAAUAGAAUAAUCUCUUCUUCUUUUUUUUUCUUUUUAAUUCCAAUUUCAAUUACAUUUGCUUGUUACAAUAAACAUUUGAGAAUUUUAUGGCAUCAAAAUCUAAAAUAACAUCUCAUCUAAGUUCUACUUAAUAUAUGAUUGGAAAGUGGUAUGAGUAAAAUUUAAAAAGAAAAUCUUAGAAUCAUUUGCGUAUUAAAAUGUAAACUAUUAUUCUUUUUAAUGUGGCAUCUUUAAUGGGUCGUCUUUAAAAAUUUAGUGUUUGUGUGAAAUUCGUAGAUAAAUAAAAAAGAAAUUUUAUCAUGAUUCUUUUACUAUUACGUUUGAAGUUGAAAAAUCGAAUCUUUCAUCUCAUAAUGGAUAGUUUAAGUCUUAAGUCUUAGAUUAGAUGAUAUAUCCUUCCACUUUUUUAAAAAUUAGAAGAUAUUUUGAAAUUUUGAAUAUUAUAUAUGUUUGUUAAUUAAUUGUCAAACUAUGCUUCUUUUGACCAUUUAAUUUUUACUUUUAUAAUGUGGGUUGGUUUUUCACAACUUCUUUAUUACUACUUUCAUCAUACUUUCAAAAAAAAAAUAAGUAAAUUCUAAAACAUUAACUUUAUUUAGAUGAAUGAUAAUUAAUAUUAUCUUUCAUCUUACAAAUAGAAAUUUUGAAUUAUCUAAUAGUUAACCGUUAAUUGUUGCAUUAAAAAAAGAGAAGAAUAUGGUAACUAAUAUAAUACAUAACAAUCUACAACUAAAUUUCUUUGAACCAUAUAAAAUGGAAUUGCAAUGUUUGCAAUUUGAGCCUUAUAAAGCUUACAUCAUUAAAGCUUUACAUCAAAAGAGUUUAUAAAAAACAAAACAAAAGUAAUAUAGAGACGAUGAAUCAAACUUCUUAAUUCAAAAUUGUUGUGUCAAUUGAACUAUGUGAAAGAUAUAAUUUUCUUUUAACAACAAUUUGUUCAUAAUUAUGCAUUUGCCUUUAAGAAAUGGGAAUUUUUUUUCCCUUUUGAAAUAAUAAUUGCCAAAAUUGUCUUGCUAUAAAUUAGGUCAAAUUUUAACUUAUAACAUAUGUCGAAAGAAAAGUAAAAGUACAUUUGAGCUUACUAUGAGUAUACCCUUUCAAACUUUUAAAUAUUUUGCCAAAGUUCAAACUUUUAAUUUAAAAAAUGAAAGUUUACAAAAAAAAAGAAAAAAAAAGGUAGAUUGUAAAUGUUUUGUUAUCAAUUGAUUAUUGAAUCUAUUGGUUGAGUUAGUUUGAAUUAAUUUAUAAUAUACAAUUUAAAAUAAUAACGAAUCACAACGUAGAAAAGAAAUCAAUUGUUUACGCAAUAACAUAAAAUAAAGAGAGAAAACUUUGUAUAAUUUAUGAUCAUCAUGUGGUUUAAUAUAAGUUUUAAGUAUAGAGGAAGCAAAAAUGGAAGACGAUGGUCACAUGGGGGCAUGAGAAAUUAAUAGGCUUUUACUAUGAUUGUUUGUAUCUUAAUUAAUCAUUUUAAAAUUAGUGUUUGAUUUAAUUCUAUAAAUGGAUCAAAAGUGGGUCACAUUAGCCAACCCCACAUGCCAUUUUAUACAUCUUAAUUAACUAUGUAAUCUUUUCCAUGGGUUUUUCUUUUUGAUCUCUUUCAUAAAGUGGGGUUACAAAUUUGAACCAAACCCACCAAUAAAUGUGUUGAAAAAUGGCAGUGGAGACCAGUUUUUAGGUUGAUGAUUAGAAGAUUAACAGCAAUGGGUUCCUAAAAGUAUCAAAUCUUUAUCAUUAUUCAUAUUUGAAGUAAGUAAUUCACUCAAAUCAAACGAUAUCGAAUCUUUUCCUUCUUUCUUAUAGGAUACAUUUUUCUAUAACGUUUAUGGGUUAAUUGUAAGAGAAUAAAAAUUAAGUCUAGGGUUUUCAAUUAAUCAUUGUAGGAGAAAGUACUUACAGUUACCACCUUCAUAUGGGAUUGAUGUUUGAUCGUUGUAUUGCUCUUUCGACUUUAUUGAAUAUUAAUUUUCUUCAAGAAAAAAAAAUGUGAAAGAUUAAAUUGUAGUUUGACAUUAAUAUGAUAUUAGAAGAUUAAAAUACUUAAGAGCAUGCUUUGGAACAGCUUGGCUGAUAUCAUGAAAGAAAAUGACAUCCAAAGUUGACCCAAACCAUCCACCAGCCACAGCCAUAACAUACCUCCAAAAUCACCACAUACAAGAAAAAGAUCUAAUCACAAUUUUGCAACCAAAACCAACUUCAGUUUCUUUUUGUUCAUCCUUCAUUCAAACACAUAGCUCUUCAUCAUACUCCUAUUGGGAUCGAGAUCUCAUGAACCCACGUUAACAAAUAAACCCCAUCUCCCUUCAGAUUGGUGACUAUGUCACAAGGGUAAAAGAAGUUCUAAAAAAAGAUCGUAGGAAAAGGGCAAGGAGGCUUUAUUAGUGAACUUUUUACAUAGACAUAUAUGUUAUGAAAAGGGUUACAGUUAGAAAAUCAUAUCCGUUCUGCUAAAAUUACAUAUGUUAUAUACUAACAGCAAAAACGUGGUAAUGAGCUGAUGCUUUAUUCAAGUUAUCUUACAGUGGCAAGAAGUGUGUUACAUAUUUGAAGAGAUUACGAAGUUGCAGCCAAAGGAGAAUGGUGAGGAGCUCCAUGAGAGAAACCGGGAUGCAACGGGUGACUUUCCUCUGUUUCAUACUGGUCUUCCGUAUCGUCUUCGUUGUCGACAUCGGUAUCCCAGAGAAACCGUGCAUAUGACGCUAGCAGAUAGCUGUAAAUGAAAAAGAUUUAUAAACAACCAAAUUAACUAUGAAUUGAAACAAAAUAAAAAAGCAAAGAAACAAAGACCUAUGAACUAUUCUCUCCAUUUCAAUACUUGAUCAAGAACUUGUAUAACAUAGCUUAACAAGGCUCACUGAAAGAUUCCAAUUAUAAAACGAAUUGGACUAAAAUUGUUGAGUACUGCACCACAUGUCAUGAUUCACAUACUAACAAAGAGAACUUUCUCAACUCUUGAAGAAAUGACACAAGUCACAAUCAAAUUGGAAGAUUUACAACCAAGGAAUGUUUAAACCUUGUUUGAUAGCGAUUUCAAUUUCAGUUUUUUAUUUUUACAUUCUAAUUUUCUUACUGCGAUUACUGAUUAGAAAACAUUUGAUGGUCAACUUCAAAUCUAACCACAAGCCUUAAAAAAUCAGUUAGAAGUCGUGUUUAUAAACUUAAUCUUCAGAAACCAAAAGGCGAUAUUGAAGCUGAACUCAGAAUUUGUUCAUGAUCAUAUUCAUGGCAAAAUCAACUUGAUCCAUUAUAAAAAAAAAAAAACAAUCAAAAGUAAACGAAUGAAUCACCAGUUAACAGAAUCUCUUUCUUGCAAAUUAAACAAGAAUCAUUCAUUCAACCAUCAAGCUGAAAAUUCAAUCUGAAUUCAUAUUCUUACCAAUCAUCUGGCGCACUUUUAACAGCUUGAUCAAAAUAAGUCUCAGCUCGUCGAGCAUCUCUCUGUGUAUGCCAAAUUAGAUCAGCAUAAAGCGACAAAACACUUGCAUCAUUUGGAUCAGCCAGAAUUGCUCUUCCACAAAACUCCUCUGCUUUGGAAAAAUCUCCAUGAACCUAAAAUGGCAGAGCAUAAUCAGAAGGGGCUGCCAUUGAAAAACUUUCCCAGAGAUUUCAAAAGAACUAAAAUACCUCUUUCAAGAACUUGGCAUAAUUUCCAAGUAGAAGAGCAUUGUUAGGAUUCGCUUCAAUCAUCUUCUGAUAAUAAGCAUCGGUGCUAUUGCUUCCAUGGUGAUUGUUAAACCCUGACCUACCAUUAUCCCCUCCACCUCCGCCGUCUGAACCUCUUCCGCUGCCGCCGCACACCCGCCCGCCGUCGUUCCCCAUUCCACCGCCAACCACCAGCGUUUGCAGAAUACAUGCAUCCCUCUUCUCAUCACAAACCUCAUCGUUUGGGAAUUUCAGACCCAACCCAGAAUUUAAAAAAACUCCAUGAAUCGAAGAUGAAGAGGAAUCUGAUGUGGGUUUGAGAUGUUGAUCUCGAACUGAGACUCCAUUCUCCCUGGAUUUCACUUUAACUUUAGAACUUUUGGUUAUUGGAAUCUUCUUUCUGGGAUCUGUGGAAUCUGAUUCUAACAAGUUUUGGGUUACUCUGUUGGACGAUUCAGUCGAAACAGAUGGUGGAGGAAGGUGAAAAGACGAUAUUAAGGAGAUGGAUUUGGUUCUUUGAAGAUGGUGGAUUUGGUUGGAUUCUGAAGGGGAGGAUUUGAAUUGGUGAAGCCAAGAAUUGAGAAUUGGGGUUGAAUUAGUUCUCAACAGCAUGCUUAUACGCUUUGGAAGUUGGGAUUUGAAAAUUUUAAAGAAAGGAUUGAAAUCUAAGAAUUUGGGUGGGAGAUUUUUUUCUGUUUAUGAAAGUUUAUGGGGGAGAGACACAGAGGCUUAUAGGAAAGCCUCCAUUUUUAGAAACGAAGUGGGAAAGUGAAGAGUUAAUAAGGACGAUAGAAUUUAGAAUGAUGCUCAUAAGUUAUGUUUAAUUGCAACUUUGGUCCUUCCACACUUGCCAUUUAGUCCAUAUAGUUUCGAUUAUCAUUUUAACUUAAUAUCUACCUAAUACAUUCAUUGAUGUUCCAAAGAUGACUGACACCAACUAAAAUGGAAUGAGAUAAAAUAUUCAACAACUAAACAAAUCAUUCUGAUUAACUAAAAUCCAAUACUUACUAAUAAGUUUUGAUUAAAGAAAUUUCCAACAUUCAUGACUCUAUCUCUCAUGAAAUUAGUACAAAAGUUUACGAUCCCUAUGUUAAAGUUUCGUGUCAAAUGAAAUGUAAAAUGAGGUUUAAAGAAUUGAUAAUGGAAAAAUGUGAAUACUCUCAAGUGGAAGCCUCUAGAAUACCAAAACUAUAUCAACCAAGUUGUUUGAUUAAUUGAACUAAGUAAAUAUCAACUUCUAAAAAGCAAGAGUUAAUUGAAUAUAUUGGAUUUUAAUUUUAAAAAAAUGCAUAUCGAUUAGUAUUGAGUUUGGCUCAAAUGUUCUAUAUAAACAACGUGUUAACUACCUCCACAAGAUAGAGUGAGAACAAUUUUAUUAAAGAUAACUUUUCAUAAAAUAAUAUAGUGUCACUAGGCUAGAGAGUUUAUAUAUUACACUUCUCUAAAACUUAGAGUCAAAAUCGUAAAUAACUCAUAAAUAAGAUUACGUGCUCAAUUACAAAAACUCCUACCUACUAAGUUAUUUGUAGUGCAAUAUUUCGAAUUCAAGACAUUACAAUGUUAGAUGAUAGUAGAAGAGAAACGUAAAUAAUAGAGAAAAUGUUGAAUAAUAAAUAUCCAAACAAUUAAGUUAAAAUAUAAAUAUCAACUUAAUUCAUGAAGUAAAAUAUAAAUAUCAACUUAAUUCAUGAAGAGUUGAACUUAAGACUCCACGAUAAAACACAUUGACACAAAGUGUUUAGAGUAUUUGUAAAAUAGGAAUUUAUAUGAUUUUCUUAGAAAUACAUUUUUUUAUUUAAAGGGGUAACAAAACUCAAAAUUUAAUUGCUAAAAGUGAAACUCAUACUUAAAAUCUAAAAGGCAACUCUACUCUACCACACGUAAAAUUAAAUUAGAGUUUCAAACUUAACUUCAAAAUAUAUAUCUUUUUUUAAAAAAUAAUUUUCAUUUCAAACUCAACCUAAGAAUCUCAUAAAAAUAAAAACACAUAGGUUUGAGAAAUUUUAUCCAAAAGUAUUUUUAUAGACAAAAUUACUUGAGAGUGUUUUUCAAAGAAAGGGUUUAGGGUAAAAGAAAACAUGUUAAAAAUUUAAAGGCAAGUGUUGAAAUUUGUUGUAUGAAAAAUUUGGAUCGUAAACAUAGGCAUCAAAGGAAGAAGACAGAGAUGGGAAGAAGAAGAAGAAGAGUAAGCAGCGAUAUCGAUUUUAUAUUUUGGUUUGUUGUCGACCUGUCGUUCCACCACAGGUCCAAUGCAAACUUCCAACCUUCGACAGUACGACACGUCGACACAAGGCAGAAGACGAAGGACCCACCAUCCCCAUGUGGCUGUACACGUGGACGGUUCUUAUGAUUUUUGUGCUAAACCAUAUGGAAAUAACAAAACUGUUGUAGCUUUUAGCCCCUUGGUUUGGUUGUGGGUGGGACUGUUUUCAUAUUUACAAAUUUAAUCUCACUUUCCACUUCUGUCUACUAUAUUUUGAGAUUAAUAAAUUUUAAUUCCAUGCCUAAUGGAUAUAUGCGUGUGUAUUUAUAUAUAUUUGAAGUUUUGGAUGAAUCAUUCAAAAUGUAAAAGUUUGUUUAAGUUUAAAAGAUAUAUUGAAUAUAAAAUUGAAGUUCAAGGUCAUGUUAAACAUAUUUAAAAAUGAUCGACCUAUGAAAAAAAAUACCAUAACACUCCUAAUGAUUCACGGUAUACAUUUAAGCUUUAAAAAUGAUUUAAAACUACCUUUAUUUUUAGAUUAAAUUUGUAAUAUUAAAUUUGCUACAAUAACCUAACCUACAUUUAAAAAAAAUGUAAAAAUGUAAGGUGAAAGAAUCAAACAUCUAAUCUCGAGAUUGAUAGUAUUGAUAGUUUGAACUAUACAUGUGUUCACAUGAGAAAAUUGUAAUAUAUACAUAACCCUAAACUACCGAAAAGCCGAGCUAACCGACCAAGUUGAACUCGAUCGGUUGAAAAACGAGGGAUCGGUUUCAAAUUAAGAAUUAUCAAAAAAUAUUUUUAAGUGUUAAGAGUUCAGUUUGACAACUCCGACAGAAGGAUGAUCACCCUAAAAAAUAAAAAGAAUAUUACAAUACAAACCAAUUUUUGUAACUUUGUAAAACGUUUAAACUAUAACGUGAACAAUAGACCCGAGAAAAAAAAAAGCUUUUAGAGUGAUGCUGAGCUUCCCUGUCCCAUUAUAACAAAAUAAAAAGAUUUUAACAAAGAAAAAAAGCAUUUGAAUUGAAUUGAAUUGAAAUGAUCCAAUAAUUAGAAAUCACUUCUCUUUCUCCUCCAACCAACCAUCUCUUUCACCUUUUCAUAACACUUCCCCAUUACAAUGUGACCAAUCAAAACUUAGAACUAUUACCAACGUGUCAAACACAUAGUGGCAUUCAUUUCUUAAUAUCGAACCAACACAUCACUCAUUCCUCCCAUCACUGAGGCUCCAACUUCCCUGUACACAAUUCUAAUACAUCUAUCAACCAAAUUCCUAUAGAAAUUUGUAAUUUAAUAAUACCUAAUAAGAAAGACUCGUCAGUAGUUGUCCCUCAAGAGACAUCCAUUAAAACUGCAACCAUACAGAGAAGAUAUUAGCCUGAUCCCUGCAGGUCCAAGGACAACAACAAGAUUAGUCCGUUACAACAGAGUAUCUUCAAUUCACUUGGUUAUGUUAUUCAAUAUAGGAGGGGGGGAGGGGGGGUUCAAGAAAUAUACAAGACACUUGAUAAGAAUAUAAUACAAUACAAAAUACGACUUUCCAUGACAGUUUUGCUUUAAUUUGUUUCAUACCCAUUCCUUAUCUCAUUUGCGGCUACACAAUAUACAGCGGAGGGUAUCAAUAUCAACACUGUGGAGCAAGCUUUACCUACCUCGUCAAAGGCUGAAAUAUAUCUCAAGUAUAAUCAAGUAGUCUACCACUAUUUAUACUAAACCUACAAUCCUUUACAAAAGAAUGCUUGUCUACGAAACUAUCGUCUAAAUCGAGAGCCCUUAUUAGGUCUGUUUCUCCCAUCUAAUGCAGAAGUCCAGAAGAAGAGGGACAUCCAGAAUAACACAGCAAGGAAAAUUUGUACUCUGUCCCGAAAUUUUGAAAAAAUUGCCGGUAAACCUGCUCAAGUAACGAUAUUAGAACAAGAACUAUCAAGCAGGAAAAAUAGUAUUGAUUUCAAUAAUUAAAAGUAUAUAAUAACUUGGUAGAAUUCCUUAGUUUUACCAACUGUUUCCGUUUAAUAAUCUUCUUGUAUAUUCCGAUGAACAUCAUACCCUAAAAUGAUUCUCUCUAAAAAAUUGACAACUUAUGAAAGGCAUUCCCGUCAGUUUCCUUAUCUCUCCAUUUUUAUUAAAUUAAAUAAGAAAGAAACUAUUAUUUCUUUACUAAACAAACGGUCUACAAUCAUCUUAUCUACCAUGAAGUUUGAUCGACAUAACCCUAAAAUGAAUCUGUCUAAAGAAAAUGACAACUUAUGGAAGACUUUUACUUUGUCUCUCCGUUUUCAUGGUAUGAGAAAGAAACGAUUCAUUUAUAUUAAACCAACAGUCAUCAAUCACCUUAUCUAUUUUGUACAACAUGUUCACUCUAAAGUGAUUCUCUUUUAAAAUAUGAUAACUUACAAAAGGCUCUCACUUUAAUUACUCUGUCUCUCCGUUUUUAUUACAUGAGAAAGAAUGACUCCUUUCUAUUAAACCCAUGGUCAACAACCACUUUAUCUACUUUGAUCAAUAUGUUCACCCUGUAAUGAUUCUCUCUAAAAGAAAUGACACACUGUAACUUUCACUUUCUGUCUCUCUGUUUUUAUUAAGUAAGAAAGUGAUUCUCCUCUAUUAAACCGACAUUCAAUAAUCACCUCAUCUACUUUAUCACAUAUUCACUCCAAAAUGAUUCUUUCUCUCUAAAAACAUGACAACUAAUGAAAAACUCUUCACUUUCUCGGUCUCUCCAUUCCUUUUUAUUAAAGAAAAGCACAGAUUCAUUAUUAAGAGAUUAGUAGAAAAUAUGAAGAUAAGCAAUUUCCGAGAAUUGCAAGAAAAUUACAGAAAACACUUAAAUUGGUUAUUCAAGGAAAUAUAUUCACAGAAAAAAAGUUUAGAAAGAGCAGCAAUGCAAGGUAGAAGACCUAGAUAAUCACCACAAAGUCAUUUCCAUCCUAUUUCAUAUUAAGAACCCAUAUGUUAAGCAUCAUGAACCAAAAUGAAUAUUUGUGGUAUGACUUUUACGUAUCUAAAACGUGUUGAGCAAAAUUUCCUACUUAACAAACUUCCAAAAUAACCCAUAAGAAGUUAAUACUAUGGCUAAAGCCCAUAUGCAUCCGAAGACAUAGUAAAUUUCCGGAUGACCAAAAACACGAACAAUAUUAUUUGUGGAUGAUUAGCGUCUAAACAACCAGGAAUUCAAGUAUAAAUAAAACUGUUACUAAUUGUAGCAGCGAACCACCACUAGCAGACGCCAAGCAAAAUUCAGGAGCUAAUAAUUUUCAUUUUCUAUUAUCAAAGCAAUUCCAUACAAAUAAAGAUAACGUAGGCUUCUCCGCAUAUGGUACAAAAACGAACCAGAAAAAACCAAGCUCUACGCACUAAAUUUUUUAGGCCUCAUCAGGAACAAUUCAGUCAAUAAAGUGAACUAAAUGGAGACAUCAUCAGCAAAGAAUAGUAACCUGUUAAACGAACGGGAUCCUCCUCGGGAGGCGGAUCGGAAUCCGGUGGUGGCCGUACUGCUGCGCUGCAAACGACGGAUUCGGCAUAAGAAUUGGAGGAGAAGAAGAGAGGUGACAGGCGGCGACGGUGCAAAGAGAAGCAGAUUUCCGACCGAAGAUGAAAGGUUGAACAGAGAGGAAGGGCGAUUGAAGAGGCGGCAACGGACUGUGAAGAACGGUGGAGAGAGGUCGAAAGUAUUGCCAUUGUGAGAGGAGAAAGAAAGCAACAACGAUUCAAUUUUCUGUUCACUUGUUAGUUAUUCCUUCACAUUACGGGCUUCAGCCACAUGGGCCGGCCCAUGUUUGUGCCUUCUAUGGGUCAACUCGGCCCAAUUUUAUCUAAAUAUUGCUUAGAAAACGGUUUUAAAUAGCAAAUUUGAAAAAGUAUUCACCACCACUUUAAAUGCUUUUAUUAAUAGAUACAAUCCAAAAUUAAAUGCACUUUAAUGAAAGUACUCAUAAUUCAAAUUAUAAAAUAAAUUUACAUCUAAACCUAAGAGUCUUUAAAUUAUUCAUUUUAAAAAUGUAAUUAUGCAUAAACAUGUUAACCUCUUUUUAGAAAACUAAACAUGCCAUCUUUUGCUCUUAAAAGACUAUAUAUUCAAGGUUAGAGGUAACAUUAUCAAAAAAGGCAAAUCUUAUAAAUUUAUAAUUUUAAGUAUACAUGAUAAAAAAAACAAAUCAAUUAUAUUUACAAUUCAAAUUCGAUAUCAUUUAUUUCGUUAAUGGAAUUCAUCACGAUUUGGUAAACAUGAAUUUAAUUAUUAAGUCUAAAUGUGCUAUCUUUUGUUUUUAAAGAAAAACAUGUUAUUCGUGGGAAGAAGCUAUAUAAUGCAUAAAAGUUAGUCAAAGAAAUGUAUUAUUAAGUUUGAAAGUGAAAGAUUCCAUUUCAUGUAUUUUCAAAGAAAAAAACACAUUUAAAACAAACUUAAUUAUAAAUUAGAUUAAAUCAAUAAUAAUAAGCAUGAGUUUGGUUAUAUAUGAACGUUUGAAAUAAUAAUUUGUAUCUUAUAAACUUAGUCUCAUGAAACACAAAACAAGAGAAAUUGAAAUGAAAAAUAUACAUAUUUGUAAUACAUUUUCAGUUUUCACACAUGUUUAACAUAAACUUUUCGAUUGCCAAAAAUAAACAAUUUUAAUAGCAAUCAUCUAAACAUAUUUGAACUAAUUUAGAUACACAUGUUCUUCUUGAUCCAAGGCCAGAGAUUGAUAACUCAAAAGAGAAAGGAAAAAAUAUGAUGAAGAUGGGGUUGCUAGGGUUGAUAGAUCUUAUUCCCACAUCGGCAUUUCCAUGAGAGAAGAUAAUAGCUAUCCUCUUCUUCUCUAGAUGAAGAAAAGGAUUGAAAGGCCUUCCCUUUCAUCCGGUGCACCGGCACCACCGCCGCAGCCAUGCACGGCCUGCAAUUCAUACAUUUGUUCUGACAUCCAGGAGGCCGUGAACCAAUCACCAUUUUCUCUUCCAAAUUUUUCAUUUCAUCAUUCUCAGCUUUUCCCAGCUCUGAUCUCCCACUUCUUGACAAAACCAACCCAACUGUGUACACAUAAAAGAACAAAGUGGACCUUCAAGUUUCAUUUCAUCAAAAAUAAAAAAAAGGGGGGGAUUUUAAUGACCGUUUAAUUUGAAAGAUUGCUUGGUUAAAGCUGUAAAAAAAAAAACUCUAAAAAGGCAUAACUUUUUUUAUAAACCCAAUGGUUUGUUAUGUAGUCUCCAGUAACAAUGUGUUAGCCACAUUCUUAUUUGAGAGAACAUAAUUCAAGAUUAGAGAGCUUAGACAUUACACUUCUCUAAAUACUAAAGCAAAAGACAUAGAAAGUACACAUAUAUGUCAAAUACAAAUUCCACCAUUGUGCGUCGCUCCUAAACCUUUAGUCGUUUGAAACGUCAGAUGAUAGACUUGAGAAGAAUUUAUUAGGAAAUACCUGAUGUAGGAGGAAGAAAUGAGAAGAAAGCAGCAAGAGUGAGAGCCAGUUUUAGGGAAGUUGAAAGAGAAAUGGGGAGAGCCAUCUUCAUGAGAUGUGUGCAAGUGAAAAAGGGAAGUUUCUUUUACUUUCACAGUCAAUCCAAUCCAAUAUCCAAUUGAAUAAAUGUUGGGGUUAUUGUUAUUAUUAUUAUUGAUUUGAUUUGAUGAAAAAAUAAACAAAUAAAAGAAGGGUAAUGGACAAGAUUGAAAGAUGUUUCCUGUGGAAGAGACAUAAGUAGAAAAUGGGAAAAUGGAGAGAAGAAAUACGAAGAAAUUAACAAAGGAAGAGUACUGAAAGGUAAAAAAGAAAAGAGAAAUGGGAUUUGAUUUAGUUUGGGUUAGUUUUGGGAAAGUGCUACUCUCUGACUUUAAGUUGUUACUGAAUGACUGAACUGACUUGUCUCUUUAUUAUAAUCUUUCACACACAAUGCCUACUUUCUUCAUGUUUCAAACCAAAAAAAAAUUACAGUUCCCUAGUUUCUUGAGCUAUGAAUUCUUAAAACUCUCUUUAUCUCUCUCUCAUAAAUAAAACUUUGAUGUUUUUUGGUUAAACGGCAUUAAUUUGAAACAAUUUAGAAACUUUAUCACUGUUAGACACUAAAUGACAAUUUGACAAAAUUGAUAAACCCAUCCUAACAAUGAUGGUUGAGUUGAGACAAACUAUGAACCAAUGAGGAAAGACUUCUAUCGGUUGAAGGCAUGCUAUGAGACUUUGUGUCCCUUAUGAUCAAGUGUUUGGACGAGGACGUUGUUACUACACAAGCUAGUAAAGAAGCCAUAUGAUUAAAGAUGCUAUAUCAGAAAAUUUCUCUAUUCUCAGAACCCAAAUGGGUAAAGUAAAACAUAUAUAUAUACCCAAUUAAUUAGCAUCCAAUAAAGUGAGAUUAUUAAGUGGAAAAAGAAAAGGAAAUUUGGGUGAAAAGGGUAAAUGAAAGGAAGACAAGAGUUGUGGUAAAGUAUCUGUAAGUUGGUAAGGGUUCUCCCAUACAGCACUGAAUCAGGCAGCUAGUGAGUUCUAUACACUGCCAUACAUAACGCUUUCCAAAUUGAACUUCUAUUUCUGUUUUUCUUUCCCUUUUUCACCUUUCUCCACACUUUUCCGUUCGGGAACCUGCAAACCCCAUCUUCACUUCUUUUCAAUUACACACACCUUCUCAAUUCCUUAAAGUUUCUACCUCAUUGUUUUCUCACCCAUUCCACCUCGUUGUUUGAGCUGACCUACGUGAGAGUAGUAUUGAUCAAAUCGAUGUCGAGCAAAAUACACUCUUAUGCAUAAGUUAGUAUGAAGAAGUAUUUAACUUAUCUAAAGCACAAAAAGAAGGUGACUAUCUACGUGUCCUAAAUAUUUGACUUUUUCUUUUAGAAUGAUGAUUUCUUAAAACGCCUUUUAGUUUUUGGCACACUCAUAGACGUUAGUGGGAUUUGAACCUAUCAUUUGUAGAACAAAAAUCAUGUCAAUUAUCGUUGAACUAUACUCACUUUAGCUAUUAUUCACAUUUUUUAAAGAUGAUUAAUAUAUGUAUAGAAAGGAACAACCCAAAUUUUUUUAAAAAAGUUUACUCAAUGACUCAGAUUUCAAUUCUCAAAAUAUUUACCUUAUUGAUUGAUUAAAAUGCAUGAGCUUCUGUGUGGAUCAAUUAAUAGAGAUAUGCAAAAGGGUGAUAAGAGUCUAUUUCUCUUUCGUUCUUGGAACUUGCUGUCAUUUGCUUAAAUAAUUUAUCACAACACAUACCACCAGAAAAGAAGUGGAUAAUAUUUAAUACUUAAACAACUUUAGUUAUAUCUGUUUGUUUGUUUUUCUUUGCAAUGCUUACCACUUUAAUUUCACUUUUUACAGAAAAAAUAAAAAAGAAAGAAACUUUGUUCACUUUUCAGCUUUCUUUUCAAAAAGUUUUAUCAAAAAAUCAAUCGAUUUUACUGUGGAUUUCUUCGUUUUCUUUUACCUUUAAACUAGAAUAAAGUAGGUGUGAUGUGUUAUUUGUACAUGCAAUGGAUGCAUCUCCCUCAUCUCAUCAUCAAUAUAUAAUAUCUUCUAAAAUUUUGCUUUGGUUGGCUGUGCCUCAAUCAAAAUGCUUUCUUCUUCUUCAAUAGUGUUGAAAAAAAUGAAAAAUGAAGAGUGAUGAUUGAGAGAAAUGAAGUGGUGACGAGAAUGAAGGGGUAAGAUUGAGAUCAUUGUAGUCCGUGAUAUGAUGAUUGAAAAGACGUUGGCCGCACACGUUUUGUUGGGGUCUGAAUUUUACUUAAUCAUAACCAAGAAAUCUAAAGUUGGCUCAAAAUCUCUUUUAAUUUCUGACAGUCAUAAGUCUUGUUCAUUUCCAGAUUUCUUUAUUUGGCAAAAUUUUGUGGUUCUGUCUUAUCACUUCUCAUCUUCCUCCUUUUAACCCUUCAUCACAUUUCCAAACUUUUAUCUUAUUUUUCACAUUUCUCAAAUCACUUCCUCAUUUCUCAACAUCUUUUCUUUCCUGAACUGAAUCCUUAAGAUUUUGAAUUACACAUAUGUACGCUUCUUUGGAUAUCGCUUCUUGAUAUAUAUAUGGUUGUGGAAGUUCAGACAAAAUAUAUAUAUAGAUAGAGAGAGAGAGAAUGAAUUUGUAAUUUAAAAUGGAAAGGACUGAAUUUUGUAAUUGAACAUAGAAAGUAGUACAUCAAUCUAUGUUUGGUUCUGAGGGAAAAUGUAUGGUUGAGAUUUAUUGAUCAUUAUUUGGAGAAAAGAAAAACAAUUUGCAAAAAUAGUCAUUUCCAUCACAGCUGAAUUUUCUACAACAGAGUAAAGAUAUGAAACUCUACAGCAAUUACCAAACCAAGGCAUUAAGAGGAAAAAUAAAAAACAAACAAACAAACCAAGCACAAAAAAAUAGGCAGGCAGCAGGGAAAAUGUUAAUUUGAAUGCGUUUCAGCAAAUACAAGGCAGAUUUCAAUGGUUUGAGAAAAACAGUGAGACUACGAUUCAACUUCUUCCAAAUCAAGCCUUGUGUACCCUUCAAAUUAAUCAAUCAUACAACCCUUCUUGUUCCCAUACAUCCACAAGAAAAUCUACCAUUUCCUGCGUGUUUUAAUGAACAUGGAACAUUAAUUUAUGAUUAGAUUCGAUUGGUUUCCAGCACAGGGAAGAAAAUAGACAGGUUGAGAACUUACGCCAAGUGGAAUAGGUUGACGAAAUGGCUUGUUGCUCCCUAGUAAACUUUCAUAAGUUACAUUCCAACUGCAGGAGGAAACCCAGAAUGAUUACUAUGACGGAGUACUGAUGUUUGAUUAUGUUAAUAUGCCAAACUAGUUAGCAACUUACUCUAACUUGGGUUCUUGAAACUGCGGUUUUUCAGAUCGUUUAUUCCCUGUCCAGCGUUGCCUAGUUUGAUUCCACAGAAGAAGACCUACAACCAAGAUCCAAGUAUAGUUACUUGUGCCAAUGCCAAUCUUCAAAGAAAUGGGAUAAUCACAUAGAAAAAUUAAGGAGACUGUCAGUGUUGUAAAAAGCUAAGGUAAACGAACAAAUCGGCGAAAUACACACUAAAGACUUGAUCAAAUCAUCCAUUUAACAGUCUUAAGUCUCAAAGUACAGUUAAUUUUCCUUGUAAGGUUCUGUAUCUAGAACAUGGUGAAUUGAGUAACUGAAAAUAUAGAGCGAAAGGAGGAGAUAAUCACCAUGAUUUAGAAACUCUGAAGGGUUGGGUACAUUGCCAGAGCUACCAUGUGGAUCGUGCAUAUGGUUGAUUGUACUCAGUGAUGACAUACUUCCUUGUGAUUGACCUGCACUAUUGUCCACAUCAAAUGUACUAGUAGUCCAGAAAUCCUCUGAUAGGCUGGGUUUCC